UACCUUGAGAAACAGGAUAGCCAUGUUGUCUAAGUAGUCUGAAUUCAAGGGAGGUUGCAUACAGAUUUUCUUUUCUCCAAACAUAAUCGUUAUUACUGUUGUAGAUAUCAUGCAAUAUGUUCCGAAUCUCAGUCUCAAAAUGAUAAGCCAAUCCAAGUCUUUGCAAGCUGUCAAUCAGCUCCAACUGAUUCAGAGGCUCGGUUACAUCCUUAAUCGUUGUCAUUACUUUUCCCUUCAGCUCUUCUUCUCGUCUUUUGUAUGUUUCAUCCUGUACAUGCACAGCAUUUAGUUUUUAGUUAUUCAUGGUCCCAGUUUGAAAUCAACAAAGGAAAUUAAUACGUAAUAAUAAUGAUGAAUACCGUAUAGUUGCUAUUCAAUGACUGCAAAAAAUCAUGGUCCCAAAUUGAAGGUUGGUAGUUUGCUGAUCUCCUAUCAACUGUCAAAUUAUCAUAUUUGGCGCUGACAAGGCAUUGGACUGGCUUAUUUUUUGCCAUGAUUCUGAUGGCUGCUUUAUUUGUUGCAAGAGGAAGACAUUUGAAACCAUUUACAGAGGUAACCAAGGUUGAGGGAUUAAUGCAAGAAGACAUUGGAUGUACAGAUGUAGUGUAAGCUAGCUUACAGUUGUACUUGGCAAAGAUUCUCAAAUUAAUCUAUGGUCUGUGGUGAUGUACGAGGUUAUAUAUAUAUAGGCAGAGGAGAAGCUCAUGUGAUUUAUUUUUCUUACUCAUUUUUUCUGAGUUUUGAAAGCGUUUAAUUUUUAAGUCUUAAUAGUACAAAGAUAUUUUAUUAAUUUGGGGGGGGGGGGGGGGGGGGGAAUACAUCGUAUUGGAGGUGUAUUUGAUUAACUCAUGUGCAUAACUCAAUUGGUGGGACAAACAAUGUCUUAAGAAAAGCGAAAUUCGUAAUGUGCCUCGAAGUACACAUCCAUUUUCUAUAGUUUACCUAUUACUAUUAUUUUUGUAACACCCUAGGCGAAUCCCACAUCAACAGAACACGGGAGAAAUGCUAGUUUUAUAAGAGGUGAUUCACAUCUUAAUUGGCAAGAUACGUUUGGGCUGUAUGGGCGCCUCAAGAACAAAACCGUGCGGGCUUUGUUAAGGCCCAAAGCGAACAAUAUCUUGACAAGUCUGAAUUUGGUCAUGACAGAUGAUAUCAGAGUGGCUCCGCAUGUCCUCUUGAGCGAUGGUGGGACAAACCUCAGCGAGUACUCUGAGUCAUUAAGGGGGGUGUAUGUAAUAACACCCUAGGCGAAUCUCACAUCGGCAAACCACGGGAGAGAUGUUGGGUUUAUAAAAUGUGAUCCACACCUUAAUUGGUAAGACAUGUUUUAGGGUGUAUGGGUGCCCCAGGAACAAAACCGUGCGGGUCUUUUUAAAGCUCAAAGCGGAUAAUAUCUUACCAGGUUUGGGUUGGGUCAUGACAAUUUUCUUGUACCUACAAAGUUAUAAACACAUUAAUUUAUUAAAAUAAAGUUCCACCUUUAUUAUUGCAAUUCUCUACAUUUAUUAUUCCCCACAAAUAUAUAUCUCGGCACUUAGUAGAUAGAUUAUUUUAUUAUAACUAUCAAUAGAUUUUACUUGCAUAAUAGAUAUUGAUGAAAUUAUAUAGAGUAAUUUCGUCCAAUUAUAUUAAUCGUUUAUGAAUUUCAUCACAAAUUUAUAUGUGGCCAAUACCGUGCAAGUGAAAAUUAUUUUGAGUUUUAUCCACCCGUUUACCAUUUCAAUAUAUAAAACUCUCCUAUUGCUUUAAAGUGUCAUUUUUUAUUUUAAACAAGUCUCAGCCAAAGAUUAAAUUGUCAUCUGUUCGCAAGAUAUUCAGCACAACACUUGAGCGAAAUUUCUUCAUCCUUGAGCGGAAAAUACAAAGAAACACAUAGUUCGCAAUUUUAGUAGCAAAAUUAAUAUUUUGUUCCAUAUGGGGUAAAUCUUCAGGAGGCCCAACUUCAAACUUAAAAUGUUAAUUUUAAGUUAUUAUGUAGUCGUUAGGAAUUUCGGAAUUUGAGAAUUUUGAUUGUUGCUGCAGGCUGCAGCGAUUUUGUCAUGGCGACUUUGAUUCAUAAUUGAAGUACUGUUGCAAGUAAAACUAAAAAAAUAAUUAACAAAAUAAAAAAAAAUCGAGUUACUUGAUUUUAUAUGUAUAAAGUUUAUAUAUCAAGUGCUUAGGGGUCGAAUCAGUCUUCUUAUACCUAAUUUUUAAUAUUUCACUUCGAAACCUCAAAAUUUUUCAAAGCUCGUAGGGUCACAAUCCCCGCUAGGAGUGGGCAAAUUUGUGUUCAGAUCAACUUGUUUGAGUUUUGGGUUGAUUAGGUUAGAAUAUUCAGAUUGGAUUGGAUUAGAUCAAAAUCAAAAAGUAUGAGAGAAAUUAAUUGACUUCUCCCAAGAAAAAUACAUACUGAUGAUUGAUAUAUAACCAUUAAAUAAUAAAUAUGUUAGACUUACUUUAUUUUUUAGCCCUAAAUAAUAAAAAGGUUUAUUAUUGCUUGACUUUUCGAGUUUAAAAUUUGAAUGUCAAAUUAGAUAAAAAGUUAAAAAAUUAUUUUGAGUUUUAUCCACCCGUUUACCAUUUUAAUAUAUAAAAGUCUCCUAUUGCUUUAAAGUGUCAUUUUUUAUUUUAAACGAGUAACAGCUUUGUCCUGCUUCAUGUGCCUCCGCUCUGCAUCUUCCAGCACAGCUUGAAUGUCUUGAAGAUUGGUAGUAAGCUUUCCCACUUCUUGUUCGACACUCGUCACAAGCCUCCACUUUUCUUUCACCUGAUCUUGAGCAAUGGAAUUCAGCUGGUCCAAGAGAGAGGAAACGAUCGCAUGAGCCAUUCUGAUAUUAGAUCAAAUGGUAAAUGCUGCAAUUGCUUUUCUUGCUAAAAUGCUCAGAGGAAAGUAGCUUUUAUGUAUUCUGUGAGAAUGUUCAUUCAAGCAUGUUUGCAUAUUCUUCUUAUAGCAUAGGAGAUAUUUAAUUUUUAUCCUUGAGUCAAUGCCAAUGUGAACGUUCUUUUGUGCUGCAAAUUAAAGGAGUCCCCACACAUGGGUUCUUUUGUGCACGACAAGAUGCACAUGGGUUCACAGCAUCAACCCAAUGUGAACGUUCUGGGGCUAGCUUUCUGAUCCACCACGUCAAUAAUUGUACAGCAUCUGCCCUGUUUCUCUGAUUCAUAAUAAUUAUUCAGAGUACUCAGCAUCUGCUCCACCACGUCAAUAAUUGUACAGCAUCUGCCCCGUUUCUAUGAUUCAUAAUAAUUAUUCAGACUACUCAGCAUCAGCUCCUGUAAAAUUUCUUAUGUACUAAGCAACAAAAUAUUUGUGAACUACAACAAAAGGCUUAGAUCAAUCCACCGAUGAACCUUCUGAAGUUAUAUGUAAUCUAUUAAUUGUUGAUCUAGAAUAGUCUUAGUGGAUAGAUUUUUUUUUAUUAUAAAUAUCAAUAAAUUUUUUAUCGUCUAAUAGAUAUUGAUGAAAUUGUAUAGAGUAAUUUCGCCCAAUCAUAUUAAUCCAUUAUGAAUUUCAGCACAAAUUUGUAUGUGGUGUGGACCGUUCAAGUGAAAUUUCAGAUAAAAUCAUCCCCUGACAAUUUAUUUAUUAUAUGUUUUCUGAUAAAAUAAUGUUAAUUAGUAAUUUAUUACAUCUGCAAUUAGCUAGAUACUUUGUUUGAGAAAAAAAAAUAAAAUCAGUUUCACAAUGAUUUUAAUUGCAAUAAAUAUCAUGCUGUGGUCUAUGACUUAUCUGAUAUUACAGAGAAAAUAUGUGAAAGAUAACUAAGUAAUAAAUCCAUUACGAAUUUCAUCACAAAUGAAAUUUAUUUAUUAUAUUUUUCAAUUUAACCUUAACGUUUGGACCAUUUUUUUUCUAUAUGGAUUAUGGCCGACAACGUUUGUUAUCAGCAAAAGCCAUUUGUUAUCUUGUCAAAAUUUGCUACAACACCACCAUUUUCUUACAUUUUGGCUUCUUCAAUGUUAAAGCCGUGUGCUGCCAAUUUUACUUCUUUAAAGAUGCUGCAGCCCUCUUUGAUUUUUCUUUGUUCAAAAUGGGCUGCUUUUAGAAUUUAGCAGUUACUUUUCUUGACAUUAAAUAGAUAGAACACUCUAGCACGUAGUUCUAAUCAUGUUGCAGAUAGAACACUCAAACACGUUGUUAUAAUCAUGUUGCCUUGACCUUAUUUUCUUAAAGCAUGUUGACAAAUACAAUAAUCUGCAUUUGGAGGAUGAUUAUGAAGAUAAAAACAAUAGAAAGUAUAAAUGACUAAUAAUAUACAUGACUUUAAGUGACAUGAGAUUUUUAAAACUAAACAAAGCUAACACAAGUAGAUGAUCCUUUCAUUAUAAUAUGUCGCAAAAUAAAAACUAAAUAAUAUUUAUUUCUUUUAUUUUUUUAGUUUAAUUCAUACUUCAGAAUUAUGUUAGGAUCAACCCAUACAAAGAAAAUCUCACAAGUCCUCUGAAGUAAUAAGCAACAUACAUAUGUGUGUGUGUGUGUAGUACAAUUUAAUAUUAUUUCAACUAGCGAAAUUUAUUGUGGAAGUCAUAAAAAUUAAGAAUGAAGAAAAGGAACCAUGAACCCAAAACAGAACGCAAAAAGUAGUCAUAUUUGUUCAUGAGGGAAUUCUAACAUGCCAAUCCUUGUGUUUAGAAUAAUCAACGAUGUCGAUAUUUCUCUAUAAUGGUCUUACAUUGAACAGAAACGUACGGAAGCAUGUGUUUAAUAAUCAACGAAUCAUACGAGUCAAAGAGUACUGAAAAGAAUACGUAAAAACUCUUUUAAUCCCUAUAUUUUGAGGUUAGUAACGUAUAUUUUUAAGAAUACCUCAAAACUCCCAGCCGUUAAACUAUUGACGCAUCUGCCUUUUUAUUUUUAUUCCUUUUAACUUGCUUCAAUAAUAUUAGCCUUUUACAAUAAUUUUUUUGGAGAGUAAUAAAAAGAAAAAAAAUUAUCAAUUUAAACCUAAAAAUAAUACACACACAUACAUAUACACUAAUUUUUCUAAAAGCUCACAUAUGUAAAAAAAAGUAAUAUUGUAAAAAAAAUUAAAUUACGAACUUUUUUGGACAUUAAUAAAAACAUAAAUAUAUUAACUCCUCAGCAAAAUGUUCCACAUUAAUUUUUUGAGAUUAAAUUGAUAAUUCAAUUUUUUCUUUUUAUUAAUGUAAAAAAAAUAAACAUUAUUGUGAGAGAGUAAUAUGUAAAAGCAAGCUAAAUGGAACAAAAAGUAACGGCAGGGGUUUCAAUAAUUUAACAAUAGAGAUGUUUUGAGGUAUUUCUAAAUAUAUAGUGACAAAAAAGAUGCUAACCUAAAAAUAUAGGAGCUAAACGAGCUUUUAUCCAAAGAGAAUCCAUGUAUAGCCGAUUUUACUAGAAUUUGCAAAUAAAAUGCAAAUACCAUUAGUCUUAUAAAAAACAUGCAACUUUUUAUCAGCAACCUGUAAAAUACCAUUAGAAGAGAUACUUGUACCAUUUCCAUGGGAUCAUCAAUCUCGAAACAAAACAGUUUCUGCGAGGCACCAUAUCAGCAUGUAAAAUGCCGCUUCAUUGACUAGUAUUUGAAAAUGACAAGAAGUGCAUAAGAGAAAUUUUAGAAUACCUCUAAAGUACCAUAUCAUUUAUACAAUAAGUAAAUAAUUUUAUAGUAUAAGUACAUUUAUUUUGAAGAAUCGACAAGUAAUUAAUGGUUAUACAAAAUUUAAAUUCACAUAUCAUAUAUGUAUUAAUUGAUUAUAUUAUCUCUUGGGUGCUACUAAGUUACAGCUGCUGUAACUUAUAGCCCCUUCAAAAUAAUGUAAACAACUGUCAUAGGUGGUAGGACCCGCAUGAUUUUUAAAGGAAUUAUAAAUUAUAGCAGUAGUAACUUAGCAAAAUCUUUAUCUCCUAUGCAUUUUGACUUGCUAAGUAUGAGAAGUCCCCCUGGGAUUCAAGAAGAAGGAAAUGAAGAAUGGGAACGAAAUGAAAUAAGGUCUUUCUGCAAGAUCAUACUUUGUAAUACCCCACCUCGCUGCUUUGACUAAUUUUGACUCGCUUUUUGAUUAUAUAAAAAAAGGAAACUAUAAAUUGUUUAAAGAAGAGGAAGCAUAUUCACACGUGAGAGAGAGAGAAAGUUGCCAAAGCUGACUCGGAAAACCUGACCCAUGAACCAACCCGGCCACCAUUUCUCGUUCCUGGCCACCCCACCAGCAACCGGAGGUACCAAUUAGAAGCUUUAGAACCAAUGGUCAGUUCCCCACCAUCGUUAUCGUUGAAUAACGGCUGGAAAGCCAUCAUUUGAGCCUGCAAAACCUAUAGUAUUUGCCACCUCCAUUCACCGUGAUUUCGCUGGUUUUAGGUGACGCCACCGAAUGGAUUUCGUUCCUCAGGUCACUACCUUCAUUUUUCGACCACCCACAUCACCAAAAAUGGUCAAUUUGCUGCCAAUCGACCACCGGAGUGUUCACAGCUUUGGGAGCUCGAUCUGGUGCCUCUGCCACCACUGUUGGAUUCAACGCUACAUGAAGCUUCUAUCCCGACCUUUCCUGUCACCGUCAUCUGAAUUUCGAUCACCGUUGCUCGAUGAGAGCAUUUUGGUGAUUUUUUAGAAUUUGAGGGUAAUUUCUUAAAUUUUUUAUUUUGUGAAUAUUUAAGUGAUUUCUAAUUUGGAGGAUAAGAAUCUAAGGGUAGUUCAAUAAAUUAUGAUUUUGAGGAUAAUUUAGCAACUUGUGAUUUUGAGAUUUCGGGAACAUUCUAGUAAUUUAAAAUUUUGGUAUUUUGGUAAUUAAUUAUUCAAAUUGAGAUUAAUUGAGGUUAAGUUUAGAGGGUAUUAUAUUGAGGAAUUUGAGAGCAUUAGAGUUUAUGAUUUGAUAUGAUUUUAUCUUAUAUGAGUAUUUUUUAUUGAUUUUAUCUUAUAUGAUUUGAUAUGAUUUUUUAGGUCGGUGAUAUCGAUACAUAUUUGUUACUCGAGGAUGCUAGAAGGUAAGUAAACUAGAUUUCUAAAUGAGUCACAAUAAAUAAUAUGCAUAUGUUUGACAUGUUUGAAAAGCUUAUUUUGAUAUAUGCGGAUAUGGAUUUAUAUGCUCUGCCCAUGUGUUUAUAUGAUGUGUUAAUAGGAUGUAUUGUUAUGUGUUAUGUGUGUUUAUGGACGUGGACAUAUGUCUGUGUGAAUGUUUCAAUGGCAUUAGCACGAAAAUGUAUUAUGUUUUCUGUGAAAUGAGAAAGUGGAUUUUAGCCAAACGAAAUUGGAAGAAAGAAAGUAAGCUUUACAUUAAGUAGUAGCAAUCCUUAUGAAUUUCCGCGAGGUGAUGAAAACCUAGGCCAUACAUCAAACAAAUGUCCAAAACGAAGACAACAAAUAGUCAAUUUGGCAACUAAUGCAGAGGAAAAUGAAAAGCCUAAGGAUGAACCGUAUAAAGACAACGACGACAUAGAAAAGGAGGAAUAGUAGACAUAUUGAGACACAUGAGUAUCACUAGUAACACAACAUUUGUUAUACACACUAAAGAAAGACGAAGACACUCAGAGACACAACAACUUCAAAACAAGGUGCACAAUCAAUGAGAGGGUAUGUAAUAUGAUUAUUGACAGUGAUAGUAGCAAGAAUAUAGUUUCGAAGAUUAUAGUUGACAAGUUACAACUUAAAACUCACAAACAUCCUUCCCCUUAUUGCAUUGGAUGGAUAAGAUAUGUUGGAGAGAUCAAGGUUACUCAACAAUGUUGUAUUCUUUUUUUCUAUCGGAAGAUACAAAGAUGAAGUAAUUUGCGAUCUUCUUGACAUGAAUGCUUGCCAUUUGCUUCUCGGGAGACCCUGGCAAUUUGAUCUUAAUAUGGUACAUCAUGGGAAAGAUAAUACAUACAGGUUCUAUAAAGACAACAAGAAGGUUAUCCUUGCUCCGAUAAAGUCAAAAGUCAAGGGAGCCUAUCUUUUAGUACAAAAGACAUAGCUGAAGUAGAAUCGAUGCCUGAAUAAGUCCAAUCGCUACUCUCAUAAUUUCAAGAUAUCAUGCCUAAAGAGCUUCCUAACAAGUUACCUCCUAUAAGGAUUACCUGUGACUCAAAUUAAAAGAGAACUUGUAAUGGUUUGCCCCUACAAGUCUAUAGUUUUUAAAAGAACCAUACUAAAAAACAAGAAGAAAUUGAAAUUUUGGUACUUUCGAGUUUUAAGAAAAGUUGAUGCAAAGUGCUACACUUUUGCAGUGCAAGAUCAAUUACUCCUUUGUUACAAGCUUUAUCCUCCAUAUUGUCCUUUGUUUUCAGCAAAACUAUGAGUUUUUUUUCAAAGAGGAGGAGACUGAUGUAGGAAGUAUAUACGAUAGAAUAUAUAAAAAAUUAUAGUAUUUGAGUCGAUUUAAUAUUUAAUAGUCUAUUAAGAUUUAUCCUGUUAGAGUAUAAGUUUUCUAGUUUAAUUAGGAAUUACUUUAUAUCUCCUUAUUUAAAGUCAUAUUCCUUUUACUUAUAAGGAAUCAUAAUUUUAUUAGGAUAGGAUAAUCUUAAUUAGUAUAAAUAGGCUUAUUAUGCUUGUUUCUUGACACAAGCUUUUUCAUUAAUAAUAUUUAGUAUUUCUCAAUUGAGAUAUUUUCUCCUUUGUGAGAGCUCACUUUCUUGAGUUUUCAAGAACGUACGCUAGAACUAAAUCUAGUAUCGCUUCCGCCCUGCAUCAUAAAUUAUCAUUAAAUGUAAAAUAAAACAUAAAUUAAUUAAAUAAAGCUUAAGACCUAUAAAUUGAUUGUAAAACAAGUAAAUUAGCAUAGGAAUGGUAAAAUGAUGUAUGAUUGAUAAACAAAAUAUAAACUUACAAAUAUUACACAAAACUUGCACUACAAGAAAACUGACAAUAGAUGACAGACACUUGUUGAUAGAUUCUGAGUGGGUCAUAAAAGCAUGAUAUAGUUGUGAUAUAUUUUUGGCUGUCAUAUAUUCAUGACUGAUUUGUGAUGGACUCGUGAUAGAAAAAGAGUAUGUCAAGAAUAUAUGAUGUCUUUGUGAUAUAAAUUUAAACGUCAAUAAGUCAUGAUAGAAAUUUAACGUUGCCUUAAUUUUGGCGCUUUUUUGACUGAAACUUUUAGUGUUAUUUAAAAUAAAAUAUUACACAAAGGAAGACACGUCAUCGUUUUAGGGAAGUUGGAACUAUGACGUUUUGUACAUAAAUAUAAAAUAUUAUAUUUUUAAAAUGUUUUAUUAUAAAAUAAAAUUAAAAAACAUGAAACGCACCGUUUUGGUGCUGAGUUUCACUUCUUCAAUCCCUAAUUUUUUCUAAGUAUUAACACAUACAACUCACAAACAUACAGAGAGUAUAGGGUAAGGCUAAAAUCUCAGCCAUCAUCUUACCCUCUUAUAUUGACUUCCUUUUCGCCUUCAUCUUACCAAAAUCUUGACCAUCGUCAUCUUGCCAUCGUCUUCCUAACGUAUUGGUUACCGAUUGCGUUGAGAAAUUGAGUGGGUGAAGGUGCAUUUUGUGGUAUCGCCAUUGUCUUCUUCUCCAUCAUGUUCCUCGCCAUCGUUUUCUGUCCUCAUCUUACUGUCUUCCUCACCGUCAUUUUUUGAAAGCCCUUGGUAUGAUUUCUAUUAUGUCUUUAUUUUGCAUGCUGUUUGUUUUGCACAGAUCUAAGUUAAAUCAAUUAAUUCUAUAAAUAAUCUAAUGAGAAAACCUAAUUAAAAAAAUAAAUUAUUUAAUUUGCUGAAAGAGAGCAAAGAAUGUAGGUUGUUAGGGUUCGCAGUAGCAGAAGCAACAGUAGUGUAGCAGGAGUGAAGUAGAUUUUAGAGAUGAAGGAUUAAAAAAAAGGGAUAAUUAUUUUGCAGCAGUAGUACUACUAGUAGCAGGACCAAGAGCCAAAUAAUUUGCCUAUUGUAGUAAAUUUGCAUGUCUAGGGGUUAAUUUUUCAUUGAAGUUUGGGGUUAUUAGGAAAUGAGUGAAGUAGCAGUACUUUUUUUUGCAACAAAUUUAUACUUAGAACCUAAUUAGAACCUAAUUUACCUUCUGAUGCAAAAUUGUAUUUUAUUUUAUUGAAAAGGGUAUCUGUGUUUUUGUUGACUCUGUGUUUUUGUUGAAGUAGCUUGCUGCCACCUCUUUUGUUGCAGAGUUUGCUGCAUCUCUUUUGCUGGAACAAUUUGGUGUAGAGGAAUUAAUUUUUAUUUGGUAAGUAAAUUGCACUUCUUUAUUUUUAGAGUUUUGAGUUCGUUAGUUAAUUAAUAGUUGCAUGAUAGCAAUUACUUUAAUAUUAUGGUCCUUUAUAUGAUUGUAUGAGGCUUUAUUUGUAUGUUAUGUUGUGGCUAUUGUAAUCUGUCUAUCUACUUGCAUUCUGUGUUGUGACUAAUGUAAUGUGUGGGGUCAAAAAUUUUUGUUAUGUUUAUCUUGCAAUAAGGGUAUUUAAAGUGGUGUUAAUUUGUACUUUUGCAUAUGUAGGGUUAAUUUUUUUAUUUAAGUAUGGGGAUAUUAGGAAAUGAUGAAGUUCCAAUACUGGUUUUGCAAUAAAUUUAUACUUAGAACCUAAUUAGAUCCUAAUUUAGCUUAUGGUGUUAAUCCUUUGUUUUUGUUGGAACAACUUGCUGCCACCUCUCUUGCUGCACAAUUAUUUCCUCUUCUCUUGCAGGAAUAGUUUGCUGUAGAGGAAUUAAUUUGACCUGGUAAAUAAAUUACACUUCUUUAUUUUAGAGUUUUGAGUUCGUUAGUUAAUUUAUAGAUGCAUGAAAUAUGUUUAAUAUUAUGGUCCUUUAUAUGAUAGCAUGACCUGAAGUUGUAUUAGGCUUGAUUUUAGUGUUGUGUUUAUUUACUACUGCAAUGAUUUUGAAUAUUGCAAUGUGUUUAAGUACUUGUAUUUUGUGUAGUGACUAUUAUAAUGUGUGGGGUCAAAAUUUGUUGUUUUGUUUAUGUUGCCAUAAGGGUAUUUAAAGUGGUGUUAAUUUGUACUUUGCUUAGAUAAAUUGGUAAUAUAUUCUGAUAUUUUAUUUAUUUGUAACAUGCUUAAUGUGUUAGGAUCAGAACUAAUUGAAACUGAAAAUGGAUAAGUUUUGGGUUCAUUGUAGUAAAAUGUCAAGUGAGUAUGAAGAUGGGGUUGAAGAAUUUAUGAAGUUUGCUGUUGGUAAUUCUGAAGGCAGUAGCGUCAUUAAAUGUCCGUGUACUAAUUGUAUGAAUUUAUCCUUUCGUACACAUAAGGUUGUUCGUGAACAUUUGUAUUUUCAUGAUUUUGAUGUUUCUUACACAACCUGGAGUUGGCAUGGGGAAGAUGUCAAUGACACACCAGUUCUUAAUGUAGAUGUAGAUGUUCCAUUUGAGUUUAUAGACUAUGAUGACGGUAACACAGUAGAUAUGGUUAACGAUGCUUAUAGGGAUUGUGCUGCAGAUCCUAAAGCAUUUAAAGAACUUCUAGAACAAGCUAACAAGCCUUUGUACCCAAGAUGUACAAAUUUCACUAAGUUAGGCACUUUGGUUAGCUUAUUCAAUAUAAAAGGGUAAAUUUGGGUGGUCCGACACAAGUUUUACCGAGUUAUUAAGUCUUCUAGCCAAGUUGCUGCCUGAAAGUAAUGAAAUUCCUGUGUCUAUGUACGAGGCCAAAAAGACAAUGUCCGCUUUAGGCUUAGAAUAUAUGAAAAUACAUGCUUGCCCAAAUGAUUGCAUACUUUAUAAAAAAGAGUAUGAAGGGUUGUCUGACUGUCCUAGUUGUGGUUUAUCUAGAUGGAAAAAAAAUGAUGGUAGUGUUGACCAAUAUAGGAAAGGGGUUCAUGCGAAGGUUUUAUGGUAUUUUCCGCCCAUACCUAGAUUUAAACGCAUAUUUCAGUCCUCAGAAACUGCCAAGGACUUGACUUGGCAUGCAAAUGAGAGAGCCGAUGAUGGUAAGCUCCGACAUCCGGCCGACUCGCCAUUAUUGAAAUUAGUAGAUAACAAAUGGCCUACAUUUGCAUUAGAUCCUAGAAAUCUCCAUCUUGCGUUAGCGGCUGAUGGAAUAAAUCUACAUAGCUCUCUUAGUAGUACAUAUAGUUGUUGGCCAAUUAUUCUUAUAACAUAUAAUCUUCCUCCGUGGUUGUGUAUGAAAUGGAAAUUCAUGAUGUUGUCCCUAUUGAUUUCUGGUCCUCAACAACUGGGCAACGACAUCGAUGUGUACUUGGCACCUUUGAUAGAAGAUUUACAAACUUUGUGGGCAGUUGGGGUAGAGACUUAUGAUGCCUACAGGAAUGAGUUCUUUAAUUUGCGGCCUGUGUUAUUAUGGACUAUAAAUGACUUUCCGGCAUAUGGAAAUCUAAUUGGUUGCCCUGUUAAAGGAUAUAAUGCCUAUCCAUAUUGUGGAGUAGACACUACUAAAUGUAGACUUAAACACAGUGGCAAAAAUGCAUAUAUCGGUCACCGUCAUUGGCUUCCUCAUGGUCAUGAAUUUCGAGACCAAGAGAAAGCCUUUGACAACACAAUAGAGAGAGAGUUUGCCCCGAAACUGUUGGAUGGGGAGAGUGUUUUGUGACUGAUUGAGUCUAUUGAUUAUAAAUGGGGGAAGAACAACUCUAAAAAAUGAAAAAGUUCUGACAAUGAUGAUCGCAUUUGGUGGAAAAAAAUCCAUAUUCUAUAAUUUAGAGUAUUAUAAGCAUUCACUUGUACGUCCUCAAUUAGAUGUUAUGCACAUUGAAAAGAAUGUGUAUGAGAGCAUAUACGGAACACUGCUGCAUAUUCCAGGAAAGACCAAAGAUGGUCUUAAGUCAAGGAAUGAUCUUGUGGAAAUGGGAAUUAAGAAUGAAUUAGCACCAACUUUUAAAAAUAACAUCUUACACAUUAACUAUAGAUGAAAAAACAAGGUUCUGCAAAGAUUUAAAAAGUAUUAAGGUUCCAGCUGGAUAUUCCUCAAAUAUAAAAAAUCUUGUGUCAAUGAAAGACCUUAAACUUCAGGGCCUUAAGUCACAUGACUACCAUGUUCUUAUGCAACAACUUUUGUCUAUUGCCAUUCGGUGUGUCCUGCCAAAGCAUGUUAAAGAAGCUGUGAUCAGGUUGUGUUUCUUCUUUAACUUGCUGUGUUCCAGUGUGGUUGAUGUGUCAACAUUGGAAAAAUUAUAGGCUGAGCAUAUGGUGACUUUGUGCUUGUUAGAAAAAUAUUUUCCUCACUCUUUCUUUGACAUAAUGACACACUUGGUUGUGCAUUUAGUCAAUGAAGUUAGACUAUAUGGCCCGGUUUACCUUCGAUAGAUGUAUCCUUUCGAGAGAUACAUGAAAACUCUUAAGGGUUAUGUCAGGAACCGCAACUGUCCUGAGGGUUGUAUAGCGGAGAGUUAUAUUGCGAAAAAAGCAUUAGAAUUUUGUGCAGAAUACAUGUCAAACAUGAAUACAGUUGGGGUUCCACUUGGACAUGUGCAAAACCUAUCAAAAGAUAAGCCAUUAACUGGUGGGAAAGUGGUACCAAUUCCUCCACAUUCACUAGAUCAAGCGCACCUGUACAUCUUGCAUAACACGCAAGAGGUGGUACCAUGCAUUAGGUAAUUUGGUGCAUUUCUUCAAUUCUAUAUAAUUUAUUUCUAUAAUUUUUAGUCUAAUUUUUUCAUGUUCUGGAUGUCUAGUGACCAUAUGCAGUGGCUUAAAACACGUUAUUCACAUCAAAAUGACAAAUGGUUGCCAGAGGAACACAACCGUACCUUUGCCGGUUGGCUAACUGAUAAGGUUCUAGCACGUAUAUAAUUAAUUUUCACAAAGAAAUCUCAACUUUUUUUUCACUUAGUAAAGAUGUUUACUUUUCUUCCUUGUCUUGUUAGGUAUAUGACUUGAUUGAAAAAGGUGAUCACGUAUCGGAUACUUUGCGAUGGUUAUCACAUGGGCCUCUUCCUUUUCUAACUAAACAUAAUGGUUAUGACAUUAAUGGUUUCCAUUUUAUUACACGAGAUCGAGACUCAAGUCAAGUAACUCAAAAUAGUGGAGUUAGUGUAGGUGAUUCUGAUAUAUGUGAUAUGACAUAUUAUGGAGUUAUAGAUGAAAUUUGGGUACUUGACUAUCAUUUGUUGAAAGUCCCUAUGUUGAAGUGUGAUUGGGUUCAAAGUAGUAAGAAGGAUGAGCUUGGAUUCAUCUUAGUAAACUUAAACCGAUUAGGAUAUGAAUCUGAUCCAUUUAUAUUGGCUUCUUAAGCCAAACAAGUAUUUUAUGUAAACGAUCAGAUUCAAACAAAGCGGUCUAUUGUCUGUUAUAUGCCUAGUAGAAGUAAUCCUAAUAAAACAAAUGAAGAUGAGGUCAAUAAUGUAACAGAAUAUCCUCCCUUCACCAGAGAAUUUCCAACUAAUGAUUUGUUACAUUUUACAAAUGGCAACCGCGCAAUCUAUGCACGAAAUAGCAAAGAGGGAAUUUGGGUUACCAAUUGAUUAACUUUUUUCCAGUAAGUGUUUAUUCAACUAUUCAGUCUAUGUUACAAACUAAUAUGAUAAUGAAUUAUUGUAGCUACUUUAUUCUUGCAGCUGAUUGAAUGUUAUAUAGUUUUAUAUUAUCAGUUAACUAAUACAAUUUAAUUUACUUAUUUCAGGUGCAGUAAUAUAGCUAAGGGAAAACAUGUAGUGGCUGAUGUUGCUUCUAAUCAGGAAGCUUAUUUUGAAGACGAAUACGACGACUUAUUUGCCGUGGUAGAUAAUUUAGCAGAUGCAAAAAACGAGGCUCAUUUUGAUGGUGUUGAGAUGGAUGGUGUUGAGUGUGAUGGAGGUGAUAAUGAUGGUGCUGAUUUGGAUAGAGGUGAUUUUGAUGGUGCUGAGAUGGAUGGUGUUAAUUUCGUUCCUCCUGAUGCUGAUGUUCCUGAAAGCAGUAACUCUAGGAGAGGUGUAAAUAUGGGAGCUAGGCAAAAUAAAAGACUUAAAACAAAGAAGGGAAAUAUUGUGGUACAAUACAAUAAAAUGGGCGUUCCAGCAGGCGAUGAAGCCACUGAGUUGGCUUCUCUUAUUGGGGUAUUAGCUCGUACAUCAGUUUUAAUUCUCUAUUCCAACUGGCGUAAGGUUCCGCUGGAGACAAAAGAGGUUUGUGGAAAUCUGUUCUGUUAAUUCUUAAAAAUCCACUACAUUCUACUUAAUCCUUUUGCUGUCAUUUUUCAAUUAUGUACUUUUAUGUAACAUAAUUUUUAUUAACUGUCACUUAAACAAUCUUCCUCUUAUUUAGGGUCGUUUCAUUGUUCAUCCUAGAAGUAGGAAGUAGGUGAUACAAUCAAUUGGAAUAGCAUUUCGGAACUUCAAGUAUAUGCUAGCCAAAAACUAUAUCUGGAAGUCCAGAAAUGAUAAAAAGAAAUUGUAUGCACCCGCAAUUGAGUACCCUCAAAUAAAACGUCCUAUUUGGAUAAAGUUUGUCGACCAAAGUUUGUCGGAAUCGUUUGAAGUAAGUAUUUUCAAGUUAGGACAAGUAAUAUGUUAGUAGUUACAUUAUUCAAGUUAGGACAAGUAAUAUGUUAGUACUUACAAUAUAUUUACCUUGUGUUAUGACUAAUCUAAUUACGCAGAAAAUCAAUCGUGUCAAUAAGAACAGGAGAGCUUUGAACAAGUGCAAUCAUCGCCUUAGUCGAAAAGAAUACAUUGGAUUAAUGAAAGAAAUUGUAAGUGUGUUAAAUAUUUAAAUUGUUAAUGAAAUAAUUUAUAUAUCAGUUAAGCAUGUAAAUUUUUUGCUUUGUUAAAUAUUUAUUAAAGGUUUAGUUAACUAUUAAAUUUUGUAACAGUUAACUAAUCUAAUUUCUUUAUCGAAGUAGUGUGCAAAAUCAGGGCUUUCUGAAGAGUUAAUUAACAGGAGUGAACUAUGGAAGAGAGCUCAGAUGCUAAAGAAUGGAGGACACGACUUUGAAACUGAACAGAUCAUUAAGAAAAUGGCAAUAAAGUUUAACUAGAACAAACAUUGUUUUUGAAGUCUGAUCUAUGCUCAUUUAAUAAUAUUAGUUUUAUGGUGGGUUGUUAGGAAAUGCUAGAGAAAGAGGACAAAAAAGACUCAUACAAUUCGGAUGCAAGAAAUGACUUACUUGCACAAGCAUUGGGAAAGCUUCCUCGAACUGGUCAUAUGCAAGACUUGGGCAAAUUUAUUUCUGCUUCUAUGUGCUUUCACUGCCUACAUGGACCCAUCUGAAAUGAGAGAGAGAGGGAGCUGGAUGCUUGCAAAAAAAUCAGUAGAUGAACAAUUGCGAGAAAUUUGCAAAGAAUUGAAGAGGACACCUUACCAUUCAGAUGUUGGAAGUUUCACUUUCCCACAUAAUAUGGUCGAUAAUGACACUAAGGGAGAUAUACAUAAGGUACUUUAGUUAUCUGUGUUACCCAAAUUUUUCCUGAUUUAAGUAUUUUUCCUUGUAUAUCUUCCACUCUGAAGAAGAGGAAAUGGAUGUUUGGUCAAAGGGACGAACAUCCUAAAGUAUCAACACUAAGAAAGAAAGAAGAAGUUCAGAAGAAAGAAGAGCCACCAAAAAACACAACUACUGCCAUUUCGAUGAAGUCAGCCAAAAAUGAUGACAGUGAAAAUGACAAUGAAGGAGAUGCACAUAAGGUUAGUUUAUUCAUAAUAAAUGGUUGUAUUUUUCCUAGAUUAUGAUUUAUUGCCUUGUAUAUUUACUAUUCAAUCUAGUUUAAUAUACUUACUAUUUCAUAUAAUUAAUCUUCACAGGUAGAUAAUUUGGGCAAGCCACUAGCAAAUGCCGCUGCUGCCAUUCCGGUGAAGUCAACAAAAAAUGAAGGCAGUGAAGGAGAAGUGCAUAAGGUUAGUUAAUAAAAUAAAUUGUAUUUAAGCUGUUUUUGUCUUUGUAUGUGUGAUUUCUUUUUUUAUUGGCUAAUUGUUUACUAACAAUUUGAUAUCAAUAACAUCCACAGGAGCCAGAUGAUUUGGGCAAGCCACCAAAAAAUACUAUUACUGCCAUUUUGAGGAAAAGUCCAAGACUUAAUCCUUCAAUCCCAAAGGAUUAUGCAAAUGAUGAGAGGAAAAUAGUUGGAAGCAAUAAAAAGCAAUUGGAUUUUGAAUGUCUUGAUGGUACAUCUAAUGGUAUACAAGAGAGGCAUCCUGAUAGCCCAACAAAAAAGACAUUUUUGAAAAAGGAUAGAGCUAAAAAAGGUGUAGUGCAGCCUAUGAGGAACACAAGGAGUGCAGUAUUCAAGCACCAGAACAGUCAUCCUAUGCUGCAGGUAAAUUGUGUGAGAAAUACCUGCCUAAUGAAAAUGAUGGUGUUUUAACAUAUAUGAUUGAUGAUAAUGUAUUCCAAAGACAUGCUUGUGCGUACAUUGGGAAGAAAGAUUGCAAUGAACUGUUGUCAAUGCAAGCACUAGGAGUAGAUGUUAUUCAAGUAUAUAUGGCGUAAGUGGUUUAAUGAAUUUUCUUUACACUAUUUUAUUUGAAAUUAGUAUACUUUUUUUAUUGAUGCACUGAUUUUCUAUUUAGGAUGUUGGAUUCCACCAUUCUACCAACCAGAAAAGGAAUAAAACCAUUUGGAUUCAUGUGUCCAAGUUUAGUUUGCCCAACAAAUCCAAAGGCUGUAGAAAAAUUUCGCUCAAAGAGAGUUGAGCAUAUCCACCACCGCUUGAAAAAGGCCAAAAAGGGACAAUUCAUUCUCAUGCCAUAUAAUCCUUUGUAAGUUUUAAUUUUCAUUUAAUACUUUUACGGUUGUUUUUGAAUUUAUAUUACUUUUACAACUGUUUGUUAAUUCAUGGUUUUGUUUUCUGCUUUUUUUCCAACUGCCUUCUCCUAUUGUAGCUACCAUUGAGUUUUAGUUGUGUUUGACGUGGUGAAAAAUGAAGUGUUUUAUGUAGAUCUUGUGCAGUCCAGUCCUGUUACUGAUUUAGAACAGCUCCUUAAAAUGUAUGUAUGCCAAUCCAUUUCAUGCAAUUGAUAUUUUAAGAUUUUUCAAUAUAAUUAAGAGAUAACACUUUGAUUUUUUUUUUAUAGCACCAUGACACUCUUCACAGCAGAGGAUAGUAAGGAAAAAUGGAAUUAUAAUUCUAAGAUGAGAAUUGUGAAGGUAAAAAAAAAAUAACCCUGUAGAAACUAUAUGUGCUUAUUGAUUACAUAACUAAAAUGAAUGAGAUUUUGUAAGUUUAUUUUUUUUUUGUGGCAUGAACAGGGUCUGAAACAAAAUAUCGCAAAAUUGGAGUGUGGCUAUUAUGUGUUAAGAUACAUAAAGGAAAUAAUAGCUGAUGUUAGUUUGUUAAUGAACAAUGUAAGUUGAUGAUGGCAUUUCACUACCUUUCUUUUAUUCCAUAUAUGUGACAUUAUUUUUUAAGUUUGACCUCUUAAUAAUCUUGUGAUUAACAGUUUAAUGGAAAGAAAUUAUACACUCAGGACGAAUUAGAUGAGGUUCGUUUGGAGUGGGAUAACCAUUUUUCCGACAUCCUUGUUGCAUCAGCAAAAUGGUUAGUAUUAGUAUGAAACUAUAAUUAUUAGUUAUAAAAUUUAUUGAAAUUAAAGUUAUAGUAUCAAAUUAUAAUGGUUACUAGCUGUUAACAAUUGUAGUGUACGUGUUUUGCAUUCGAUAACAUUGGGUAUUUUGAUUGAUUCCGAAUAGAUUGGUAUUGGUUUGCUGGGUUUCGGUUGGAGGGUUGCUGGGUAUGUGGCUGGAAGAUAUACCAGUGGUGUGGACAGCUGUUGGGUUGGAAGAUGCUGGGUUGCUGCUGAAUGUGUGUUGGGAGUGUUGUUGGGUAAGUGGCUGGAAUAGCAAUGAAGUGUAGUUAGAAGAUGUAUUGCUGCUAGAGGUUUUUGUUGGUGUGGAAAGAUGUAUUGGCCUGCUGCCGUUAUGCCAGUGGUGUGGAAUGAUGCAUGUAUUGGCUUGGUGGCUGGAAUUUGGAAAUCUGUUCUUGUAGUUUAACUGGAUGAAUUUUUUUUUUAAUUUCGGAUGUUGCUUAUAUAUGUAUUGGUAGUGAUGACAAUAUUAGACACUAGAUGUAUUUAUUUUGAAAUUAACUUGUUGGAAUGAAUGGAUGUUAAUUAAUAUUAAUUAUUUUUAUUUUUUUAUUUUUUUCAUGAUACUCAUUUUUAUUAAUUAAUUAAAUUUGUAAACAUGAAUACAAAAAUUAAUUAUAAUUGUUUUUUUUAAAUUAACUUUAUGACAGGAAAUUCCCAUCAUAUGGUCUGUCAUAAAGAAUUUCCUGCCAAAAAAUGAAUAAUAAAUUUACAAAUGAUAACAUAAUUUCCCACCAAAACUGAAUAAAAAAUUUACCAAUUACAAUAAAAUUUCCAGUCAAAAUUCAAAAAUUUGGCGCAAAAUUUUAAAUAAAUUCAAAUUUUAAUUUAAUUAUUUUUUCACAUUAAAAUAUUACGUGACAGAUAUAUGACUAUAAAAUACCAUCGUUAAUUUAUGACGGUAAAUAAUCUGUCAUACAUUAAUGACAGUGGACAUAGAUGACAAAUGAAGUGUCUGUCAUGCACCCCCCUUUUUAUGAACGGUUAUUUUUCCGUCACCUAUUGCAUGUUUUCUUGGAGUGUUGUAAAUUAAAUUAAGGUGUAAAUAAAAACAUUAAUUUNNNNNNNNNNNNNNNNNNNNNNNNNNNNNNNNNNNNNNNNNNNNNNNNNNNNNNNNNNNNNNNNNNNNNNNNNNNNNNNNNNNNNNNNNNNNNNNNNNNNNNNNNNNNNNNNNNNNNNNNNNNNNNNNNNNNNAAAUGAACUUAUUAUUGAGCAUGCAACUUUCCUGUAUUUAAGAUAUUUCCCAAAAUCUAACGUGAUUGAUAAUGCAAUCCUUUUGACAUGAUUUAGCAUUAUUUUUGCCAUUCUUAGGACUUUUCUUGGAUAUAAUCCAUAGUGAUUAUUUUAUUUUAGGUAUAUUUUAGUUAAUACAAGGAUUCUAUGACCUAUUUGAGUUUUUAUUAUUUAUGGAAAGCAUAGUAAUCAAUUCCUACACAAAUUACACUUUCCUGCUUCUAUAAGGUCUAGGUUUAUAUCUCUAUAUAAGUACAUCACUAAAAGGCUCAUCAACUUAAGGCUCAUCAACUUAAAUUUUACAUAUCAUUUGAAGAGGCAAAUAAUAAAAAAAAAUUCCCAAGGCUCUCUAAAUGAGAUUAAUCUAAUAAAAUUAUCCUUCUCUCUCUUCAAUAUCUUCUCAUUAUUGAAUGGCCAGAUAUGUUAUAAUAAUUAUUAUUUUGGUGGAGAAAAAAGUUUGAUUAAAAUAAUAUUGAAGAGAGAGAAAGACAGUCUUAUUUAAAGAAUCUCACUUAAAGAGAUUUUUUGAGCUUUUAAUUUAGUAUUAUAUUACUUUUUAUAUCUUCUCAUUCUUGAAUGGAGAGAUGUGUUAUAAUCAUUAUAUUUUGGUGGAGAAAAAAGUUUGAUUGAAAUUAUAUAUUAGAAGAGUCUUUACGGAGAUGGCUAAUUUUUUCAUUCUUCUAUUCGUCACAUGGAUAAGCAAAUAAAUAUUUGAAGAAUUAAAUUAGAAGAGUCAUUUGGUGAUACUUUCAGGGCUAUUGCUUAACUCGUUUUUGUCAUUAUUUCUCACCUAAAUAGCAGCCUAUAUCUCCAUAGCUUCUUCUUUUUUUAAUUAUCUUUCAGUUGCACAUCAUGGUUUCCACAACAUCAAGUUCAUACUUCGAAAAAUGCUAUAGCAAUCUAUAGCAAUCAUGCAAUCUUGCAGCAACUCAUAAGAACAGUAAAAAAACCCAUUUAGAUUGUUUGUCACUCAACUACAAACAGAUUUAGUUCAUACUUCGAAAAAGAAAAGCAAACAGUAAAGUAUUAGCCAUGAAAUACAUCGUUUCAAUGAAAGAGCAAGAAAAUGAACAAGUAAAGAACAAUGAAAAUUGAAUCCAAAUUGGUCUGCUGAUUUCUUCACUGAUGCAGACUUGCAUUUCCCUUGAAUUAUGAUUUUUCCUUCUUUUCCUCUUGAUUUUCUUGAUGUCAAUUCACCGCCACCCUUUUUAUGUGUUGCGCGCUCUUUUUAUAACUGAAAACUAGGGUAAACCAAACCCUAGGGCACGCAUGAUUAAGAUUAAGAAACUGCAGAUCGCAAUUCUGCAGAUAUCCCACGCUAAGUUUUCUCUAUAGUUGUUCCAGGAUUGCUACAGCAAUGGUUGCCCCAACAACGGCUAUAACACUGCACUACUUCAGAUCUUGUUUCAAUUAUUUUGUGGCCAUAUUCUUCUUCCUUUUUGCCAUCCUAUUACAUCAGCAUCCCUUCCAUAAAUUAUAGACUUCUGGAAAUCUACAAUUAUGCACACAAUUUGAGUACAAAUUACCUUAAAUCACGCAAAACUUAUCAAGGCUAAACUAAAAUGAAUGUUUAUGCAAAAUAUAACAAAAAUGCAAUAAAAACACAUCAUUUACUCUCUAAGUGAUCUUGAUUUGAGUUUAAAAUGGCCAUAAUAACUCUCAUUUCAUAGAGUUAUCACCCAACUUCACAAAUGCAAGUGCAAACUUCUUAAUAGCACGAUGAGAAAUUGACUCCAAAUUGUCUUGAAAAGAGAAUAACUACGGUUAAAAAGCAUCAAGUAUCGUAUUAUAGAAUGCGAUAAUUCCUAUGACCACACCGUCCACUGAUGGCAGUGCUUCUCCACCGCCAGAACCUUCUCUAAUUGCUGGCGACAUCCCCACUGAUCAACAACCCUCACAACAACUAUUAACAUUUCAAACCAUAAACCCUAGAUUGCAACAAACCUUUCAAAAUAUGCUCUACGUUGUCGCCACCUUGCCUACCUCCGUUGGUGGCGAUUACUUACUGACGGAACCACCAUUGAACCUUAUGUACUCCUAACAGUUGCUUCUCACCCUCCAUGUACCACCAACCCCCUCAGGCACCAAUACGCACGAGCACAAUCAAAACUCAGGCACCACUUAUUGCCCACUAUUUCCGACUCCUUUUACUAAGACAAAUCCCCUUAGCUGUAAUAUAUCUCACCAACACCUUGCUGUCUCUCUUUUGGCCACCGCUAGUGGCACCAUCAACCUGCCGGCCGCCUCAUAUCAGCCACUUUUGACCACCCAAACCCACUCUACUAUUUAAAACUGAGACUAGCUGCUAAAUGCAGAAAACCUUAGCUAUAAUAAAGAAACCCUAGCCAACAUCUGGCUUUCCAAACCAAAAACUAAACCAAAUAUCAAGCCCAAACCCAUGAUCAUUUUUCCACCCCUUACUCUUGGUCAUACAUCCAACCCACCCUGAAAGGCCUCUUUUGCAUCUAUUACGAAUCCUGAAGUUAUCCUCAACCCUAAUGCUAAAUCUUUUGUUGAUGUUAUUGCUAGCCCCCUAGAAUCUUCAAUUUAGGAAAAGCCAGUUUUAAUAUUUCAUGGUAAAACUGUUAUCAACUUUUCAGCUAUAGAAAUCCAGCCCAUAGCGUAACCAUCUAAACUUUCCCUUGUUAGUAAGUUUUUGUUUUGCCGCCCUCCUGUAGAUAUGAUAAACAAAUUCUUUGUUUCUUGAGUUUUAAAGGUAGUACACAGGUUUCUUUGCUAGAUAAUUGAUCAAGCUUUAACUUGGAGAGGAUUUCUCAUGUAUUUGGGUUAGGCACACUUGGUAUGUUAGUGGCAGGUUCACGCGUACUUUUAAGUAGUCUAUAUUUAUGCUCUAAGGAGUCUCAGUUGUUCUUGUCUAGGUGUCUUUGCCUUAUUUACCUGUGCAUUUCAUUCAUUGCAGAGAUGCUUUAUUUUCUAUUGUAAAUGCUAUUAAAAAUCCUUUACGGGUGGACCGUGCCACUGCUGCUAUUAAUAGGCCCUCGGUGGCUCAUGUACUCAUUGAGUAUGAUGUUUCACGACAAUUGUUGCCAAGACUUUGGAUUGGUAAGGGUGAUAAUGGGUUUUGGCAAGAUAUCAUCUAUGGGCGUGUUCUGUUAUAUUGUGCCACGUGUAACCAUCUUGGUCGCUUUGCUGAUGCUUAUUUUGUUACUAAUCAUGGGCUCUAGAAGCCCUAGUAACCUAUUGAUUAGGUGAAGGAUAUAGUUGCUGAUGAUACAAGUACGAUACUUAUUACUGAUGGUGUUGUCCAGCCUACUAAGGAUUUUGCUAAGUUUGUGGUUACUAAGGAUAAUCGACUACAGAGGCCUGCUCUCGUCCAAGGUCAGUCUUUAGGCCUGGCCCCCUCGAUGAUGUUGCUUGGCCGUCUGCUCUUUUUCCUCAAGAUACUGUAGACGCGACAUCUAAUUCGAUUUCUGCUCUGUGAGUUCCAAAUGAUAAUGGCUUGCAACAUAAUGUUGCUCUAAGAGAUGCUGAUGGAUGCACUAAGGUUGCUAAUUCUCUUGUUUUGGAUAAUCCGAGUGCUCUAAGGGCUUCCACAAGCUUUACUUUUUCAGGUCUAUAGUGGAUGAUAUUCACUCCAUGGUUGUGAGUUUUGAUUUUUUUUAAUAGUCAUAAGAGCACUAUAGAUGCUACAACAAUGCUCAUAACUCUUGUUGCCUUUGGACUCAAGUCUGCAUAUGGAGUACAUACUCAGCCCUGGUUACUUAGGGACUUGAGCCAUUGGAGCUAAAUUUAUUUCAUAAUGAGCACAAUUUAACCAAAAUUUUCCCCCAGCUUGAGAUAGUCUACUUUUUUUUCUUGGCUUUGCUACAACAUUCUCAUAAAACUCAAUCAAAGCUUAAGUGUCAGGACAAAAUUUCAACCUCCAUCUAUCACUAUCUCUACUUGGCAUUCUCAUAAAUACUGAAUAACACUCAAUUUAUCUUCAUAAGGUUUUCAAAUCCAAAAAAAAAAUAUUAGUUAACAGAGCUUCACACAAUACACAACACAAGCAUAAACAUACGCAUGCAUUCAGAAACACAACCCCCCCCAAACUUGAGUGGUGUUGUGUCCUCACAAGCACACAAAACAAAACCACAUAAACUAUACAUGCAUACGCUAAAUAAAAGGGCAUGUAGAAUGAAUCAGAAAAUUAAAACUGAAUGAAAGAAAAGUUGUCCAGAAAUAAAUAAAAUAACUAGCAAGAACAGGGUACUCCCCUAUUGCUUCGGCACUGCUGCAACAUGGUGUAGUGACUUUAGCGCUUUUUGGAUGCACUUCGCAGCCUAUCCUUAGGGGAUUCUUAUGGUGAGGCAGCAUGCAAUGUCUUUUUCUUUUUCUGCAACGGGCUGGUGGUAGGGGUGGUAGUUUGUGCAUCCUGCCUAGAUGAAACAGAUCUGGUUCAUUUUGGUUCUGGUGUGGCUACUGCAACAACGCCUCUAGAAGUGCCCCCCUUUCUUUUGUUGGGUCCCUUAGGACUAGUAAGAGUAGGUUUUCUGGGGGUUUAUUGUGAAGGGGCUAGAGUUAGGGCUUCGGCUGCCUGUCCCUCAGUCGUGAUUGCGGCAAUGAUAUUAAGCAGCUACUUUGUCUCUGUUUGUGUACGCGUAACUCUGGCUACUGCAGCUUCUAAAGCUGCCUCAAUUUGCUCAGCUUCAUCAUCAGAGGCAGAAGGGGUGAUUACUUUCUCUUUGCCCUUUCGAGAAAGGACUAGAAUAUGAAGCUCAUCUGCUGGUUCAUCAUCCUCUUCUUGUAUGAUGCACUUUUUUCUGAAUUUGUAGAGGGUCUUGGCUGGGGAUUCCUUAAGUUCUCUCUUAGGCUCUUCCUCUGCCGGGGAACUGUCAAUUGCGGACUUGACACCCUCUUCUUCAGGUUGGUCAGAUUGGUCAUCAGCAUCUGUUUCGGCCUCUGCUUGCGGUUCUACUGUAACUUCUUCCUCUGGUUCAUCUGUGUCAAUAGCUUCUUCACUGACUUCUACUGGAGCUUCUGUAGUGUUGGUAUCAAAAUUAUAUUGCUGGAGCAAUGAAUCAGGGAAAUUUCGGUGGGUACUUUUCAUAUAUACAACAAAUUUGUGUAAGUGGCUUUCCAAGUGUUGCAAAUAGCUCCAAAAUCGAUUGUUUUCCCUCGGCUGAGCUUCAGCACAUUAAGUGAUGCCAGUGCUCAGUGUUUGGAUUCUUUGUUCUAACCCAAUAACUUUUCUUGCCCCUAUUACAGCAGCUGGUUUAGAUAGGGCUCCAGUAACUUCACCAAUAAUUCUUUCGAUGGUGCGUGCAGUGAGGACACCAUCAUUCUUGACAUGCUCAUCUUUUGCAUCAAGGCGAGCUCCCGAUACCACAUAGAUGCUGGUGAUGAGCGAAAGAAAUAGCAAAGCUGCUGGUUUGUGGUUUUUCGUGGCACAGUCUCGAAUUUCUUUUUCUAUAAUGCUUCCCACAUCUAUGGGUAACCCUCUAAUAAUGACAUACAAUAGUACUAACAUUUCUUGUGAAACAGUAGUGGUGUGGGUGGUUGGCAUAAGUCUGGAUUUUAGAAAUUUCACUCACACUUUAGCAAUGGGUUUCAAAUCUAUCCUAUUAAUCACACACCCUUCUUCAUUAGCCCACAAUGCACCCUUUACAGUGAGUGUUGUGAAAAUUUUAUUCCAUUUUUGUGGGGUUAAUUUGUCAAGCAAUUUGUCAUACUCGCAAUUAACUUCAGAAGGUAAGUUAUAGAAAGCAUUUAUAACUCGGGAAUCUAAUGGAACAAGUGAGUUUCUUACCCAAAUAUUAUGCUGACCAGGGCUUACCAAAUUCGCGUAAAAUUCUUUCACCAGUGGCAACACAGGGUCUCGAGGGUGGUUGCAAAACUCCAGCCAUCCGCGCUUUGCUACAACAUUGUAUAAUGAUUGCACAAUUCGUGUGGGUUGAGGUGGGAACUGAAACCCUUUUUCUUCCAGAAUCUUGCACGGUUCAAUAAAUUCUUCAUAUUUUUCUUCUGUAUGGUAACUUUGGAAUCGUGAGGGAUCUUUUAGUCGACUGGCUGUCCUUUUGUACCCUGGCAUUGCGAUAGCACUAAGAGUUUGAUGGUAAUAUACCCAAGAGUAAAAUGAGAAGAAAAGGUUAUGGAGUAUUAAAGUCGUAACUGCGAAGGGGAAAGAAAAUAGUUUUAAAGGUCAAUAUGCACAGUGAUGCCCUUAUAUAGGUGGGAUUAAAUGAAAACAAAUCUUGUAAAAGAGAUAAAUUAGAGAAGAAUUUUUUUCAAAUUUAUUAAGCACAUCCAAUAAAAAUAGGCAAGAGAAAUUAAUGUGUUAAUUUAAGAGAUAUUCUUCCUCAAUUUUUAUCCAAAUCCACCCAACCAUCUGUCACAUAUUAUUUCUAACGGUAACGUGAGAGGCUCCGUGAUGAAGUUACUGUAACGAUAAUAUUGGUUGCUGCAGUACCCAAUUGUGUGCUCUAGCAACGAUUACACAUUCUCCUCAAAUAGUUGCUGACACGUGGUUUUCCUCUGUAAUAUGUCAAUAUUACAGCCCCAAUUGUUAAUAUUGAAUCUAAUAAAUGCGUGACCUGACAAAAAAAAAUAAGAAAAGAUAAGAGAUAAAUAAUCCUAAAUAAGGGAAAUAAAUAAAAAAAAUAAAAAUAAACAAAACCAGGGAGGAUCCAUCUCAUUUGAAAUAACUGCCUCCGUAAUGGGUUACCUCCUAUUGAGCGCUUGAUUUAAUGUCCUUCAGCCUGACCUUACUUGAGUGCUCAAAUAGCCGAUUCUCUAAGGAGUAAGACCUCCUUUGAACAAUCUGUAACUGAAUGCAUGUAAUACUUAACUCGAUGCCCAUUGACUUUGAAUUCCUGGCCUGUCUUUUCAUCUAAGAGAUCAACAACCCCAUGAGGGUAAAUUCUGAGCAGCUUGAAGGGUCUAGACCAUCGAGAUUUCAGUUUGCCUAGAAAUAGUCUCAACCUCAUAUUAUAGAGCAGCACUAGUUGACCAGGGACUAAUUUCAUGUGUUGGAUGUGUUUGUCAUGCCAUUGUUUUGUUCUCUCUUUAUAGAUUCUUGCAUUUUUAUAUGAGAAUAGUCGUAAUUCAUCAAGCUCACAUAAUUGAAGUUUCCUUUGUUCUGCUGUAGCAUGUAUAUCCCAAUUUACUUGCUUCAAUGCCCAAUAUGCUUUGUGUUCUAACUCAAGUGGCAAGUGACAAGCUUUCCCAUACACAAUUCGGUAGGGAGGCAUGCCAAGUGGUGUCUUGUAUGUUGUUCUGUAAGCUCAUAGGGAGUCAUGUAAGCGCAAUGACCAAUCCUUUCUUGAUGGGUUCACCACUUUUUCCAAGAUCUUCUUAAUCUUCUUAUUAGACACUUCUGCUUGACCAUUGCAUUAUGGGUGAUAUGUUAUUGCUAUUUUAUGCCUGACUCCAUAUUUCACCAUAGCUGCAACAAAUACUUUAUUGCAAAAAUGAGUACCUUCAUCACUAAUAAUUGCUCGUGGAGUGCCAAACCUGGAAAAAAUGCUCUUCUGAAGGAAGUUCACUACUGCUCUAGCAUCAUUGAUAGGUAAUGCUGCAGCUUCUACCCAUUUAGAGACAUAAUCCAUAACAACCAGGAUAUAUAAGUUCCCAAAGGAUAGUGGAAAAGAACCCAUGAAGUCUAUUCCCCAUACAUCGAAAAUCUCUUCUUCCAGAAUGUUCGUCAAUGGUAUUUCAUGUCUUUGAGUAAUGUUUCCUGACCUUUGACACCUUUUACAACAUUUAACAAACUCAUAAGCAUCUUUAAAAAUAGAAGGCUAGUAACAACCUGAUUGCAGAACCUUAGCAGCUGUUCUGUGACCACCAAAAUGUCCUUCAUAUGCUGCAGCAUGGCAAGGUUUCAGUAUCUGAGGAAUUUCUUCCUCUGAAACACAUCUUCGUAUCACUUAAUCUGAGAAUAACUUAUACAAAUAUGGGUCAUCCCACUAGUAGCUUCUAACACCAUAAAGAAAUUUAUUUUUUUGCUGAAAUUUUAACUCAGGUGGUAGCAAUCCACUUACUAAGUAGUUAGCAAAAUCUGCAUACCAUGGGGGUCCUGAUUGCUACAUAAUUUGUGCCUGUUGUAUCACUAACAGUUGUUCAUCAGGAAAAGUUUCAAUGAUGUCUUUUUUUGUCAAUGUGCUUGCGUCUGCUUCUAGCCUAGACAGAUGCUCUGCUACUUGAUUCUCAGUCCCUUUUCUAUCUUUAAUUUCCAAAUCAAACUUUUGAAGCAAUAAGAUCCAUCUUAUUAAUCUCGAUUUAGCAUCCUUUUUAGAGAUUAGGUGCUUGAUGGCUGUAUGAUCUGUGUAUACUGUCACUUUAGUACCCACCAAGUAGGCUCUAAACUUGUCAAAAGUAAAUACUACUGCUAGUAAUUUUUUCUCUGUAGUGGUGUAAUUAAUCUGAGCUUGAGUAAGAGUUUUGCUGGCAUACUAUAUAGAGUGGAAAACCUUAUUCUUCCUCUGCCCCAACACUGCCCCAACAGAAUGGUCACUGGCAUCACACAUCAGUUCAAAUGGUAGAGUCCAAUCUGGUGCUAUAACCACUGGUGCAGUGAUCAAAGCUUUCUUCAAUUCUUCAAAGGCUUAAAAACAAUCUUUAUCAAAAUGAAAAGGCUUGUCAUGUUCUAGCAAUGGCCACAAUGAUUUAACUCUUUGGAAAAGUCUUUUAUGAAUCUUCUGUAAAAUCCAGCAUGCCCCAAAAAACUUCUAAUCCCCUUGAUUGAAGUGGGAGGUGGCAGUUUAUCUAUCACUUCUAUUUUCGCUUUAUCUACCUCUAUGCCAUUCUUGGACACCUUAUAACCCAACACUAUUCAUUUUUGCACCAUGAAGUGGCAUUUUUCCCAAUUGAGUACUAAGUUAGUCAUCUAACAUCUUUUAAGAACUUUUUCCAAGUUGUGUAAACAAUCAGUAUAUGUCUCUCCGAAGACUGAGAAAUCAUCCAUAAAGACUUCCAAUGUUUGCUCCACCAUAUCCGAAAAAAUAGACAUCAUACAUAUCUGGAAAGUUGCUGGAGCAUUGCACAAACCAAAGGGCAUCCUUCUGAAGGCAAAAGUUCCAUAAGGACAGGUAAAUGUAGUCUUUUCCUGAUCCUCUAGGGCUAUAGCAAUUUGGUUGUAGCCUGAAUACCCAUCUAAGAAAUAAUAGUAUUAUUUUUCAGCAAGUCUGUCCAACAUUUGAUCUAUAAAUGAAAGUGGGAAGUGAUCAUUCUGUGUGGCUUUGUUGAACUUCCUAUAAUCCAUACAUACCCUCUAAUCCAGUUACUGUUCUUGUAGGAAUAAGUUCAUUUUUUUUCAUUUGCUAUCACUGUUAUUUCUCUCUUCUUUGGAACACAUUGAACUAGACUCACCCAUGAACUGUCUGAUAUCGGGUAUAUGAUCCCAGUAUCCAAUCAUUUGAUGAUUUCUUUCUUCACGACUUUCUUCAUAAUGGGGUUUAACCUUCUCUGUUGUUCUACUGAAUUGUUGUAGUAAUCUUCUAACAGAAUUUUAUGCAUGCAUAUGAAUGGACUGAUCCCUUUAAUGUCUGCCAUGGUCCAUCAAAUUGCUUUUCUGUGUUUCCCAAGCACAUCUACCAGGCUCCUUUCUUGACCUGCAUCCAAAGUAGAUGAAAUGAUUACAUGGAGUUUGUUGUUCUGACCAAGAUAAGCAUAUUUCAAAUGUGAGGGUAACAUUUUUAAUUCAAGAGUAGGAAGUGAUUCAAUAGAAGGUAAAGUUGUCUUUACUUCCUUGUCUGAAAGAUUUAGAGGUUCAACAAAUCUGCUAUGUCUGUUAGAUUGCCUUUCUCCCAUCCAAUCUAUCUGGUUUGCUGCAGUAUCUUCUUCUUCAAAGCUCUCAAAGGUUACAACUUUGAUGACCUUAGUACUACAGCAUCUAUUUACUUUGUUUGCUAUAACACAAUCCAAAACACUCAAGAAAUUGUAAUCUUCUACCUCAUCAGGAUUCUUCAUAGCCUCUAAUACAUUAAAUGUGACUUGUUGGUCAUUCACCCUCAUUGUUAGCUCUCCUUUUUGCACAUUUAUUAGAGUCUUCCCAGUUACUAGGAAAGGUCUUCCAAGUAUAAUGGGUACCUCUUUAUCAACCUCAAAGUCUAGUACAAUGAAGUCCACUAGAAAGAUGAAUUUGUCUACUUUCACCAGUACAUCCUCAAUCUUUCUUUCAGGGUAUGCAUCAGAUCUAUCAGCUAAUUACAGAGUGACUGUUGUUGGCCUGCAUUCUCCUACUCCAUACUGCUUAAAUACAGAUAAUGGCAUCAAAUUAAUGGUGGCUCCCAAAUCACAGAGUGCUCUGCCAUUGUACCUAAUUCCAAUAGAACAUAGUAUUGUGAAACUUCCUAGAUCCUUCAAUUUUUUUAGGUAUCUUACUUUGGAGCAUGUGACUGCUUUCUUGUGUUAAAGCAACAGUUUCAAAUUCUCCCAACCUUCUUUUUCUUGCCAAGAUGUCUGUUAGAAAUUUUACAUAAUUAGGCAUUUGCUCCAAUGCUUCCACAAAAGGUAUGUUGAUGUGUAAUUGUUUCAGCACUUCCAGGAAUUUACUAAACUGCUUAUCUUGUUUUUAUUUCUGGAAUCUCUGUGGGAAAGGAGGUGGAUGCCUAAAUUGCUGGGCAGCUUUAGAAGGUACCAAUCUCUACACAUUUGAUUUAUUGUAAGUUGUUAUCACUGGUGUUGCAACUUCUUCUUCAGCAUUUAUUGGUUGAUUCCCUUCCAAAGUUAUUGUAGCUUGACCACUAACACCAAUAUCUUGAUAACUGGGUUGCUAUAACAUGCUCUCAUCUUCAAGUUGUUCUUGUGAGGAGUUAAGUUCCAACAUUUUCUUAGUCACGUCAACAGAAAUAUCAACAUUCUUUCCAGAUCUUAGGUUGAUUACUUUACAGUGUGCUUUUCCCUCUCUUCUUAGAUCUUCUGUAUUGCUGGGUAAACUUCCCUGAGAUCUGCUACUCAUUGCUGUGGCAAGCUGUCCAAUUUGGUUUUUCAGGUUUCUUAGAGAUACAACUUGACUUUGCACAAUUGCUUCAUUCUUCACAAUGUAUUCCUUAAUCAGUAUUUCGAAUGAGGUAAGUGGAUCAUGGCUAGUGUGUUUUUGCCCUUGAUUUUGCUGAUGAAAACCAGGUGGUUGAGUAUUUAUGUUUUGUCCACUCAAUGUUGGAGCAUUUUGAUUCUGAUUGCCCCAUGAAAAAUUUGGGUGUUGCUUCCAUCCAGGGUUGUAAGUAUUUGAGUACGGGUUGUUUUGAGGUUGUCGGUUGAAAUUACCCACAUAGUUUACUGAUGCUGGAUUUCCAGGGUAGUUGUCAAAUACAUGUUCGUCACCAUAAUACACGCAAGACAGUUCAGCAACUUGCUUUACUGCUGCUGGAACAGAAGUCAUGGCUUUCACCGUGUUAGUCAAUGAAGUUACUUGUGCUGAUAAUGCUGUAAUUGCAUCUAUAUUAUGUACCCCCAUUGCUCCUCUCACUGUUGUCUGUCUAGUUGAUGGCCACUGAUAAUUAUUGUUAACAAUUCUCUCUAAAAUUUCAUAAGCUUUAAUGUAAGAUUUAGAUAACAAAGCUCCAUUUGUUAAAGCAUCAACCAUCAAUCUGGUACUUGGAUUCAACCCAUUGUAGAAGGUUUCUAGCUGUAUACAAUAAGGAAUGCCAUGAUGAGGACACCUUUUGAGCAGCUAUUUAAAUCUCUCCCAAGCCUCAUACGAACUUUCAUCUUCAAGCUGAUGAAAAGAAGUGAUCUCAUUCCCCAAUUUUGCAUUCUUGGUUGGUGGAAAAUACUUUAUUAAAAAUUUGUCAGCUAAUUCAUUCCAUGUAGUGAUGGAAUCAGAUGGUAAUGAGUUCAACCAUGCUCUGGCUCGAUCUCUUAAGGAGUAAGGAAAAAGCCUUAGUCUUAAAGCAUAUUGCGUUACUCCAAGAAUUUCAAAAGCAUCACUCACUUCCAAAAACAACUUAAGAUAGAGAUGAGGAUCUUCAGUUGGCAAUCCAUUGAAUUGACCCACUGUUUGCAACAUUUGAAACAUCACUGGCUUAAGUUCAAAGUUUGCGGCUUCCACUUCAGGUCUGACUAUUCCAGGAUGUACAACUUGAGGAGUUAACACAGCAUAAUCCCUGAUAGUCCUAUCUCUAUCAUCUGCCAUGUAAAUGAUAUUGCUGCUGCCUGGUUGUCUCUUAUUAACAUGCUCAUUUUGCCCAUCUUGAACAUUGACAGGUUGUAGUGGUCCGUGAGGGUCCAAGUUUCCCACAUCUUGCAAAUUAUCCAUCCCUGAAAUAGUUUUUGAAUUUCAUUGUUCUCUUCGCAGUCUUCUUAUGGUCCUUUCAAUCUUAGGAUCAAGGUGAAAUACAAUAGAACUGUCUUUAUGCAUGCAAGUAUUGAUUUGUCAAUAAACAGAACAAAUUAGAUCAAGUUGGCACUGUCAAGAUUGACUUCACACUUUGAAAAUAAACAAUCAAUCCCCGGCAACGGCGCCAAAAACUUGUUGGAUAAUUUUUAACUCAAUUGCUAUUGAUGUCAAUGUGCAAGUGAACACAAUAAGUAAUAAAGUGAUGAAUAUUCAAGAUCGUCUCCACAAGGAUUAAUGUUACUAGAAAGGCUACAACAAUCACGAUAGUGCAAACUUCUUUUGUUCCAAAAAGAUUAAAAAUUAAUUACCACUGAAAUAAACAAUAAAAGAAGAAACAAAAAUAAGUUAAUGCAAUAAUAAAUCAAAUUGAAUGAAUUGCGUAGGAAGAAUUCAAUAGGGAUGAGGUAGUUAAGUGAUCAAACUCUCUUCAGGGACUGACUGUUUUGUCUAAAUUAACACCAGUUGCUACAGUAAUUCUUACAGCACUAGGCAGAAUUAUUUUACAUCCUCAGAUGUCGCUUAUCAGAUUUCUCAUACCCUUAAGCACCUAACAAUGACUGUUAUAGUACAAUUUAUGCACUAGUUUUGCAUUGUUUACUUCCUUUAAUAUCGAUUUUUUGCACUUAAUAAUAGUUAUUUACUUGUGUUUUAUUUUUGUAAGUACAAUUCUAUUGAUUGGUGCUAAAAUUGAGCUACAAGAUGAUGUUUGAGGAUGAUUGUUUUCCUAGAAAAAUUAUGAGCUUCAGAAGAACUUUGUUGAUAAGGCGUGGGCGCGUGCUGUCGAUUACAGACCUGCAGUUUUUAGUUUAACGUAUUUUGUCUUUUUGGUUAUUUUUGUAAUUACUAAUUUAAUAUUUAGCUAAUAUUUUAGAUAUUAGUAUUUUAUUUUAAAAAGAACUCUAGAGGAGGAGAGAGGGAAGAGAAUUUAAGAGAGGAAUCUAUUGUCAAAGAAGGGAAGAAAAAGAAACCCUAGAUCUAAAUUUUUCUCUUCUCUAUGAAAAACUAAAUCUAUUAUUCUGGUUAAAGGUUAAUGAAGCUUUGAUUCAUCACUACUGUGAGAUCUUUCUUAUGCUUUAAUUGUUUUAUUACUUUUUGGGUAUUUUUUUAUUCUCUGAAUUAUUGUCAUGAUUAUGUUUGUUAAUUAGAUAAUUGGCCACUAUUUAAUUAUCAACUUAAUCUAUUAUCAAUUAAAAGAUUCAUCGUAUGAAUAUUUUAAUGUUUGUGAUAAAUAGCAUAGCAGUGCAUUGUGUAAUGAGAAUAAACAAUCUAAUUUAAAUGAACUAUCGUAUGCGUUUGUUGAUUAGGAUUUGGGUCUCUCUGAUUUUUCAGGCUGUCAAUUGAUUAAAUCAUAUGAUCGUAUCUAGGGUUGUCUAUUGAUUAGAGAAAUAACCAACAGUCGUACCUUGGUUAUUGACUAGUUAAGGAGAGAUUGGCUAUUAGAGAGUCUCAGUAGCUAUAACCGGUCUAUUCAUAAGUAGUAAUGAUUUAUAUUUGAAUCAAUGAUCAAUAGUCGAAUCAAGCUGAGUUAAUUCCUUCAACCAGAGCUUUCCCCAAUUUGAAUUACAAUUUUAAUUUGCAUUCUUGUUAUUUUAAUUUGAUUUUUAUUAUUGUCAACAAUUCCCCCAUUUUGCAUUUUAUAUUUUAAAAGGAUUUAAAUAAUUACUGAUCUCUGUGGACACGACCCUGCUCAAUUACUAUACACAAUUUAUUUAGAGUAGGUAUUUAUUUUUGCUGGCUUCGACAACCAACAAAUUUUGGCGCCGUUGCCGGGGAUUGGUGUCGUUUAUUUAAUCCUUUUUACGUUUUACUUGGUGUAUGGUUUUUUCUUCUCGUACAAGUACACUUUCAUUUGAUCUUGAAAUUAAAAAGACGGCUCGCCAGUUGAGACAGCAGACAAAGCGAGCUAAGCAACGAUCCUUGUCGCCUUUACUUUCUGAAUUAGAUACGGUGCCUGAUUUAGUUGAAUCAUCUAGUGAUUUAGAAGAACAAGUGAUGGAUAGAGCUGCACCUGUAGAAAGAACUCUUAGAGAGUUAGCUGAACUAGACUUGAAUCAGCAACCACUCUGCAUUCAAUAUGUAGGCUUGGAGGUAAAUUUUGAAUUAAAGUCUGGUCUAUUUAUUUGUUACUCAAGUUUCAUGGUUUUGCAGGUGAAGAUCCUUAUAAACAUCUCAAGGAGUUUCAUGUUGUGUGUUCAAGUAUGAGGUCACAAGGCGUGACAGAAGAACAGAUUAAGUUGCGUGCUUUUCCUUUCUCUUUAGAUGGACUAGCUAAAGACUAGUUGUACUACUUGCCUCCUGGAUCGAUUACAACGUGGAAUGGUUUGAAGAAGCAGUUCCUUGAGAAAUACUUUCCUGCUUCAAGAGCUGCCAACAUCAGAAAAGACAUUUGUGGGAUCAGACAACUUCUUGGGGAGACUUUAUAUGAGUAUUGGAAGCGAUUCAAACAAUUCUGUGCAAGCUGUCCUCAGCAUUAGAUUUCUAAUCAACUUCUUAUUCAAUAUUUUUAUGAAGGACUAUCAUUAAUGGAUAGGAGUAUGAUAGAUGUUGUUAGUGGAGGCGUGUUGGUGAACAAGACUCCUACUCAAGCAAGGGAGUUGAUAUCAAAUAUGGCUGCCAAUGCACAACAAUUUGGCAGCAGGCAAUAUCCCACUUCAAGGAAGGUGAAUGAGGUAAAUAUUUCUUCUGUUGAACAACGUUUAGAUAAACUUACUUCUCUUGUGAAAAAGUUUGUUGUAGGUAAUGUCCAACAGGUGAAGACUUGUGGCAUUUGUUACAAUAUGGGUCAUUCAACUGAUAUGUGUCCUACACUUCAAGAAGAACUCGUUGAACAAGCCAAUGCAGUUGGAGGAUUUCCAGGCAUGCCUCAGAGGAGGUAUGAUCCUUAUGCACAAACAUACAAUCCGGGAUGGAAUGAUCACCCCAACUUCAGCUAUGGAGUUAGGCCAUCAGGAUUCCCACAACAGUAUCCACCAAGACAACCAGCACCUCCACAGUCAAACUCCAAGUCAGGUAUAUCUCUUGAAGAAAUUGUUAAAUCACUUGCGACUAACACUUAACAAUUUCAGCAAGCAACUACAGCAAGCAUUCAGAAUUUGGAGAACCAAAUGAGUCAAUUGGUGACUACAGUGAGCCGUCUGGAGUCUCAAGUAAUAGGGAGGUUGCCUUCACAAUCUGAGGUGAAUCCAAAGCAAAACGUUAGUGCUAUCAUCCUUAAAAGUGGGAAGGAGUUGCAAGAGCCUAGUAAGAAAGUGACAAAGCAUGUAGAAGAUGAGCUUGAGAAGAAUGAAUUGAUGCCUAAAUCUCAAGAUGCAAAACCCACCAGAGCGAAACCCCUACCUAUUGUGAUACCUCCUCCUUUUCCAAGCCGGUUUGCAAAAUCCAAAAAGGAGGAACAAGAGAAAGACAUCCUUGAGACAUUUCACAAGGUUGAGUUAAAUAUUUCUUUAUUAAAUACUAUAAAACAAAUACCUCGAUAUGCUAAAGUCCUUAAGGAACUGUGCACCUCCAAGAGAAAAUUAAGAGGAGAUGAAAAGUUCACAUGGGGGAGAAUGUUUCAGCAGUUCUCCAAAAGAAACUACCUCCUAAGUGCAAGGAUCUAGGUAUGUUUACUAUCCCUUGUAAAAUUGGUAGUGUUAGAGUUGAAAAGGCUAUGUUAGAUCUAGGAGCUUCUAUUAAUGUCAUGUCUCGUUCCAUUUAUUCAUCUUUGAACGUUGGUCCAUUAAAAGAAACUGGUGUGAUAAUUCAACUAACUGAUAGGUCUAAUGCAUAUCCUAAUGGGGUACUAGAAGAUGUCUUAGUACAAGUUAAUGAGUUGAUUUUUUUCCUGCUGAUUUUUAUGUACUUGAUAUGGAAGAGGAUAACUCCUCUAAUUCUGUCCCAAUUUUGCUAGGAAGAUCUUUUCUUAAGACUGCUAGGACUAAAAUGGAUGUACAUAAAGGGACUCUUACUAUGGAGUUUGAUGGAGAGGUUAUAGAAUUCAAUAUGAAUGAUGCCAUGAAAUAUCCUAGUGAGGAACAUUCGGUAUUUUUUAUGGAUGUUAUUAACCCUAUAGUGCAAGAAGUUUUUUACAAGGAAAAAACGAAGACAUUUCAUGAUAGAAUGAUUUUGAGAAAGGAGUUCUCUGUUGAUCAAAAAGUUCUUCUUUUUCAUUCAAAGCUUAAACUUUUUUCGGGUAAAUUACGUUCUUGCCGGGUUGGACCUUUUAUUGUUACUAAUGUUUUUUCUCAUGAUGCAAUUGAAAUUCGGAGUCCGACCUCUGACAAAGUUUUUAAGGUUAAUGGUCAUCGCUUAAAACCUUUUUAUGAAGGUUUUUCGAUGAAUAUUGUGGAGGAUGUGGCUCUCAAGAGUCCCAAUUAUGGAGAUUGAUGCAUAAAUGUGUCCAGCCAAAUACAUAAAACAAAGGCGCUUUUUGGGAGGCAACCCAAAUGAUUUAUUUAUUUUGAUUUUUGUUAUAUCUUCUUUUAAUUUUGAUUCGGAUUUUUUAAAAAAAUAAUGUGUUUGCUUAUUUUGGCCAGAAGAAAAUUUUUGAUAAGGCGUGCCCACGUCUUAACUAAUAAGUACUUCUGUGAUUUUUAAAGUAAAAUGGUUUUAAGGUGUGCCCACGUGCUUAUUUAAAAAGUACUUCUGAAAUUUUUAGUGUCUCAAGUGAUUCAUCAUUAAAAAAAAAUUAAUUUGAUUUAUUUAUUUGAAAAAAAAAUAAAAACGAGAAAAAAAAGAGGUUUUUUUUUCUUUUCUUUCUUUUAUAUAUUAUUUAUUUAAAAAAAUGAAAAAAAAAUCAAAAAUCACUGUUCACAAAAUCCCUAAUUCAAAAAAAUCAUUUUCUUUCCCGCAGCAACCAGCCGCUCCAGCCUUCACCGAGCAUCCCCAGCAGCAGCAGCAACCGUGCGCGCAACCAGCCCCAUCCCGCUCCACACAGCAGCCAUGCACGCUCUGCCCCAGCCUGAGCACGCAACGCAACAAGCGUCACUAGCGCGCAGCACCAGCAAUCCCCCAGCGCGCAGCAUCAGCCCCAGUGUGCAGAUCCAUCGCGCACCAGUUCGCAGCACCAGCAUCCUGCGCACGCGCAGAUCCAGCGUCACCAGCGCGCAACAUCAAUCCCAGCCCGCGCGCGCAACACAACCAGCACCAACCCAUGCAGUACAACCAUCCGCGUGCAACUGAACCAGCAGCCGUGUACCCGCAACCUCCAGCCGAGCAACAAUAGUCCGCAACCAGCCUACGACCUGCAUUCCAGCCGCGUGAAUCGAAAUCUGUGAGUGAAAUUAUUGUAACAAUGCCGAAAAGGAAAGCAUCAACUUCCAAGUCAUCUAAAAAGACAUCCAUCGCAAAGCAAUCUAAGAUUGCCGCUCCUACUACGGUUCCAUGGAACACAAUUUCAGAUUCACGCCAAGCCGUGGGACAAAGAUCGAAACAUGGAAAAGGCAUGAGUGUUUUGCCACUUGGGGAAUCCAAUCUCAGAGGGUGCCUCACAUUCACGACUCAACAAGAGAAAGAAAGGUACAAAGAUAUUUCCAAGCGAAAAUACUUCCAACUAAGUAUAUUCAUUACCCGACUCUUGAAAAAUUGAAUAUUAAGGAUAAUUUUGAUUCUUUGAUAGAUAAGACUGGUUUGCAUAAGUUUGUUGAUGUUGAUUGUUUGGGUUAUGUUGAGUUGAUUAGGGAGUUCUAUGCUACUUUUCAAUUUAAUAUACCGAAUGAUUUUACUUUACAUACCCCGAAUGUUAUAAAGUUUAGGUUAAUGGGAUGAAAUUUUUCACUCUAUCACGGAUUUUAACCUAGCUUUAGGAUUCAUUGAUGAUGAUUAUUCUUCUAGUGAUGCAUAUUUAGGAACAACUUGUGACUUUAGCGAAAAUUUUAAGCCUUAUGGUCUUUGGCGUAAUUUAUCUGUUGAUCACAAUGCCUAUGACCCGAGUAAAUCAAAGAGUUCUUUCUUAUAUGAUCCUGUUUUGAAAUGUGUGCAUCGAUUCUUAGCAUAUAAUUUUUUAGGAAAGAAAGAUCACUCAGGAGUUUCUCUAAAUCUGAAUUUUAUUUUAUCUGGUGCAUGUUAAAUGAUGUGAGGCCUAAUUUAGGUUUUUGGUUAGUAGAUCAAUUUCAAAGUGUGCUUAAACGGUAUAGGACUUUAUUUCUUGGUCCAUACAUUACUCUGUUAGCUACAAACCUAUGUGUGCUUGAUCCUGACAAUAAUGAUUUGCAUCCUGCUUGCAAAAAGGAAUUUUUGGAUAUGUCUGUGUUUGAAAGAACAGGUGCGGUCGAAUUCAAGGAGGAGAGAUUUUAGUUUACUGAAUCAGGACCCACUCAACCUCCAAAGAAGCUUUAUGCUAGGAGUGGUGCUACCUCUGAUGACGAGUUUGACGACGACACUGCUGCUCCGCCGACUAUUCCUUCUACAUCCGCACCACCUUUGAGCAUUCAAUUAGAGAAAAUGGAGCACAAGCUGAACAAGAUGGAGCAGAAUUUGGCCGCAUACUUCGAGAGUGGGAUUUAUCCCACCAUUUCUGCCAAGCCCAUAGACGUUAUAAGGAUCAAAGCUCACAAUUCAGGGAAGUUUUUACCUUUAAUCAUUUAUCCUUACGCUUUAAUUUUUAUGUGAGCUUUGAUUAUCUUACAUUGGGGACAAUGUAAGUUCUUGGUGUGGGGGAGGGAUUUUUGCAUUAUUGAUGUCUGGAAGUAUUAUUUUCACUCUACUCAUUCUUAAACGAUUUUGGAGUUAGUAUGCUUCAUAUAUUAUUAUUUUUCUUUUCUUUUCUUUCUCACUAUUUUUUUCCCAUCUAUCUCAAAUUAUUCAUAUCUAUUUUUAUUUUACCAUAUUCUUUCAUCACUCACAUUUCAUUUUUUUUAUUUCUACAUACAUCUUUCUCGCUUAUUAUCCUUUUUACCUUUCCUUUUAUAUAUCACUCAUACCUUCUUUUCAUUCUACACCACUAUUGAUGGUUGAUUCAUUUGAAGAGUGUACAUGAUUUGAUGGCAAAUUUACCAACUUUGUGAGGAUUUGAGCUUAUGAGCAACCACUUUGCUCUAAUUAUUUUUGUUAUGUGAAUAUCAAUCUUAGUUUGUUUAUUCUAGAACUUGCUUUGUUAUGCAUGUUGAAGCCACAUUACGGGAUUUUAUGCAUUAAAAUGAUAAGGGCAAACUACUUUCCAUUUUUCUAUUCUCACAUUUUUCUUCUUUUUCUCCACCCGAAAACCUUUAUUUGUUAUCUUUGUUUGAGCCUUAACCAUUACCCAUCUAAUUAUCUCCGUCUACUUAACCAUUUUUCUUCUUUUUGAGCCUCAAUUUAAGGAGAUUUUUGGACUCAUUGGGUGGAUAUAUUUUGUUGCUUUUUCUACCUUGUAUUAAAGUUUCUCAAUUAGAUCAACAAGCAUUAUGCAUGAAUUAAAUUGUGCAAGGUUCGUUUCUUUUGUUUGAUUCAUCACUACUGAAAAAAACAAAAAAAAAUUAAAAAAAAAACCAAAAAAAAGAAAAAGAAAGAAAAGGAAAAAGAAAAAAAAUGUUUAAAUUCUUGGUGACUUGAGUAGACAUAAGCAUUUCGGUAUCAUAAGGUUCAUUCAAUAGUUCAUUCUUCUAAUUUUGAUCUCUUUUUCUUUUAUAGACCUUUCUUUUUCAUUUAACCCAUUUAACCCUGUUACAACCUUUUUAAGACCCUUAGAUUUUUGCAUUUAAUUCAUGUUUUGUGGAUUGAGAUGUGAUAUAAGCAAGCUUAUGGUAAUAGCAUUCUUUGAUUUGAUUUGAGUGCAUAAAUGAUACCCUAAACACUUUGAGUGCAUGGAGUGAAGUCAAUGAGAGUGCUAUUAAAUCUUGUUGCACUUGAAUUUUGAAUGGAUCUUCUUGGUGGUUGAAUGUUUUUCUUUUAUAUUAGCUUAUGAGAUCCUAUGCUUUAAAAUUCUUAUCUUUUGAAUGUUGAUCGACUUAAAUUCUUGAGGUAUGCUUGCUUAAGAUUGUUUUCGGAUGAGUUGAGAUGAGAAUUGAGUGGAGAUUUGGGAUUAGUCUUGAGUUAUAUGCUUGAGGACAAGCAUCAUCUUGGUGUGGGGGAAUUUGUUAGAGUACAAUUUAUGCACUAGUUUUGCAUUGUUUACUUCCUUUAAUAUCGAUGUUUUGCACUUAAUAAUAGUGAUUUACUUGUUUUUUAUUUUUGUAGGUGCAAUUCUAUUGAUUGGUGCUAAAAUUGAGCUACAAGAUAAUGUUUGAGGAUGAUUGUUUUCCUAGAGAAAUUAUGAGCUUCAGAAGAACUUUAUUGAUAAGGCGUGGGCGUAUGCUGUCAACUACGGACCUGCAGUUUUUAGUUUAAUGUGUUUUGUCUUUUUGGUUAUUUUUGUAAUUACUAAUUUAAUAUUUAGCUAAUAUUUUAGAUAUUAGUAUUUUAUUUUAAAAAGAACUCUAGAGGAGGAGAGAGGGAAGAGAAUUUAAAAGAGGAAUCUAUUGUCAAAGAAGGGAAGAAAAAGAAACCCUAGAUCUAAAUUUUUCUCUUCUCUAUGAAGAACUAAAUCUAUUAUUCUGGUUGAAGGUUAAUGAAGAUUUGAUUCAUCACUACUGUGAGAUCGUUCUUAUGCUUUAAUUGUUUUAUUACUUUUUGGGUAUUUGUUUAUUCUCUGAAUUAUUGUCAUGAUUAUGUUUGUUAAUUAGAUAUUUGGUCACUAUUUAAUUAUUAACUUAAUGUAUUGUCAAUUAAAAGAUUCAUUGUAUAAAGAUUUUAAUGUUUGUGAUAAAUAGCAUAGCAGUGCAUUGUGUAAUGAGAAUAAACAAUCUAAUUUAAAUAAACCAUCGUAUGCGUUUGGUGAUUAGGAUUUGGGUCUCUCUGGUUUUUCAGGCUGUUAAUUGAUUAAAUCCUAUGAUCGUAUCUAGGGUUGUCUAUUGAUUAGGAAAAUAACCAACGGUCGUACCUUGGUUAUCGACUAGUUAAGGCGAGAUUGGCUAUUAGAGAGUCUCAGUAGCUAUAACCGGUCUAUUCAUAAGUAGUAAUGAUUUAUAUUUGAAUCAAUGAUCAAUAGUCGAAUCAAGCUGAGUUAAUUCCUUCAACCAGAGCUUUCCCCAAUUUAAAUUACAAUUUUAAUUUGCAUUCUUGUUAUUUUAAUUUGAUUUUUAUUAUUGUCAACAAUUCCCCCAUUUUGCAUUUUACAUUUUAAAAGGAUUUAAAUAAUUACCGAUCUCUGUUGACACGACCCUGCUCAAUCACUAUACACAAUUUAUUUAGAGUAUGGCAUUAUGAGCAUACAUUCUCUACCCUACAAGGUGAAUUCCUAUGUCUAAUUCUUCACACAUUUUAACUCAAAGAUAGCCCUUUUGGGACUCAAGUAAUCUUAAUCCAGGAAACUUAAGUUAUGAUCAAGUAUUACUCUAUUAAUUUCCACUAAGACAGGUCCUUUUGCAGCUCUUUCUUAACUUGAACCAUUAAAUGGGUGGUCAACCAAAAUAAUGAUUAUAAUAAUAGUUAUUAGAGUAAAAUGCUAUAGCAAUCUUGUAGCAACUCAUAAGAACAGUCAAAAACCCAUUUAGAUUGUUUGUCACUCAACUACAAACAGAUUUAGUUCAUACUUCGAAAAAGAAAAGUAAACAGCAAAGUAUUGGCCAUGAAAUACAUCGUUUCAAUCAAAGAGUAAGAAAAGGAACAAGUAAAAAACAAUGAAAAUUGAAUCCAAAUUGUUCUGCUGAUUUCUUCACUGAUGCAGACUUGAGUUUCCCUUGAAUUCUGAUUUUUCCUUCUUUUCCUCUUGAUUUUCUUGAUGUCAAUUCACCGCCACCCUUUUUAUGUGAUGUGCGCUCUAUUUAUAACUGAAAACUAAGGUAAACCAAAGCCUAGGGCACGCGUGAUUCAAAUUAGAAAACUGCAGAUUGCAAUUUUGCAGAUAUCUCGCACUAAGUUUUCUCUAUAGUUGUUCCACGAUUACUACAGCAAUGGUUGCCCCAACAACGGCUAUAGCACUGCACUGCUCCAGAUCUUGUUUCAAUUAUUUUGUGGCCAUAUUCUUCCUCAUUUUGCCAUCCUAUUGCAUCAGCAUCUCUUCCAUAAAUUAUAAGCUUCUGGAAACCUACAAUUAUGCACAUAAUUUGAGCACGAAUUACCUUAAAUCACGUAAAACUUAUUAAGACUAAACUAAAAUGAAUGUUUAUUCAAAAUAUAACAAAAAUGUAAUAAAAACACAUCAUUUACUCUCUAAGUGAUCUUGAUUUGAGUCUAGAAUGGCCAUAAUAACUCUCAUUUCAUAGAGUUAUCACCCAACUUCACAAAUGCAGGUGCAAACUUCUUAAUAGCACGUGAGAAAUUGACUCCAAAUUGUCUUGAAAAGAGAAUAACUACGGUUAAAAAGCAUCAAGUAUCGCAUUAUAGAAUGCGAUAAUUCCUAUGACCACACCGUCCACCGAUGGCAUUGCUUCUCCACUGCCAGAACCUUCUCUAAUCGCUGGCGACAUCCCCACUGAUCAACAACCCUCACAACAACUAUUAACAUUUCAAACCAUAAACCCUAGAUUACAACAAAUCUUUCAAAAUAUGCUCUACGUUGUCGCCACCUUGCCUACCUCCGUUGGUGGCGAUUACUUACUGACGAAACCACCGUUGAACCUUAUGUACUCCUAACAGCUGCCUUUCACCCUCCCUGUACCACCAACCCCCUCAGGCACCAGUACACACGAGCACAAUCAAAACUCAAGCACCACUUAUUGGCCACUAUUUCUGACUCCUUUUAGUAAGACAAAUCCCCUUAGCUGCAAUAUAUCUCACCAACACCUUGCUGUCUCUCUUUUGGCCACCGCUAGUGGCACCAUCAACCUGCCAGCCAUCUCAUAUCUGCCACUUUUGACCACCCAAACCCACUCUACUGUUUAAAACUGAGACCAGCUGCUAAAUGCAGAAAACCUUAGUUAUAAUAAAGAAACCCUAGCCAACAUCCAUCUUUCCAAACCUAAAACUAAACCAAACAUCAAGCCCAAACCCAUGACCCUUUUUCCACCCCUCACUCUUGGUCAUACAUCCAACCCACCCUAAAAGGCCUCUUAUACAUCUAUUACAAAUCCUGAAGUUAUCCUCAACCGUAAUGCUAAGUCUUUUGUUGAUGUUAUUGCUGGCCCCCUGGAAUCUUCAAUUUGGGAAAAGCCAGUUUUAAUAUUUCAUGGUAAAAUUGUUAUCCACUUUUCAGCUACAGAUAUCCAGCCCAUAGCAUAACCAUUCAAACUUUCCCUUGUUAGUAAGUUUUUGUUUAGCCGCCCUCCUGUAGAUGUGAUUCACAAAUUCUUUGUUUCUUGAGUUUUAAAGGUAGUACACAGGUUACUUUGCUAGAUAAUUGAUCAAGCUUUAACUUGGAGUGGAUUACUCAUGUAUUUGGGUUAGGCAGACUUGGUAUGUUAGCGGCAAGUUCACGCGUACUUUUAAGUAGUCUACAUUUAUGCUCUAAGGAGUCUCAGUUGUUCUUGUUUAGGAGUCUUUGCCUUAUUUACCUGUGCAUUUCAUUCAUUACAGAGAUGCUUUAUUUUCUAUUGUAAAUGCUAUUAAAAAGCCUUUACGGGUUGACCGUGCCACUGCUGCUGUUAAUAGGCCCUCGGUGGCUCAUGUACUCAUUGAGUAUGAUGUUUCACGGCUAUUGUUACCAAGACUUUGGAUUAGUAAGGGUGAUAAUGGGUUUUGGCAAGAUAUCAUCUAUGAGCGUGUUCUGUUAUAUUGUGCCACGUGUAAGCAUCUUGGUCACUUUGCUGAUGCUUAUUUUGUUUCUAAUCAUGGGCUUCAAAAGCCCCAAUCACCUAUUGGUUAGGUGAAGGAUAUAGUUGUUGAUGAUACAAGUACGAUACUUAUUACUGAUGGUUUUGUCUAGCCUACUAGGGAUUUUGCUACGUAUGUGGUUACUAAGGAUAAUCGACUACAGAGGCCUGCUCUCGUCCAAGGUCAGUCUUUGGGCCUGGCCCCCUCGAUGAUGUUGCUUGGCCGUCUGCUCUUUUUCCUCAAGAUACUGUAGACGCGACAUCUAAUUCGAUUUCUUCUCUGUGAGUUCCAGAUGAUGAUGGUUUGCAACAUAAUGUUGCUCUAAGAGAUGUUGAUGGAUGCACUAAGGUUGCUAAUUCUCUUGUUUUGGAUAAUCCGAGCGCUCUAAGGACUUCCACAAGCUUUACUUUUUUCAGGUCUAUAGUGGAUGAUAUUCACUCCAUGGUUGUGAGUUUUAAUUACCAUUCUACAGAUAUCCCUAAUCAGUCGGAUGAGGAGUUUAGCUCUGACAGAAAUCCUGCAGUUCAUGAUUAUUUUGCGUCUAAGCCUGAGGGUAUAGCGGGGCAUGAUCUUGACCCCGACCUCAGUAUUGGUGGCCUCCAUUCCUCUAGUUUUAAGAAAGGUUUCAAAUUAGUUAAUGGUCGUAAGUAUUGUAAGUAUUUUUCUCGGCGUUUGCAUUAAUUAAUUAUCUUUAGCUUCUUAUUUAUUCUAUUAUUGUUUUCAUUCUUUUUCCAUUAGUUGGUUAUUUUUGUUCAUUUGCUUGGAGAUUUUGGUCUACGUCCCCCUCCAUAUGUAAUUUUGUUUAUAUUUUAAUAAUCAUAGGUAAGGGGGUCCCGCCUAACCCCACCAACUUUGGUUGAUUUUUAAUUAAAAAAAGCACAAAAAUUGACAAUUAAAGAAUUGAUCUAAAAUGGUAAGACAUGGGAAGUUUCUAGAUAUUAAAAUAUGAAGAAUUUUCUCAUGAAGGGCCUUCCACAUCGUUCUUUUGUUGCCUCUUAACAUGUUGUGAACGGAGAGUGCUUCUGAGUGUCGCUCUCAUUUUACUAAGAUGAAAAAUUAUGGAGGAGCAGAGUUCCUGUAAAACAGCAUAGUUGUGAUAAGUGUUUCGCGUUGCAAUCCCGAAGUAAAAGUUCAUUUGUCUAUGACCACUUUUAUACCCCUCCGGCUGGUGGCUUUUACUACGCAUGUCCAUUGAUGUGAUAAUAAUUUAUAUAUUUCUUAAUUUAAUUUUAUGUUAAAUUAUAUUUUAUCAUAUUAAUUAUAUCUUAAUCUUUAUUUUUGUUAUUUUAGGUACAUUUUAGGAAUAAAGAAGAAUUAAAUCAGAAUAUUCAAAUAAGAAGAGCUUAAAGAAGAAAUUGAUUGGAAAUUUAAGGAAGAUAAUGGGAGUUAAAAUGGAAGAAAAUCGAAGCAACCAAGGCCUAAUUGUAGUUCACGUGAAGAUGAGAAGAAUUAGCAUUGGAAAUAAGUUAAUUAAUAAGGCAAAUCAUGUGAAGAAUAGAGUAAAAGAAGAAAGCAUUCUGGUGAUGGGCUUUGGCCAAAUCAUUAUUGGCUUAUUAAUUGAACAAGUCACGUGCAUGCAUGAAAGAAAAGAAGCGGUUUGGCUUUUGUUUUUAAUUCUUUCCAUAUAAAGAGUUAAAGGCCACAAUUGAAACAAUAUAAAAGGGCACGAGUGGAAGGCCACAAGAGAGGAGGGCAGCCGCACAAAUUGGAAGCCAAGAGAAAAAAAAAACCGAGAGCAAGAAAAAAGAGAGAGAGAGAGAGAGAGAGAGAGAAAAGCCGCCGCUGCAAAUUUUUGCAACAAUUUGGAGAAGUCGAUUGCCGAGAUUGAAGAGAGACAGCUUUUUGAGUUUACUCUUUCUCUUCUCUUUUUCUAUUAUCUUGUUUGAAUGUUCCUAAUUAAAUUUAUGAAUUCUCUUUAUAUUCCCAUGAACUAAUUUAUUUUGCUAGGGCUACGAUGUAGCCUAACUAUAAAGAUUUAUUUCCAUAAAUAUAUGUUAUUUUUAGUUUAUUAUUUCAUGGUUGAGUGUUCAUUAUUGUGCUUAAUACUUUUAAAUAUUUGGUCAAUAUUUAAAUGAUUUAAGGAUAUAUAAUGAGACCGAAAGGAGAUUUAUGUAUUUUUGCUCUAUGUAAUGGAUGCCAUGACAGAGAUGUGCCAACGUGAUUCAUGUAGUUUUUCUAAGAAUUUCCAUAGAACUUAAUGAAUCUUUGCAUAUUUAAAUUCACAGAGAGAUAUAGUGGGUUAAUAUGUGAAGGUAUUUUUGAUUUUACUCGGGAGAGGAUAUUGAAUAGAUUAGGGAAAUUCACUGUCAACAUUGGUAAUAAAUUUUAAUAACAUAAAUGGAGGAUUAAAAUUGGAUUGGUUAUGGUGAAAUCAGAUGUCCUAGAGUCAUAAUCUCUUCGUGAUUUCUAUUACUGCUUGCAUAUUUAUUUAGUUUUUAGUUAUUUUAUUCUAUUUUAAUUUUUUUUAUCUAAAUCCGUCUAUACGAUUGUUCAAAUAAAUUAGGAUUAGAAUAAUUUCGGUAGCUAAUAGGAUAUACAAUCUCUGUGGGACGAUAUUCUACUCUUCAUUUUAUUACUUGUGCCGACUAAUACACUUGCUAAUUUAUGCAUCAUCCACCAUAGUCCGAUAAGCAAGCAUAUAACACUUUUUAUUGGAGAAAUGUUUGAUUAGAAUAUGAUGGGUAUUGUUAUCCGGACUAAUUCGUCCAAUUUCCUCGUAACAUUCAUUACGCUCUCCAUAGCACCAGCUAUGCAGUAGGCAUAGAGCAUGCAAUUUAAAUCAUAUUUGUCAUACUUGACUUCAAAAUACCCAGCCAAUUUGCCUCUUCAAAACACCCACCCUGGCAGAAUGCUGAAAUCAUGAUACUGUGGGCAUAGUCAUUUGCGUGAGGCAAAUAAAAUUUGUGGUUAACCUAAAAGCUUAGAUAUAGUACUAUCUUUUGUUUGGUUAAUAUCUGACUGAACUAUGUUAAUUUAAUUUAAUAAAUUAUUAAAUAAAAUUCUGAUAUUCAAUAUAAAAUUACUUGGUUAAAAAUUCGUGAAAUUCACUUCUAUGUUUAAUUUAUAUUAAAAUAUUAGGUUAAAUGAAAAAGAAAAAAGUGAUAAAGAGGACACAAAGCUUUUGUUUAAUCUUAUCUCACCUAAACCCCUAUAAAAAUAAGGAUUAAUAAUCCUAUUAGUUUUAGACUAAAUUUAAGUUUACUCUAAUGGUCCAUGACAACCAAACAUACCUUAGAUUAAAUUAUUUUGUUAGUUUCAAAAUCUAAUUGAAUCCCACAAUUUAUCGAAGCUCCCAAAAACAGCCUAAUAUAUAGUUAAAAAAUAUUGUAUUCAUAAAAAUGCGGUACAAGUAAGAAUACCAACGUUAGUGCACCAAUAUACAUAUGAGAUAGGAUCAACUAUCUCUCUCUUUUGAAACAAUAACUUACACAAAAUCUUAACCUUUUAACAUUACCUAAUGAUCUCUUUAAUACUAUUUUGAUUUUAAAAAAUGGUGUCUUUAAUACUACUUUGAUAACAAAUGGGUUACAAAAUUUUGAAAGAAGGCAAUAUUUAUUAAUAUCAAAAAUAAAACUUAAUGGGCCCUAAUAUAUUAUUAAAUAUUUUUCUUCUACUUCAUCUUAUUUUCUCUCCAUAAUUAAUAUGAUUUGAUUCUCUCAAUCUUUCACUUGCUUUAAACAACUCUCCUCUAAGUAAUCACCAUACAGAUUUUCCAUUAAAAUACAAUCGUCAAUGGCAGAUAGAUAAAAGAAGAAACCAAAAAGUCCAGUUAUACUUCAAAUUAUGCUAUAUUAUUAUGCUAUUUUAUUAAUUAUUGGGAACGUGUGCAGCAACUAAUGUGUGCAUGGAGCAACUAACGUGUGCAUGUGCAGUAACUAUUGUAAUAUUCUAUAGCUUUUGUAUUCCAUUAGGAAUAGAAGGAGCAGCUUUUGUAUUCCAUUAGGAAUAGAAGGAGCAUAUUUAGGAGACUAUUUAGAGAUUUCGUAGCUAUCUUUGAUUUUGGUAUAGGUGUAUAUAUGAAUAGCCGUGUGAUAUACAAUAAACAUACAAAUUUCUUCCCCUCUCACAAACGUUUUCAUGGUAUCAGAGCCUUGAGCCGAACCUUCUAAUAAAUCAAAAUUUUUCCAUAACCGACGCCGAAGCUAAGCACCAUGGCUGGAAGGGAAAAGGAAAACCCAAAUAUGAUAGAUUCGUCUUCAUCUUAUUAUCUUCAUCCCUCUGAUCAUACGGGCAUGAUUAUAUCCCCGGUGAAAUUAAAUGGUGAGAAUUAUGAAGAGUGGUCAUGCUCGAUGCGUAAUGCAUUUUGGGCAAGAAGAAAACAAUCGUUUUUUAAUGGCAAGAUUGAGAAACCUGCCGAAGAUGCUCCUAAAAUUGAAGAUUGGUGGAGUGUGAAUUCAAUGCUUGUAGGAUGGAUAUUUACAUCUUUUGAACCGCAUAUUCAUUCAACAAUCACCUACUAUGAUACUGUUAAGGAACUCUGGGAUGAAUUAAAAUUGAGAUUCUCAAUUGGGAAUGGACUACGGGUGCUGCAGUUGCGAUCCGAUCUGGUCAAAUGUAGACAAGAUGGGCAGACAGUAGGAGCCUAUUUUGGACGUCUCAAGAUUCUGUGGGAUGAACUCAGCAACUAUGUUCAACCUCCUGUCUGUUCUUGCGGCAACUGCGCCUGUAAUCUGUCAACGCAGUGGGAAAAAAAAAGGGAAGAAGAAUGUGUUCACCAAUUCUUGAUAGGACUUGAUGAUACGAUUUAUGGGACAGUUCAUUCUAAUAUUAUUGCUCAAGAUCCUCUUCCCUCACAAAGUCGUGCUUAUGCCUUGGUGGUACAAGAGGAAAGACAUCAAACCAUUACAAGGAUAUGUGAUGUGCGUGUCGAAGCCGUGAGCUUUGGUGUCCAAGCACCCAAGGCACAACAAGGUGUUGCUGCGUCUUUUUUGAAUAAUGCAAAUGGAGAAAAAUCAGUGUGUAAACAUUGUGGCAAAACCAGUCAUGAGAUAUCAUCUUUCUUCAAGAUUAUUGGAUAUCCGGAGUGGUGGACUGCUAAUCGUGGAAAGGGUAACUCAGGCAGACGAGGGCAGACAAAUAAUUUUGUUGGGCAUAGUAAAUCGCAUGCUGCUGUGACUAACGCUGCUCUUAUGCCUGCUGGUGGAGGAGGAAACUAGGCUAGUCCGACUCUGUCAGCAUAAGAUCAGGCUGCCCUUGCAACUACUCUCACGGAUGAUCAAUGGGAAAUUAUGGUGAAUAUGCUUAAUUCACAAAAUAAGGAUGUUUCAAAAGAGAAGCUUUCUGGUAAGUGGAUUCUAGAUACAGGGGCUUCGAGACAUAUGACAGGAAGCAGAGAAUUAAUGACUGAUCUGCAAAAUAUUGGGCUUUCGCCCAUAGGUCUUCCAAAUGGCACAUGCUCUCAUGCUCAGUGCGAGGGCACUGUUGAGUUUGGAAACAAUUAAAGAAUGAAUCAUGUUCUAUAUGUACCUGAUUAUUGGUUAUUUCAUUUUUUUCGGUGGUUCUCCCAUUUCCUGGAAGACAAAGAAACAACAUACUGUCUCUCGUUCUUCGACUGAAGCAGAGUAUCGGUCUAUGGCUUUCACUUGUUGUGAAUUAACUUGGUUGACGGCUUUGUUAAAGUCUCUUGGUGUUUCGCAUUCUCUACCAAUGCGUCUUUACUGUGAUAGUCAGGCAGCGCUUUGUUAACAUAUAUGUUUCCAUAAUAUUGAUUUUGAUAAUAACAAAUAAGUUUAAGAAUGAUUAAUCUUUUAAGCUCAAAUUAUUUAAUAUUCUUUUUAAAUAAAUCAUUAUUUUAACAUUAUAAAUGUUUUAUAUUUAAUGGAAAAAUAAUUUUAUGAAAUUGAUUGUUUUUAUUCUUUUUAAAUAAAUCAUUAUUUUCACAUUAUAAAUGUUUCAUAUUUAAUGGAAAAAUGAUUUUAUGAAAUUGGUUGUUUUUUAAAAUUUAUGGUUUAAUUGAAAGAAUUUUGAAAACUUUGAAAUAAACAAGUAUUGCUUGAAAUUUUGGAGAAGGACUUAUUUGAAAAGUGUCAUAGCAUUUUGGGCUAUACCAUAAUUUUAGAAAGUUUUGGGAUUAACAAAGCAUUACUUAGAAAUUCUGAAAUUGGACCUAUGUGCAAUGUUUCAUAACGUUUUGGGUCAUACUAUAGUUUUAUAAAGUUUUGGCGUCAAACUAUAAUUUCAGAAAAUAUUUUCACUGUAGCAAUUUCACUGUAGCAAACGGCUAACCGUUUAUUUAAAAUGGCUAACCGAUAAUUUCCAGAAAGCAUGUUCUGCAAAGUAUUGUUAAAAUGAUGAUUCUGGAAAAUAACGGUGAACCAUUUACUGAAAACGGUUAACCGAUUAUUUCCAGAUUGCUAACCUUGAACCGUUUAGUAAGAACGGUUAAAUCAAAUUUGUUUUGUAGGUCUCUGGAAAUUAACGGCGAAAGGGUAAGCCCAAACGGCUAACCGUUUAUUUAAAAAUUGGCCCAACGGUAACUUUGACCGGCCUAAACGGUUAACCGUUAAUGGUUAACAGCGAACCGUUUUCGAGUAGACAGUCUAUAACGGCUAGUUUUUUAGCUCCAACUAUAAAUAUGCUCAAUCCAAUUCAAAUAAGAAGAAUUCCAACGAUCAUCAUUGAGCAAAAUAUAGAGAAUACAACUUUCAUUGAGCUUUAAAUCUUUGUAUUCAUCUCAUUCAUUCACACAUUGAGCUUUCACUUGAGAUCAAACACAUUGUGUGAGAGGGAUUCAUUUGUAAUCUUUUUUGUAAAAUCAAGUUAAAAGAUUGUAAGUGUUGGGAUACACUUGGGUUAAGAGAUUGGGGAUAAUCUCUUGUUGUAAAGGUCCAUUGACACCUUGGAAGUCAAUUGUAAGUGUUUGAAGCCUUGAGAGGCUAACUUAGUGAAAUCCUCAAGCCCGGUGAGCUUGGAGGCGUGGACGUAGGCGGGGAUUGCCGAACCACGUAAAAAUCAUUGUGUUCGUUUUCUCUUCUCUUACUCUUUUAAUAUUGUGCAUGAUUGAAUUUAUUGUUUUCAAUUUGAUUAAGGCAAUAGAUUAAAUUGUUGUGUGGUUUGCCUAGGAUAAUUUUUAAAAUCCCAAUUCACCCCCCCCCCCCCUCUUGGGUUGCCUAGUUAGUAUUUCAUUUGGUAUCAGAGCGAGGUGCUCUUUUGUAGACUUAACCGUCUAGAGUUAAAGAUCUAUAGCAACCCAAAUUAGCUCAAUCUUCAUGGAAGGCCAAUCCACCACUAGACCUCCAUUCUUUGAUGGUAAUGACUAUCCUUAUUGGAAAACUAGGAUGAGAGUGUUUUUACAAGCCUUAGAUUAUGAAAUAUGGGAAAUAGUUUGUGAUGAUUCAUUCAUUCAUAGGAAGAAUGUUUUAAGUGAAUUGGAUAAGAAAAAUAUGUCUUUAAAUUCCAAGGCUAUGAAUGCUUUAUUUUGUGCCUUAGAUAAAAAGGAAUUUCAUAGAGUUUCAAAUUGUUCUAAUGCUUAUGAAAUUUGGAGAAAACUUGAAAUUGUGUAUGAGGAGACUACAAACGAGGAGGAAUUUCAUGAAGUGUCGAAUUUGGCACUUAUGACAAUUGUAGAUGAAUCGGAUGAUGAACUUGAUGAGGUAAAUCAUCUUCCUACUUAUGAUGAAUUACAUGAUGCGUUUAAAGAAUUGUAUAAUGAGUGGAUGAAAAUUGGUAAAAAAAAUGCAUGUUUUAAAAAGAAAAUGGUAAAGCUCACAAAUGAAAAUGAAUCUCUAAGUGCAAAGAUUACAUGUCUAGAAUUAGAGAAUAAAACAUUGCAUGAUGAAGUUACAUUAUCAAAUGACAAAUUUAGCACUUCACAAAAGCAUCUAGAAUCACAUGUAGAUAACUUGAAAAAUGAAAAUGAUGCUUUACAAAAAUGCAAUGAUUCAUUAAAUGAAAAGAUUAAAGGACUAGAGUUAGAUAAUAAAAUGUUGCAUGAUAGAAUUGCAUCAUUCACAUGUAAACAAAGUACUUUGUAUGAGCAUGAGAAAUCACAUGUUGAUGAAUUAAUAAAUGAAAAUGAAACACUUAAGAAAAGGAGUAAUGAGUUGAAUGAGAUUGUUUUGAAACUCACAAAUGGGCAAAAGAUGUUGGAUAACAUGCUUAAUUCACAAAAAUGUGUGUUUGAUAAAGGAGGACUUGGGUAUAAGCCUUACUUGAAACAAAAAUAUUAUAAGAAUUAUUUUGUUAAGGCUACCUCCACAAAUGAUCAAAUUGUAUGUCAUUAUUGCAAUCAAAAUGGUCAUAUGAAGAAUAGAUGUCCAAUUAAAAGAAAUGUGUAUUAUGGAGUCAAAUGUAUUUGGGUUCCAAAAGGAACUAAAUCUAACAUUCAAGGACCCAAGAGUAUUUGGGUACCAAAGGGUACAACUUGAAUUUGUUUUUGUAGGUACCAUAAACAAGGAAUGGUGGAGAGUUCCUUGAUGAAGCUUGUGGAGAUAAUCACUUGAUCAUAAUCUAAAGCAAAAAUAAUGAGGCAAGAUGAUUUAAUUGUUUUGGUAACUAUUAUUGCCUUAUUGAUUAUAAGUGAUGGUAUUUUAAUCUUAGCAAAUAUUUAACACUUCAUUUGGUAUCAUAACAUUAAGUGUAUUAACAUGAUGUGGAUAAGUUUAUCUUGGCUAUUUACUAUAUUGAGUGAAUCAUGAUAAAUGAAUUUGCGAAAGUAUGCUUGUAUGUUUACAUGAUGGAAUUAUCAUUGUGUUUAACAUUGAGUGCUUUAUCAUGAUGCAUGGUUAUAUAUAUAAGAUGAUAGCUUGUCAACUCAUCAUGAUAGCUUUGUUUGAUUUUGAUGAUUAUAUAAUGCCUAAGCUUGAUAAAUGAGUGAUAUGCUUGAAUUAUUAAUCUUUGAAUGCUUAUAUGUUUCAUGAUUGUGUAAAAUAUACACAUGAUGAAUGAAUUAUAUGUGUGAAUUCUUGUGCUAUUAAUUGUGUUAUAUCAUCAUUCAUUUAUAAAAUUGACAUUAUUGGUUGAUACGAUUUCAUAUGUUUGGUCUUGUAUGCAUAUAUGUUCCAUGCACUAAUUGACUUAUUGAAAAGUUAAAUGAAUUUUAAAAUUGAUCAAUUUCUAAGCCAAAAAUAAAUUUGUGUCUAAGAGCUUACAAAAUUUCAAAAAUAUUUUCCAAAGCUUAACCGGUAUACCACUUCCAUAGUGUGCUCUCCUUAUGGAUUUUACCAUAGUUUUCUAUUAUAUUAUGCACUUACAUGUUCAUAUGCUUUGUUGCUUUCAUUGUGGAUUGAUGAUGAUUAUUGUUUGCUAUUUGGAUGUUUUAUAUUUGGAUAAUGUGGAACUAAUGUGUUUAUCUUGACUUUUUGAUGAUCAAGAGGGAGAUAUGAGAUGUAAAGGAGAAAUACAUCUACUUUGAGAUUCUUAAGUAUAUGUUGAUUUUGAUGAUCUAUAUAUUGCUAUUAUGUACUUAUGCUUUACUUAAGUUUUGAUGACAAAGAAUGUGCUUUGAUGAUUCCAUUGUAUUUGAUGAAUUUUGAUUUUAUGGAAUUUAUGAUUGGUGAAUGGAUACAUUUUUUUUUGCUUUCUUGACGCAUUGUUAAAUAUGCAUUACUUGUUUUAAAUGAUAUCAAAAGGGGGAGAAAUACAUGAUCAUUGAGAUCUUGGCGCAUAUGAGAGUGUAAGUUAUAUUAAAAUGUCGCUUUAGGUCUUUGAUGAGUUUAGUUGUCUUGAUUUCUAAAAUGUGAUUAGUAAUUAUAGAGCUUGAAUUGUUGACAUUAUGCUCUUAUGACUUUUGCAUUCCCUUUCUUAGCUUAUUACUUGUUCUAUUUUGGAUAAUAUGCUUUUUGAACAUUUUUAUUGUCCAAAGGGGGAGACAAAGUAAUAAAUCUUUUUAAUGAUGUAAAUUGGGGGAAAUAACAUGCAUUUUGAGCAUUCUUUUAAUGGUUGAUAUAUGAUUAUGGAAUCCUCGGAUAUAAUUGUUACAAGUGUUGGGGGAAUUCAUAAUGAUUGAUGAUUAUAUGUGCAUUGCUUGAUGAAUUGAUGAAGUUAUUGGUUUGUUAUAAUUGUUGAAGCUUAUAUCUUUUUAACCAUGUUGUUUAUUUGAGAAUUUGUUCUUUUUUAAGGGGAGACUUUAUCGAAAUUUUUGCUCAUACAAAAUGGGUAAUAUCUUCAUUGAAUUAUUUUUGAUGAUCUUGUUUCGAUUGCAUCUAUCUAUCUUUCCUUUUUACGAUGAAGGGGGAGAUAAAUAUGAUAUGUUUUUAGAUAAAAUCAUUUUGGUUAAAUUUCUUAAAUUGGCCAUAUAUUUAGGGGGAGCAUAUAAUAUGAUUUUGGAUAAUAUGCAUUUUGAACUUUUUUUGUCCAAAGGGGGAGACAAAGUAAUAUCUCAUUUCGAUAUUGUCAAAAGGAGGAGAAUAAUAUGCAUUUUGAGUAAUUAUUUUGAUGAUUAAUAUGUGAUUAUGGUGAUGAUUUUGAGAUAUCAUGAUGAUUUGAUUACAUGGUGUGUAUCAUAAUUUAAAAUAAUUUGGGAGUAAUAUUACUAAACUUGUAUUUGAGGUGAUGCUUGUUGAUAGGGGGAGAAUGUGUCAAAAUUUUUACUCGGCUACAUGGGUAACAAAUUUGCUACUCUUUUUCUUUUCCACUAAGUUUUCUUUUUGAUGAUGAGGGGGAGAAAAAUCCAUGUAUUUAAAUAUGUUAAUUUAGCUAAUUGGCAAAUUGUAAAAGAAGAUUAUAUUUAGGAGCAAUUUGUGGAAUCAUUCUUUAAAUACAUGAAAUGUUUGUCAUCAUCAAAAAGGGGGAGAUUGUUAACAUAUAUGUUUCCAUAAUAUUGAUUUUGAUGAUAACAAACAAGUUUAAGAAUGAUUAAUCUUUUAAGCUCAAAUUAUUUAAUAUUCUUUUUAAAUAAAUCAUUAUUUUAACAUUAUAAAUGUUUUAUAUUUAAUGGAAAAAUGAUUUUAUGAAAUUGAUUGUUUUUAUUCUUUUUAAAUAAAUCAUUAUUUUCACAUUAUAAAUGUUUCAUAUUUAAUGGAAAAAUGAUUUUAUGAAAUUGGUUGUUUUUCAAAAUUUAUGGUUUAAUUGAAAGAAUUUUGAAAACUUUGAAAUAAACAAGUAUUGAUUGAAAUUUUGGAGAAGGACUUAUUUGAAAAGUGUCAUAGCAUUUUGGGCUAUACCAUAAUUUCAGAAAGUUUUGGGAUUAACAAAGUAUUACUUAGAAAUUCUGAAAUUGGACCUAUGUGCAAUGUUUCAUAACGUUUUGGGUCAUACUAUAGUUUUGUAAAGUUUUGGCGUCAAACUAUAAUUUCAGAAAAUAUUUUCACUGUAGCAAUUUCACUGUAGCAAACGGCUAACCGAUAAUUUCCAGAAAGCAUGUUCUGCAAAGUAUUGUUAAAAUGAUAAUUCUGGAAAAUAACGGUGAACCGUUUACUGAAAACGGUUAACCGAUUAUUUCCAGAUUGCUAACCUUGAACCGUUUAGUAAGAACGGUUAAAUCAAAUUUGUUUUGUAGGUCUCUGGAAAUUAACGGCGAAAGGGUAAGUCUAAACGGCUAACCGUUUAUUUGAAAAGUGGCUCAACGGUAACUUUGACCGGCCUAAACGGUUAACCGUUAAUGGUUAACGGCGAACCGUUUUCGAGCAGACAGUCUAUAACGGCUAGUUUUUCAGCUCCAACUAUAAAUAUGCUCAAUCCAAUUCAAACAAGAAGAAUUCCAACGAUCAUCAUUGAGCAAAAUAUAGAAAAUACAACUUUCAUUGAGCUUUAAAUCUUUGUAUUCAUCUCAUUCAUUCACACAUUGAGCUUUCACUUGAGAUCAAACACAUUGUGUGAGAGGGAUUCAUUUGUAAUCUUUUUUGUAAAAUCAAGUUAAAAGAUUGUAAGUGUUGGGAUACACUUGGGUUAAGAGAUUGGGGAUAAUCUCUUGUUGUAAAGGUCCAUUGACACCUUGGAAGUCAAUUGUAAGCGUUUGAAGCCUUGAGAGGCUAACUUAGUGAAAUCCUCAAGCCCGGUGAGCUUGGAGGCGUGGACGUAGGCGGGGAUUGCCGAACCACGUAAAAAUCAUUGUGUUCGUUUUCUCUUCUCUUACUCUUUUAAUAUUGUGCAUGAUUGAAUUUAUUGUUUUCAAUUUGAUUAAGGCAAUAGAUUAAAUUGUUGUGUGGUUUGCCUAGGAUAAUUUUUAAAAUCCCAAUUCACCCCCCCCCCCCUCUUGGGUUGCCUAGUUAGUAUUUCAUGCUUCAUAUUGCUGCCAAUCCUGUAUUUCAUGAGCGCACUAAGCACAUUGAAAUUGAUUGCCACUAUGUGCUGGACCAAAUCCAUGCUAGUAAUAUUGCUACUUCUCAUGUUCGUACUUCAGAGCAACUUGCAGACAUUUUCACAAAGGCGCUUGGUCGACGCCAGUUUGAGAAUAUCCUUCGCAAGUUGGGCAUUCGUGAUCUUCAUGCUCCAACUUGAGGGGGAGUAUUGGGAACGUGUGGAGCAACUAACGUGUGCAUGUGCAGUAACUAUUGUAAUAUUCUCUUUGUAUAGCUUUUGUAUUUCAUUAGGAAUAGAAGGAGCAGCUUUUGUAUUCCAUUAGGAAUAGAAGGAGCAUAUUUAGGAGACUAUUUAGAGAUUUCGUAGCUAUCUUUGAUUUUGGUAUAGGUGUAUAUAUGAAUAGCCGAGUGAUAUACAAUAAACAUACAGAUUUCUUCCCCUCUCAAACGUUUUCAAAUUAUCUUUUUGUCAAAAUUUCAGUGAUGAAGAAACUCAAGAGCAAGUACAAGACAUUUAAAACGUACGUUUGGUUAAUUUUUUUUUCUUUUAAUUACUUAAUUAUAUAUGCUCUGUUGUGACGUUUUUGCUUAUGUUAAUCAUAUUUCUUUUUCGAAAAGACAAGUCAAUUUGCUUAUGCUAAUCAUAUUUCUUUUUUGAAAAGACUUGUUAGUUUUUCUCUUAAAUUUCUCUUUAAACUUAUGUUUUCGUAAUUUUUUAAUAUAAAUACAUGAUGCAUUUUCUGCUCAAUAUACUACUGUGAAUAAAGUAAUUUAAGAUGACAUUUUUGUAGGUGUAUCAACUGAAGGAACAAGAAAGCUGUUAAAUUUGAUCGUUGUUGGAAUCAAAUAUUGGAUAGUGAAAGGCUUCUAAAAAUGACAAGUAGCUUUCUAUAAAACAAAGCGUUUAUGAUUGAAUCCACUGACUGCACUCAUAUUCUUUAAACUCAUAUGACUUUGUUAGAGAUUUAUUGUAGAAAUGAAUACGAUAUUAAAAGAUAAAAAAGGCUAAUCGAAUAAUUAGGUGCUCGUGUCUUUAAGCUAACCCAAAAAUUAGGAACUCGUGUUUUUAAUUAGUUAUAUUAAUAUUUUAUCCUUGUGAUUUCUUUUUAUGGCACAGCUCUGAUUUCUCUCCUUAGUUGUUGUUGCGUUUCUCAGUGUUCGCUGCAUAUUGUCAUUUUUCAUGGGUAUGAUUUGCCAUAUGCGAUUUAAAUGGGUCAUGUCCACUGAGCAUCCGUUGUGCCUUAACAUGCUAUGAACCCAUGAUUGAAUAUAAAAUAUAAUUGCAUACAUAACAAAUUCUGCCAUUCUCAUGCUUUUGCUAGAAAAUGGUUCUCAUAUCUGACGACUGUUACUCAAUAAAAGUAACAUAUAUGACAUUUUUGUUUCAUUUAUAAACCUCGACGAGUGAGAGAAUUUAUUAGAAUCAUCGAAAAGAGACCUCAUCAUCGGAAAGAAAUAGAAACUGAAAAGAAAUGUCGAGGCCAACAUCAAUUGAAACUGCACUCUUGGGAUUCAUGCACUAUAAUUCAUCAUCCUUUGGUGCCAGGUGAUGAUGUGGCAACCACGUGUUUGUCGUCCAAGGGAAUUGGCUGAAAAAGCAAUGUGAAAACUACAUCCAUAGUCUCUUGGUUUUGAGCACCAUGCCCGUCUCCAUGUAGAUACAUAAAAUGGGACACUCUCACAACAUUCAAUAUGAAUUCGACUGUAGUUUGCGAUAAGGGAGAAUCUUUAACAGCUCUGUAUGCAUUCACCUUCUUCCACAUCUGUCUCAUCAUAUCCUUGAUGUGUUCACGAGCAACUUCCUCCGAGGCACCAGUUUCCUGCAUGUAACACUGGAUUGAUUUCGGAACAUCCCCUCUCUGUAUCUCAUCCUGAUGAAUUAUUGGGUAAAAAAAAAAGUACAAUCAAUUCAUAAAUAGAGGAUUAAUUCAAUUUCUGUCUUGUUAAAAAAAAAGAAGAAAGAAAAAAUACCGAUGAAGUUCCCAAAUCAUCUUGAAGACGAAGAAUCUUGAAUGACCAGUGAAUUAUAUCUUGAUUACUUUCUAAAAAUUCUAGUUCCUUCUCAGUGAUUGGAUUUGUCCCAGAAAGGUAUGCAGUCAUUGUAACCAUAGGGCCUCCUAUUGAUACCAAUCCAUUUUCCAAGAAUUCUCCCAGAGUUGGCGUGUACUUACCAUGGUACCAUUUCGCCUCCACUAAGUAGGCUUGUAUAUUACGAAGCCACUGAUGCACAAGACAGAAAAUAGCAGUAGUUACAACUUAUAAUUUUUUUUUUUUUUUUUUGCGACAACAACAUCCUAAUUUAAAAAGGAUAAAUCAAAGGAAAGGAAUGGCGGCAGAGGUGCAACUAAUAUUUUACGUACCGCAUUUUUUAUACUUCGAAGUAUAUCAAAAUCCUGUUGUUUUGAGUACGUAAUAAGUAAAUUCAUUAACCAAGUUGUAAAGCGCAAGAAAACAGAUUUUCAUAUAGUCCGGAAGGUGGUUCAAAGCAUAAUUGAUGUCCCACCUGUAGAAAACGAAAAAAAAAAAAAAUUCAUAUGACUGGUCUAUUAAUUUGAGAGGUAGCAAGCAGCUAGCUAGCAGUUGAAUUAAUCAAUUAGGUAUAACAUUAAUUUGCCAACAAACCUCUCAACAGCAUCAGCAAAUAGCUCAAGUUCAUCCAAAGUUCCAUAAACAUCAUAAAUAUCAUCAAUCACUGAAAUUAGAGCAAAUGUGAUUGUGAGUAUUCUCCUACAGUAGGCGAAUUGAGGCUCAAACACUAUCCCCAUGCUCCAUACGAAGGAUGCUACCAAGCUGUCCCUCGCAAAGCUCAGUUUCUCUCCAAGACCUAUAUCCUUCCACCACCUUCAUAGGAAAAUUAAAACGAAUAUUAUGACUCGUAGCUUUACAAUACAUCUGUUAUAGAGUCAUCUUCUAGUCCGAGAUUCCUUAGAGUGAAUCUCUGGUGCAAACGUCUGUAUUUUAUGAAGUGCAGACUCAGACCUUUACACUACUGUAAAAGGUGUAGUCUGCACCUGAGAAUAAUUUAAUAUGCAUAUGAUCAAUUUGUACAAGUUAUGUAUGUCAUAAACUAAAAUCUUUGAUACAUACAUAAAUAUGAGUUAUGCAACCAAGCAUGGAUACCUUGAAACAUCUUUAAGUUCUUCCUGGUAAAUUGCCUGCAAAACGUUGAAUUCCAACUUAGCGAGCUCAAGUAAAAGGUGGUUCUUGUCCUCUCUUUUCUCAUAAACGUCUAUGAACCACCUUGCCUCUAACAUUGGAACUUUCCAAUGCAGAGGGAGCUCCAGUCCACGCUUUGCUUGUUCUGCUACAAAGACAUCCCCUUGCUUGCUCUUGCUGAUCAUCACUUCUUUUAGAUGUUUACUAGUGAAUUGCCAGGCCUCCUCCAUGAUGCUUUCUCCUUCUAAGCUGAAAUACGAGGCUUCAUGCAAGCUCAUUAUUUCCUUGAAAUCAUUACAAAUGAAGCCUCCCUUGUGUCUUUAAAACCAUUGAAAACGUCUGCAGUGCUCAAUCAAAAAGAACUAUUUCACAAAAUUUUCGCAUACAUAUGCUAAUUAGAGAAUGAUUUAAGUGUCUCAGCAGCCUUGUCGAGUUCGAAUUCUCUGGAGAUAGAGAGUUAAAAAAUUGAUUUGGGUGUUGUCCACUCUUUUAAAUUAAAAAAAAAAAAAAAGGAAAAAAACAGAGAGAUCGAUUCAAAUAUUCAGACCUUGCAUGCGCAUGACAAAAAAAAUCGAGUUUAUGAAAUGUACCUUGACAAACAGGAUAGCCAUGUUGUCUAAGUAGUCUAAACUCGAGAGAGGUUGCAUACAGAUUUUCUUUUCUCCAAUUAUAAUCUUUAUUACUGUUGUAGAUAUUAUGCAAUAUGUUCCGAAUCUCAGUCUCAAAAUGAUAAGCCAAUCCAAGUCUUUGCAAGUUGUCAAUCAGCUCCAACUGAUCCAGAGGCUCGGUUACAUCCUUAUUAAUCGUUGUCAUUACUUUUCCCUUCAGCUCUUCUGCUUGUCUUUUGUAUGUUUCAUCCUGUACAUGAACGGCAUUUAGUUUUUAGUUAUUCAUGGUCCCAAUUUGAAAUGAAUAAUAAUAAAUACCGUAUAGCCGCUAUUCAGUGACUGCAAAAAAUCAUGGUCCCAAAUUGAAGGUUGGUAGUUUGCUGAUCUCCUGUCAACUGUCAAAUUAUCAUAUUUGGCGCUGACAAGGCAUUGGACUGGCUUAUUUAUGGUAAUGAUUCUAGUGGCUGCUCGAUUUGUUGCAAGAGGAGGACAUUUGAAACCAUUUACAGAGGUAAACGAGGUUGAUGGAACAAUGCAAGAAGACAUUGGACAUACAGAUGUAGUGUAAGCUAGCUUACAGUUAUACUUGGCAAAAAUUCUCAAAUUAAUCUAUGGUUUGCGGUUAUGCACAAGGUUAUAUAUAUAUAUAUAUAUAUAGGCAGCGGAGAAGUGCAAGCGAUUUAUUUUUCUUAUUCAUUUUCCCUGAGAUUUUCAAAGCAUGUAAUUUGUAAGUCUUAGUUGGACAAAGAUAUUAUAUUCAUUAAAAAAAAAAAAGGAGUACAUCUUCCCUCUGUUGAGGGAAUUCUAACGUGCCAGCAAGUUCAAAUAUGUACAUUCGCUGGCAUGUUUUUUUUUUUUUUUCCUUAAAGGUAAGGGGGUGGGCAAGCCUAAAUACAGUUUUUACUCCCCUUAUCAUCCACAAAAAUAAACCCGAAUUUUGGUAGAGAUUACAGCUGCAAUGCAACCAACCCGACCACGCCCUUGAGGGGGCUGGCUUGUUGUAUAAUUGUUAUUUAUUUGUCAUUUUUUUUCGCUACAAAUUUUUUUAAAGAGUGUUUCUAUAAGCCAUAUAAUUAUAAUAAAUACACAUAUUAAUGACAAAAAAAAUUCAUAAAUUUAACUUUGCUUACAAAAGUCCUAUUUAUUACAUUAAAAACUUGUUUUACGUACUUACAUAAAAAUAAGAACACGCAAAGUUACAAAGAAUAUCUUAAUGUUAAUCAUUAAUACUCAAAAUAAUCAAAAUUAUAAAAGAAGAUAAAGACCUGUUUUAUUUAACAAAUCUAACUAAAACCUUAUUUGUUAUAGUUAUAAAGUACUUUUGAAAAAAAAAAUUAUAUAUUUCAAAAUAAUUACCAUCAAAAGAUAGAUUGGAUAGGAUAGAUAUGUCUCCCUCAUAUUAGUGAAAAUAGAUUUUUUAGCUCAUGCCUAAGGGCAUCUCGGUUGUACUACAAAUGUAUGUAUCUAAAUAAGGAUAAAUGCUCAUUUAGUCCCUAUAUUUUAAGAUUAGUAUCCAUAUAGUCUCAAAACAUCCCUGCCGUUAAAGUAUUGAUACCCCUACCAUUACUUUUUAUUUCUUUUGACUUGCUUUUACAAUAUUACCCUUUUAUAAUAAUUUUUUUGUGUGGACAUUAAUAAAAAAAUAGUAAUUAAAUUACAAAUUUAACCCUAGAAAAUUAAAAAAAUUAUAUUAAUUUUUUUGUAAGCUGCACACUUGGUAGUUUGUAUACAAUUUUUGACAAUUAAAAAUUAAUAUAAUUUUUUUUAUUUUUAGGGUUAAAUUGGUAAUUUAAUUAUUUUCUUUUUUAUUAAUGUCCAAACAAAAAUAUUAUUAUAAAAGGGUAAUAUUGUAAAAGUAAGCGAAAAAAAAUAAAAAGUAACGGUAGGGGUAUUAAUACUUUAAUGGUAGGGAUGUUUCGAGGUAUUUUUAAAAAUACAAGGACUAAAUGGAUACUAAUCUUAAAAUACAGGGACUAAAUGAGCUUUUACUCUCUAAAUAAUAUAUGUAUAGACUGUAAUAAAGGAAAAUGAGGAUUAACCCUAUCAUUUAGAUAAAUUAAGGGAAAUCCUUUCAUAUUUUAAAAUAGGUCCAAACACCCUACAAUUAUGACCGUAUUAGUUUUAUAUAUCAUUUUACUAUUCUAUCUCUAGUAUUGAUAUUAGUCAUAAAAUUUAAAUAUUUUGAAGAUAUUCUUUUAAGCAAAGUGACUUGUAUUUCCUUAACGAUUAAAUUAAUUUAAUAACAAAUUGCAAAUUAUGGAGAAAAAUUACAAGUAGGGGAAAUGACAUAAUUCCUACUAGUUGUAUAAAUGUGUCCUAAGUGUAUGAAGUCCAAGAUUCUAAAUAAAUCUCUGAAAACAUAAAAUAAAACAAUUGAAGGAAAUAUCCAAAUAUACAUUCAAAUAAAGGACAAAUAGAUAAUUGGACUAAAUGCAAUAAAUUCACCCAGACUACAAAUGAAUAAUAUAUGAUAAAUUAAAGAAAAGAAUCACUAUAGGAAAGGGAUAUAUAAGCAACUACUAACAAAACAAUAAAUUACACGUACUUGCAGCUAUUUGAUGAGAAAUAAUUAAUUAAGAGCAUUAAAUUAGCAUAAGCAAGUGAGCAAACAACAAUUACAAUGGCAACGGUAUGGCCUAGCCUAUGCUUCUCCAAUAAAACAACUGAUCGUGUGCCAGAUUAAGAAGCAAAUUAAAUAUAUCAAACUUGUUACAUUCAUUUAAACAAAUACUUUAUAUAAUUAUCAGGGGUAUAUAUGAUAUUUCCUCUACUUGUAAAUUGUAAUUUUUCUUCAUGUUUUUUAAUAGGUUAAUAAAUUUAUUUAAUUGUUGAGGAUAUAUAAGUCAUUUUGCUUAAAAAAUUCUCAAAAUAUCUAAAUUUUAUGACUAAUAUCGAUAGUAAAAAUAGAAUAGUAAAAUUAUAUAUAAAACUAACACCAUUAUAAUUGUAGUAGAUUUGAAUCUAUUAAAAAGUAAGGAGGGGUUUUGCUUAAUUUUCCUAGACAAAUAGAAGGUAAUCCUCAUUUUCACAUUGUAAUAAUUUCAAAAAAAAAAUCCAUUUAACAACGGUUAGUGAAAGUGCGUUCGAAUUUUUGCAGUAACUAAAAACAAGUCAGAAUUAUGUUAGGAUUAAUCCAUACAAAGAAAACAUCCCAAGUCCUCCGAAGUAAUAAGCAACACACACACACACACAAACACAUAUACACACAUAUAUAUAUAUAUAUUACAAUUUUUUUUUUUUGAUGCGAUAUAGAGUACAAUUUAAUAUUGGUUCAACUACAGAAAUUAAUUGUGCAAGUCAUAAAAAUUAAGAAUGAAGAAAAGGAAAUAUGAACUCAAACCAGAACGCCAAAUGUAGUCAUAUUUUUUCAUGAGGGAAUUCUAACGCGCCAAUGAAUGUGUUUAUAGUAAUCAACGAUGCCGAUAUUUGUUUAUAAUAGUAAUACAGUGAACAGAAACGUGCGGAAGCAUGUGUUUAAUAAUCAACGUUAUAUUUCCAUUUGAGUCAUAGAACACUGGAGAGACUUCCUGUAUAGCCUGACCUUACUAGAAUUUGCAAAUAAAAUGCGAAUGUAAAAUACCAAAACACGUGCGACUCUUCAUCAACAGCCUGUAAAAUACCACUAGAAGAGAUAUUUGCCCCAUUUCCUUGAGAUCAUCUGUCUCGAAACAAAAGAGACUUCAUUGACUUGUAGUCGAAAAUGACAAGAAGGGCAGAAGAGAAAUUUUAGAAAAUCUCUAAUAUACCAUAUCAAUUAUAUAAAAAGUAAAUAAUGAUAUAGUAUAUAUGCAUUUAUUUUAAAGAACAGACAUAUAAUUGGUAGUUAUAUAAAAUUUAAAUAUACAUUUUAUACAUAUAUUAAUUAAACUGAUUUAUGUAUUUUAGUUUAGAAUUUCUCACAACAAAGAACUAGCAUUCAUUUUUUUCUUCUUGGUUUUGCGGCAUCACACACUAUAGUGUAGCACAUGAACCAUAUGCGUAUGAAAAAUUAGACUAGUUGGUAUACGUAAUGUUAAGGAGUCAGAGCCUCUCCUUUUUGACACACUGAUAACAGAGUGCAACCGUGUGUAAUACACAAGCACAUGCGAAGUCAAAAUUAGACUAGUUGGUGUGGGGCUUGUUCAGGAAGCCUUUCUUUUUUUCACAAUAUGAAACAAAUUAUUAACCAUCAAAUCACAGUUUGAUAAGUCUCAUGAAAAAUGAAAAUAAUAUAAAUAAAUGUGACUAAUAUUUUUGUGUCUUUAUUAUCACGAGCCUUGUGGGCAAGGUCGGCUCAAUUAAUUGGGAGCUUUAAGGGAAUUGUUCAAUUAGACCUUUCAAAAAAUUUGAGGUUAAAUAUAUGUAUUAAUUUUACUAAAAAACUAUUUAUUAAAAUCAAAUUUUCUAGCUUUAGAUGUAAAAUUAUUAAUCAAAUUUUUAUAUUAUAAUUUCCUAAUAUAUUUUUCUUAGUAGACAUUAUGGCUAAUCCAUUUACUCUUUCUUGCGACAUUGUUAAUCUCAAAUAAGCUUUUAUCAAUUUUAAUUUUGAAAAACUUCUUUUUGCAUAAGCAACUGCUUGUAGUAUUGUUAAUAAUAUUCUAUAAGUAGCAUAUGCAUUUGGAAAAAAAAUCAAUUUUUUGAAAAUAAUUAAGUAUGUCAAGCGGGGUAAUUUUCCAACUGGUAAAACUUCUUUAAAAAUUCUUAACUCUAAAAACAAAUCUAAACCAUCUAUAUCAGAAAGCAUAUCAUGUUUGUAAAGCAUUUUCAAUAUUAACACAAUAAGUUUUUAAAACAUUGUCACUUAACGAUUGUAAUUUUUUGAAAUUAAACAAAAAUCCUAACAUAUUCUCAUACAUUUGAAAUUGUUCAAAUCUACUUAUUAUUGAAGAAAUAGUUUGAUCUAUUAUGUAUAUAAAAUAAUUAAUUCUGAAAGACUAUUCAAGAGAUAAAAUUCCUCCUUCACCGAUACUUUCAUCAAAAUUGUUUUUUCUACGAAUUAAAUGUUUUUCGUGAAUUUUAGGUUCUAUUUCCAUUUUGGUUGCAAUUUCUUUAGUUAAAAUCAUAAUAGGCACAAAAUCCAUUUUCUCUAUGGCUUUCAAAGAAAGAAAUAAAAACUUUAUGUCGAUCUAUGGCAAUAUAAAUAUGCAUAUGUUUUUUGCAAGAUCUUACAUAUAGAGUUAAUAGCAAAUAAUAUAUCAUACUAAAUAAUCACACCUAAUAUGAAAUUAAAAUUUUUCAAUUCAUAUGUUGCUAAACACAUAGCUUCACUCUUUAUUCUAGAAUCUUCACUAAUUUCUUCUAAUUCAAGUAAAGCAUCUCAUACUUUAUGGAGUUUGAAAUCUUAUUGCUUUCACACUUUCAAUACAACUUUCUCAAUGUAUGUGUCAAAAUAAUUUCACAGUCAAAUUGGGUAUAUUAUUUUGUGAGAUUUUCCAUCACCUCAUUGAAGAAGAAAAAUAAUGAAUAAAUAAGUUUCAUAGCUCCAAAAAAUGAAAUUGAUCUAGGACAAGAAUUAGCCAUGUUGCAAACCACUAAAUUUUGACCAUGACAACCGCUUGAUGUAUAAAAUGCUUUAGAAUUUGUUUAUAAUAUCUUACACCUUGGUGUUUUCCUUUCAUAUUAGAACCAUUAUUGUAUCCUUGUCCUUGUAUAUUAUCAAUGACAAGUUCAAAAAUUUUUAUUAGUUCUAUGAGUUCAUUAAAGAGCUCUUUACCAGUACAAUGGCAAACUUUUAAGAUUCGAAAAAAUAUUCUUCCAUUUCUACUGGAUUUGCUAAAUUAUCUACACAUCUUACUAUAGCAGACACUUGUUCUUGAUGGUUUGUAUCUGAAGUACAAUCAAGAAUAAUUGAAAAUUAUUUUUCUUCUUAUUUGUUAGGGAUUUUAUUAUUCCCAUCAUUGUGUCAAUAAUAUUACAAUUUAUUUAUUCUUUUUAUGAGGGAUUUGUCUAGUCUUGGGAAUUAAUUAGAUUAGAUUAUGUGGAAUAUGGGGGAAUAUUUUUUGAGGCAUAAAGAAGCAAAUCAGCAUAUAAGUAGGAUUACAUAUUAAAGAAUUCUAAAUAAAGAUGAUCAUUGUAUUGGUAAGUAUAUUAAGUAUUUAUGGAAUAUUAGACUCUAAAAAAAAUAUAUGUUCUAAUGAAAUACUGCACAUAUAUAAAGGGAAGUAUUUCACACAUUGAAGACUGAAGAAGGCAUUUCUUAUUUUAUAUUAGGGAAAUAGCCAAUGCAAAGAAUGAGAAGAAAAACUAUUUCGUCACAUAUGAGGUUUCAUAUCUCUAUAAUGUUUUAAUCUUCUUCAUAUCAAGCAUUUCAUUAGACAUUCUUUAUUAUUAUUUGGUUUUUUCGGAAUGGAGAGGUCAUUUGUUGUGUUGAGGGAAUCUCAAGGAAGUAGCAAAUACAAUUGAAGAUGAGUGGUGCUUGCUAAACACGAUUGACUAGGUAGAUUCAACAAGGUGGUGGUAAGAGCAAGAGAGAGUCUGAGACUAUAGAAAUUAAGGGCUUAUUCGGAUCAAUUUCAACAACAAGACGACCAAAUUUGCCUCUGGAUGCGGAUUCAGUGUUGUAAUCAAUUUUAAAAACACUCCCGAAAAUUUGUCCCAACAUUCGGAGAAUUUUCUUAUUGUAGUAAUGUAGGGCCAUGCCUGGUAAGCGGAUCCAGGCUAUAACAUAUUCAAUCACUGUUGGGUAUAAGAGGCUUUGCACACAACUCUGUAGAAUUGCAGAAUAAUUCUUAUUUGAUUCGAAUGCAAAAUAAUUGACUUAUAGUCGUACAAAAGCAGGGGAAGAAAACUGAAAAACAAACUACCCAUUUUCCACUCUAACAGAUCGUGAAUCAUGGAGAAGAAAUAUUUAAGCUAACAGUUACUUUCCUAAUAAAUAGGAUUUAUUUAAGGCAAUUAAAUAGCUAAACCUGAUGACUCAACAAUCACUGCUGCCGAACUAUCAAAAUGGGGAGUCCAUGGCUUCACUGUUAGAUAGUGCCCCAGAAUAGUCUAAGGCCCUUGCGCCAAAGCGAACUCCACAUCCCUCUCUGUUCUGAAACGAACAAGAUAAUAAUCAUUCUCAAGGUCAAUUCCAGAAAGCCCUUGGGUCGAGCUCCAGAUGGUUUCCAAGCGGUUGCGCAGCGUCCGGUAACCUAUGCGACGACCCAAAAGCUUGACCACCACCGUGUAUUGCCAUGGUUUCAUUAGUUGAGCAUGUACUUUUCUGUGAAAAAAAAAUGGAGUGAAAAUUGUCUGCACACUCAAAAACCACAUCUUCCGGUUCAACUGCCAAAUCUUCCCCGCUAUCAAAAAAUACUCCUUCAUCCACCCUUUGUGUUGACAUCAGUUUAUCACGAAAGGAAGGAGGCUGAGGAUUGUCACCAUCUUCCCCUUCAGCCUUAAAUCUUGCUUUGUUUGUGGAACGGUCGUCAGCCAUAGGUGGAUUAGGGUUUUUCUCCAUUUCAAUCUUUCCUCACAUUAGGAACUCAUUUUUUUUUAAUUGGUUAUAUUUACUUUUUGAUUCUUGUAACUUUUUUCUUUAAAUGCCACCGCUCUUAUUUCUAUCCUCAUUUAACAGACUGCGGGUUGCGUUUGUCACUGUUAGCUGCACAUUGCCAUUUUUCAUGAGUAUGAUUUGCCGUAUGCAUGGAUACUGAAAGUAUCCCUUGUGCUAAAAAUGCUAUGAACCAUCCUUGAAUAAUCAAGUAUAACUGCAUGCAGAACAAAUUCAGCCGUUCUCACGUUUUAGCUAGCAAAUAAUUAUCUUGUAGGAAUUAGAAUGAGCCUGACUUAAGUAUUUGCAUAUCCUGAAGACUUUUAUUCCCAAUAAAAGUAACAUAUAUAUAUAUAUAUAUAUAUAUAUCAUUUCUUUUUCAUUUAUAAACCUUGAUGAAUGAGGGAAUUUAUUUUAUUAUCGAAAAGAGAUCCCUCAGAAAAAAGAAAAGCGGAGGCCAACAUCAACUGAAACUGCACUCUCUGGGAAUUCGCAACGCAUCGUGCAUUAUAAUUCAUCAUCAGCCUUUGGUGCCAGGAGAUGCUGUGAAAGCCAUGUCUUUGUCCUCCAAGGGAAUGGGCUGAAAAAGCAAUGUAAAGCCGACAUCGAUAGUCUCUUGGUUUUGAACACCAUGCCCAUCUCCAUGUAGAUACAUAAAAUGGGACAUUCGCACAAGAUUCAAGAGGAACUCAGCAGUUGUUCGAGUCAAGGGAGAGUCUUUAUCGGCUGUGUAUGCAUUCACCUUCUUCCACAUCUGUCUCAUCAUAUCCUUGAUGUGUUCACGAGCAACUUCCUCCGAGGCACCAGUUUCAUGCAUGUAACACUGGAUUGAUUUCGGAACAUCCCCUCUCUGUAUCUCGUCCUGAUGAUUAUUGGGGAAAAAAAAAAUACAAUCAAUUCAUAUAUAGAGGAUUAAUUCAAUUGCUGUCGUCUUAAAAAAAAUAAAUAAAAAAAGACAUACCGAUGAAGUUCCCAAAUCAUCUUGCAGACGGAAAAUCUUGGAUGACCAGUGAACUAUAUCUGGAUUACUUUCUAGAAAUUCCAGUUCCUUCUUAAUGAUUGGAUUUGUACCAGAAAGAUAUGAAAUCGUUAUAAUUAAAGGGCCCGUUAUUGAUACCAAUCCAUUUUCCAAGUAUUCUUCCAGUUUCGGUGUGUACUUGCUAUGGUACCAUUUCGCCUCCACCAAGUAGGCUUGUAUUAAGCCAAGCCACUGAUGCACAUGGCACAGAAAAUAUACAACUAGUUACGGUUUAUAAUUUUUGAGAAAAAAAGAACAUCGUAAUUUAAAAAGGAUAAAUCAGAGGAAAGGAACAGGGAGAGGCGCCAAAUUAAUAUUUGACGUACUGCAUGUUUUAUGCUCAGAAGCAUAUCAAAAUCCUGUUGUUUGAGAACGUAAUAAGCAAAUUCAUUAACAAAGUUGUAAAGGGCAAGAAAACACAUUUUCAUAUAGCCCGGAAGGUGCUUCAAAGCAUAAUUGAUGUCCCACCUGCAGAAAAAAAAAAUCACAUAAACGGUCUAUUAAAUUGAGAAGUACCAUGCAGCUAGGUAGCAGUUGAAUUGUUAAUUUGCCAACAAACCUCGCAACAGCAUCAGUGAAUAUCUCAAGUUCAUCCAAUGUUCCAUAGACAUCAUAAAUGUCAUCAAUCACUGUAAUUAGGGCUAUCGAGAUUGUGAGCACUCUCCUGCAGUAGGCGAAUUGAGGCUCAAACGCGAUCCCCAUGCUCCAUAAGAAGGACGCUACCAACCUGUUCCUCGCAAAGCUCAAUUUCUCUCCAAGACCUGUAUCCUUCCACCACCUUCAUAGGAAAAUUAAAACGAAUAUUACGACACGUGAUUUAUAUAUCUGUAUAUAUAGAAUCAGCUUUCUGUCUGGAAUUCUGAAGAAUAUUUCUCUGAUACAAGCAUCUCAUUUUAUAAAGCACGUGACUUGUGGCUUUACAAUGCAUUUACAUAUAGAGUUAUCUUCUAGUUCGAGAUUCUUUAAUGCAAACGUUUGGAAUAAUUUAAUAUACAUUUAUAUAAAGUGUAGGCUGGUGCCUUUAUACUGCUGUAAAAGGCGGAGUCUGCACUUGAGAAUAAUUUAAUAAACAUAUGAUUAAAUUGUACAAGUUAUCUAUUCGAUAAAAUCAAAUCUUUGCAAUAUAUAUGAGUUAUGCAAUCAAGGCAUAGAUACCCUGAAAUGUCUUUAAGUUCUUCCUGGUAAAUUGCCUGCAAAGUGUUAAACUCCAACUUAGCGAGCUCAAGUAAAAGGUGGUUCUUGUCCUCUCUUUUCUCAUAAACGUGUAUGAACCACCUUGCCUCUAACAUAGGCACUUUCCAAUGCAGAGGGAGCUCCAGCGCCCGCUUCGCUUGUUCUGCUACAAAUACAUCCUCUUCCUUGCUGUUGCUGGUGAUCAUCAUUUCUUUAAGAUGCUUACUGGUGAAUUGCCAGGCCUCCUCCAUGAUGCUUUCUCCUUCUAAGCUGUAAUACGAGGCUUCAUGCAAGCUCAGUAUUCCCUUGAAAUCAUCACAAAUGAAGCCUACCUUGUCGUCUUUAAAACCACUGAAAACCUCUGCAGUGCUCAACCGAAAAAAGAAAUUAUAUUCAUCAAAACUUUUACACAUAUAUGUUAAUUAGAGAAUGAUUUAAGUGUCCCCAGCGGCCUUGUCGAGUUCGAAUUUCUCAGGAGAUAGAGAGUUAAAAAAUUGAUUUGGGUUUUGCCCACUUUUUUACAUUUAAAAGGAAUGAAUAAGAUAAACAGAGAGAUCGAUUCAAGUAUUCGGAUCUUGCAUGUGCAUGACAGAGUAAGCGAACUAAUGAAAGGUACCUUGAGAAACAGGAUAGCCAUGUUGUCUAAGAAGUCUGAAUUCAAGGGAGGUUGCAUACAGAUUUUCUUUUCUCCAAUUAUAAUCUUUAUUAUGGUUGUGGAUAUUACGCAAUAUGUUCCGAAUCUCAGGCUCAAAAUGAUAAGCCAAUCCAAGUCUUUGCAAAUUAUCAAUCAGCUCCAACUGAUCCAGAGGCUCGGUUACAUCCUUAAUCGCUGUCUUCACUUUUCCCUUCAGCUCUUCUGCUCGUCUUUUGUAUGUUUCAUCCUGUACAUGCACAGCAUUUAGUUUUUAGUUAUUCAUGGUCCUAAUUUGAAAUGAACAAGGGAAAUUUAUACGUAAUAAUAAUAAUAAUAAUAAUCAAUACCGUAUAGUUGCUAUUCAGUGACUGCAAAAAAUCAUGGUCCCAAAUUGAAGGUUGGUAGUUUGCUGAUCUCCUAUCAACUGUCAAAUUAUCAUAUUUGGUGCUGACAAGGCAUUGGACUGGCUUAUUUUUUGCCAUGAUUCUGAUGGCUGCUCUAUUUGUUGCAAGAGGAAGACAUUUGAAACCAUUUACAGAGGUAGCCAAGGUUGAGGGAUUAAUGCAAGAAGACAUUGGAUAUACAGAUGCAGUGUAAGCUAGCUUACAGGUAUACUUGGGAAGGAUUCUCAAAUUAAUCUAUGGUUUGUGGUGAUGUACAAGGUUAUAUAUAUAUAUAUAUAUAGGCAGAGAAGAAGCUCAUGUGAUUGAUUUUUCUUACUCAUUUUUUCUGAGUUUUGAAAGCGUUUAAUUUUUAAGUCUUAAUAGUACAAAGAUAUUUUAUUCUUUUUUUUGUGGGGGGGGUACAUCAUACUGUGCGAACGAGGUCAAUAUUGUACCAGAAGACACAUACAUCAUCCAUACAUUCGGAUGAAUGUUGUAUAAUCUUUUUUUAUUUAUCUUUUUUUUUCCUGCAUACAAAUUUUUUAAAGAGUCUUUCUAUAAACUACACAAUAAAUGCACGCAGAAAUAACAAGAAAUUCAUAAAUUCAAUUCUACUAAUAAAAGUUCUAUUUAUUACAUUAAAAUCUUGUUUUGUGGAGAAAUAAGAAUAUACAAACUAAGUUUAAGGAAAAAAAGGCAUACAAAGUUGCAAACAAUAUCUUAAUGUUGAGGACUAACAUCGAAAUUCUAUUUGUUACAGUUAUAAAGUACUUUUGCGGAAAACAAAUUAAUAAAUUACAAAAUGAUUAUCAACAAAAAGUAGAUUGGGCAGGUAGAUGUCAACUCAAAAGUUAGUGGGAGCAGAUUUCCGGGCUAUAUAGUACAAAUGUAUGUAUCUACUGUCUAAAUAGAUAAUGGAUUUUAAUGUAUCGGUAGAUUGUGAUAAUUUGUACAAAUUUCAGAAAACUUCCAUUUAACAACGGUUGCUGAAAGUGUGUUGUAAAAUAAUUUUAAUAUUUGACAACAAACGAAAGAAUGUUGUCAUAAACUCUUCAAUGGGCUUUCAAUUUCACAACGUCCUACAAAAGCGCGUUGUGAAAAAAAUUCUAAUAAAUGACAAUAGGUGUAAAAUCGUUAUAAAUUUUCAACUCAUCCAAUUCAUGAAUUAAUGAAAUUAAUCCAAAUUUAAUUCAUAACUCUAAGAAUUAGAUGUGGAUUUGACAUAAUUUAUAUCCCAUUGCACUUUUGCGAAUUCGAUAUCAAUUAAAAAAAAAUUCUUUCUAUCCAUUCAUAAAAUAAUUAAAUAAAUAUUUUAAUACAAAAAUAAUUUUAUUACCAAUCAAAUUCAAAUUUAAAAAUAUUAAAUAAAUCAAUAGUUUAAGUACUUGUUUAGGAACGCGAUAUAUCACCCAGCAUCUGUUAAAUCAAUCAACGUACGUUCCUAAAGAAGCAUAAUUUUGAAGCCAUAUACCAUUUCAUCUUUACUCCCUAUUCUUUCUUUAAAAAAACUAUGAAAACGCUGGAGUAAUUGGUUUCAACUUCCGUGUAGGAUAGAUGGGACGUGAUGACACGUAACGACCACUUCUGAAAAACCAUUUGUUUUUUAAGGAUGCCAUUCAAAGUUUCGAACUUUAGCCCACCAAAAGAAAAAAUCUUGAUGUUUUAGAUCAAUGAAUGAAAACUAACUUAAAUUUUAGAAUUAAAUCAAUACAAAAGUUGAAAAUUGAAAGCUUACAUAAUUAAUUGUUGUCAAUGUCCACCCUAACUAAAUUUUAACCUAUUUAUUUAUUAAUAGUAUAACAUUUUUAAAUUAUAUAUAUAUAUAUUCGAAUUUGCUGAUUUUUACGAAUUUGUAGAAGCAAAUCUAUUUCUAAUUCAUUGACGGUGGAUUUUUAAAAUUUUUUAAUCUAAUCCAAUCCAUCAAUCCAUGGAUUAGAUUUUUAUGGAAAUGAUUUUUACAGAUUGAAUGAAUGAAAUGUUAGAAAAUCAAUGGUUGAAGCAGGACUACAGCUAAAAUGAAUUGGAAUAAAAUAAAGAGCAAGCACACAUAGAGGACACAAAAAAUUACAUGGUUCGGUUUUUAGCCUACAUCGAUGGGCGAAGAUAGAAGAAAAAUAUUUUACUAGUGAAAAUAAAUUACAAAUAUUGUGGUAUUUUAACUCACUACCCAAAACCUCAAUACCCCCAAACUCUCAAAUCACUAAUAACACAAGAGUUAUUUAUUUUUCUUCUCAAAAUUUUCUGCAGCACUACCAUUUUUCUUACAUUUCAGUUUCUUGAAUGUCAAAGUCGUGUGCCGCCAAUUGUACUUCUUCAAAGAUGCUGCAGCCCUCUUUGAUUUUUCUUUGUUCAAAAUGAGCUGCUUCGAAAAUUUGGUAGCUAAUUUUCUUGACAUUCUCCCACUUCAAUUGUCAUAUUGCUUACGUCUCUGCUAGGUCACAAGCAAAUCUACUCCAUACAAACUUGUCAACAUUGAUUGGCUUGGUAAAACAUCUGCUAGGUUCUCUUUAGUAUGAAUUUUCUGCAAAUCCACACUUUCGUCUUCCAUUACAUCUCAAACAAAGUGGUAUUGUACCCCUUGUGCUUUGUCCUGGAAUGAAAGGUUGGAUUCCUUGCAAUGUGCAAGACACUCUGACUGUCACAAAAUACAGAAAUUUUCUCUUGUUUGUGUCCGAGCUCCUCCAAUAAUCUUUGUAUCCAAAUAGUUUCCUUGCAAGCUUGUGUAGCUGCCGUGUAUUCUACUUCUAUUGUAGAUAAAACCACAAUGGUCUGUAGUUUUGAAACCCAACUUAUAGCUCUUCCUGCAAGUGUAAACAUAUAGCCAGUAGUGGAUUUCCUUUUAUCAAGGUCUUUUGUAAAAUCUCAAUUCAUUUAGCCCCUGACAAUAAACUCUGAUCCUCCGUAACAUAAUGCAACAUCUGAGGUUCCUCUGAUGUAUCUCAAAAUCCUCUUCAUAAUUUUCCAAUGUUCAACACUAGCAUUCGCCAUGUGUCAACUAACUACUUUUAUUGCUUGUGCAAUGUCCAUUCUAGUACAUAUCAUCGAACAUUAAACUUUCCAUUGCUGAUGCAUAUGGUACUCGAGACAUUUCCUUGCUCUCUGCUUCAUUGCUUGGACAUAUACUUGAGGAUAACUUGAAAGUAAUAGGAAGUGGGGUAUAAAUUGGCUUACAAUCUUGUAUGUUGAAGUGCCACAAGAUUUUCUCAAGUAAUUCUUCUGAAAAAGCCAAAUCUUCCUAUUAUUUCUGUCUCAGUAAAUUUGCAUCCUUAGAAUCUUGCUUGCUGGUCCUUCAUUUCAAACUCCCUAGCCAAUUGUGCUUUUAAUUCUUAGACUUGAUCUUUGUUGGGGCCUGUUACCAACAUGUCAUCUAUGUACAAUAGCAAAAUGAUGAAAUCAUUAUCUUCAAACCUCUUGUAAUAUGCACAAUGGUUUGAACUAAGUCUGUUGUAUCCAAGCUCAUGAUAAAGGAAUUAAAUCUCUUAUACCAACACCUUUGCACCUGUUUGAGACCGUAUAGAGAUUUUUUCAACUUGCAAACCAAAUUCUCUCUGCCCUUUUCAGCAAAACCUUCGGGUUGGAGCAUAUAAAUUUCUUCUUGAAGUUCUCCAUGAAGAAAUGCAAUUUUCAUAUCUAACUGCUUUAGAUGUAGGUCAAAUGUAGCACACAUCGCCAAGAUUAAUCUGACUGUUGUAAGUCGAACCACUGGAGAAAAUAUCUCGUUGAAGUCAAUUCCUUCUUUAUGAGCAUAUUCUUUUACCACCAAUCUUUUACAAUACCGCUCCAUUUGUUCAUUGCCAUCACGCUUGACCUUGUAGACCCAUUUAUUUCCAAUGACUUUUCUUCCAUAUGGUAGUAGUACAAGUUGCCAUGUUUUAUUCUUGUGUAGAGCCUCAAUUUCUUCCUCCAUUACUGUCAUCCACAAAGCAAAAUCUGAGCUGCUUAAAGUUUCAUAGAAAGUUAAUGGCUUUUUAUCCUCUAUCAGAAGACGGCAUGCAACAUUGAUCUUUGUGACAUAAUCUGAGUGCCACAUUGGCGAUCGUCUCUCACGAGUUGACUAACGAACUUCUCCAGCCUCGGACUCAACUGGUUAUUGUUCCUCGUGCUCUGGUGCUGCUUCAGAAGAAUCUGAAUCUUUUUUUCCAGAUUAUUUUCAACAUAUACCAGCACAGUCUUUGACUUUUCUUUUACAGUGCUAUCAUCUUUAUCUCUCUUUGUAGUUGAUCAUCUACAAAGAUAACAUCUCUGCUAAUGACUAUCUUGUGGGCAGUGGGGUCCUACAGACGAUACCCCUUUCUCCAUUAGCAUACCCCAAGAAGAUACACCCAUAAAUUUUAUAUUCAGCUUUAUUUUUUCUUGGGCAUUGUACAUCACGUACACAUGACAUUCAAAUGUAUAUAGGUGGGAGUAAUCAGUUGGCUUUUCUGUCCACAUCUCCAUCAAUGUCUUUAACCUAAUUGAUGUGGAUGUCAAUCGAUUUACUAUAUAACAAACAAUUUUGGCUGCUUUUGCCCAAAAUAAGUUGGGUAGACCAGCAGUCCUCAACAUAGCUCUUAUUAUUUCUAUAAAAGUUUUGUUCAUCCACUCUACCACUCUAUUAUGUUGGGAAGUGUAUGACACUGUGAACUGCUUCUGAAAAUCUUUUUGCUUACUUUAUGCAAUAAACUUGUCAUUUGUAUACUCUCCACCGUUAUUUGUCCUCAAGCACUUUAUCCUCUUUUUGAAUUCAAGUUCUAUCAGCAUUUUGUACUAUUUGAAUACUAGAAACACAUAUGAUGUUUUCUUGAUUAGACACACCCAACAUCUAUUGAAAUAAUCAUCAAUAAAAGGCACCAAGUACUUUGCACCUCCCAUGGACAUGUCUGGUGAUUCCUAAAUAUCAGAAUGAACCAAGUCUCAAAUGCAUUUACUUCUAGCAAUAGAUCUGCUUAACUUCAAUCUAUGCUGUUUACUUUUAACACAAUGCUCGCAAAACGAUAAGUUUACCGAUUUGAGACCUGGAAGCAAUUUUUACUCAGAGAAAAUAUUCAAACCUUGUUCUGACAUUUGGCUAGGCUGGAAAUGUCACAUCAUCAUCACUCUUCUCCAUUUGAUGCGACACACACAUUAACUUUCUGUAGUGUUUUCCCUUUAAGCAUGAAUAAAUUAGCACUAAUCAUUUCCGUCUUCAUUAAUACAAGUGCACCUUUGACUAUCUUCAUGAUCACAUUUUCCACAUGAGUUUUGUACGCAUGACUAUCUAUUUGUCCUAAGGAUAAUAGAUUUUUAUUCAGGCCAUUGACAUGUCGUACCUCCUCAAUUGCGCGAACCGUACCAUUAAACAUUUUUAUUUUAACAGUGGAACAGCUCUCUCCGAGAGGUCAUGUGUUAGGUAGCUCUCGAUUCUAUAAGCCAGACAUUAUAUAGUUGUUUUCUGCCUUUUAAAAUAGUUGUUGCCUUGCUGUAGAGAAUUUCGCUAUCAUUUAAGGUACUUACUACACACCCCUGAGCAUUUGAUGAUACAGGAACUAUACCCUCUCUUCUCUUCUAGUUGUUCCAAUAAUCUUUUUUGACACACCAUUUCUUACCACAAUUGUAGCAUUUGACAUUAUUCUUACUUCUUGAUUUUGAUCUACCAUGAUUGUGACUCCUAUUGGGACCACGUUCCGUUGGUCUCCCUCUUAUCACCGAUAGUACUUCCACUUGUUGCGAACUUGCUUGCCUAUCUUCCUUAUUUUUCCGCAUGCUCUCAUUUAAUAUGGAGGCUGCAACAUCAUCGAAAGCUACACUGUUUGCUUGGUUGUUUGUCAGAUUAAUGAUGAGUUGAUAUGUGAAAAUAGAGUCUUCAAGGUGUUGAUAUGGUCGAUCACCGAUGUAAAUUUCGCUAUUCGAAGAGGAUAAAGUCUCUACUUUAAGAAGAUCAUAUUGUGCAGUGACUUGACCUCGUACAAUUUUGUAAGAGUAUCCCAUAUUUCCUUAGCUAUCUUUUUCUCUGCCAUACUAGAUAACAUCCCAUCUGCAAGUGCCAGGUGUAGAUCAGCAAUUACAUUACCGUCCAUCUCAUUCUACUUGUCAUCAGUUAUAUUUGUGGGUCUUUCUCUAAUUGUUGCUAAGCAAUUAGUUUUCCUCAAUACAACCUUCAUCUUCAUUUUCCACAACGAGAAAUUAUUUUCGCUGAACUUCUCAAUUUCAUAUUUUACUGUCAUCACUUUUUACAAUGAACUACUUUAGUUAGAAUUGGCUCCCACCAUUUCACGAGAACAAUAACUAUAUAUAUGAACAAUGUCGUAUAUAUGAACAAUACUCUAUAUGUGAACAAUACCCCGACUCUAAAAAUACAACCAGUAGCUCUGAUAUCAGUGUUAGAAAAUCUAUGGUUGAAGCAGGGGCACAACUAAAAUGAAAUUGGAGGAAAAUGAAGAAUAAACACGCACAGAUGACACAAAAAAUAACGUGGUUCAGCUUUUAGCCCACGUCCACGGACGAAAAUAGAAGGAAAAUAUUUUACUAGUGAAAAGCAGUUACAAGUAUUGUAAUAUUUUAACUCACUACCCAAAUACCAAUAAACUCAAACUCUCAAAUCACUACGAACACAAGAGUUAUUAAAACACAUGAGUUAUUAAAACUCUAUACUCUCAAUUCUUAGCUCUCUAUAAGGAAGAAGAAAAUGAGAUAAAGAAAUUGGAUGCCAAAACCAAAUGGGGAGCUCUCUUUUUAUAGCCAAAAUUGGCUAUUAUUUUAUUUAUUUUUCUUGUCAAAAUUUGCUACAACACCACUAUUUUUCUUACAUUUUGGCUUCUUCAAUGUCAAAACCGUGUGCUGCCAAUUUUACUUCUUCAAAGAUGCUGCAGCUCUCUUUGAUUUUUCUUUGUCCAAAAUGGGCUGCUUCUAGAAUUUAGCAGCUACUUUUCUUGACAUUAAAUAAAUAGAACACUCUAGCACGUUGUUAUAAUCAUGUUGCAGAUAGAACACUCUAACACAUUGUUAUAAUCAUGUUGCCUUGACCUUAUUUUCUUGAAGCAUGUUGACAAAUACAAUAAUGUGCAUUUGGAGGACUAUUAUGAAUAUAAAAACAAUAGAAAGUAUAAAUGACUAAUAAUAUACAUGACUUUAAGUGACAUGAGAUUUUUAAAACUAAACAAAGCUAACACAAGUAUAUGAUCCUUUCAUUAUAAUAUGUCGUAAAAUAAAAACUACAUAAUAUGUAUUUCUUUUAUUUUUUUAGUUUAAUUCGUUCAAUUUCUUGCAGUAACUAAAAACACUUUAGAAUUAUGUUAAGAUCAACCCAUACAAAGAAAAUAUCCUAAGUACUCCGAAGUAAUAAGCAACAUACAUAUGUGUGUGUGUUGUACAAUUUAAUAUUAUUUCAACUAGCGAAAUUUAUUGUGGAAGUCAUAAAAAUUAAGAAUGAAGAAAAGGAACCAUGAACCCAAACCAGAACGCAAAAAGUAGUCAUAUUUUUUCAUGAGGGAAUUCUAACCUGCCAAUCCAUGUGUUUAGAAUAAUCAACGAUGUUGAUAUUUCUUUAUAAUGGUCCUACAGUGAACAGAAACAUGCAGAAUACGAGUCAGGGUGUAUUGAAAAGAAUACGUAAAAACUCUUUUAAUCCCUAUAUUUUGAGGUUAGUAACCUAUAUUUUUAAGAAUACCUCAAAACUCCCUGCAGUUAAACUAUUGACACAUCUGCCUUUUUAUUUUUUAUUCCUUUUAACUUACUUCUAUAAUAUUACCUUUUUACGAUAAUUUUUUUGGACAUUAAUAAAAAGAAAAAAAUUAUCAAUUUAAACCUAAAAAUGAUACACACACACACACACAUAUAUACACUAAUUUUUCUAAAAGCUCACAUAUUGUAAAAAAGUAAUAUUGUAAAAAAAAUUAAAUUACGAACUUUUUUGGACAUUAAUAAAAACAUAAAUAUAUUAACUCAUCAGUAGAAUGCUCUAAAUUUAUUUUUUUGGAUUAAAUUAAUAAUUUAAUUUCUUUAUUAAUGUCCAAAAAAUAAACAUUAUUGUGAGAGAAUAAUAUGUAAAAGCAAGCUAAAAAGAACAAAAAGUAACGGCAGGGGUGUCAAUAAUUUAACAAUAGAGAUGUUUUGAGGUAUUUCUAAAUAUAUAGUGACUAAAAAAAUACUAACAUAAAAAUAUAGGAAUUAAACGAGCUUUCAUCCAAAGAGAAUCCAUGUAUAGCCGAUUUUACUAGAAUUUACAAGUAAAAUGCAAAUACCAUUAGUCUUCUAAAACACAUGCAACUUUUCAUCAACAACCUGAAAAAUACCAUUAGAAGAGAUACUUGUACCAUUUCCAUGGGAUCAUCAAUCUCGAAACAAAAGAGUUUUUGUGAGGCAACAUAUCAGCAUGUAAAAUGCCACUUCAUUAACUAGUAGUUGAAAAUGACAAGAAGAGCAUAAGAGAAAUUUUAGAAUACCUCUAAAGUACCAUUUCAUCUAUGCAAUAAGUAAAUAAUUAAGUGCAUUUAUUUUGAAGAACCGACAAGUAAUUAAUGGUUAUACAAAAUUUAAAUACACAUGUCAUAUAUGUAUUAAUUGAUUAUAUUAUCUUUUGGGUGCUACUAAGUUAUAAUUACUGUAACUUACAGCCCUUCAAAAUAAUGUAAACAGUUGUCAUAGGUGGUAGGACCCGUAUGAUUAUAAAAGGAAUUGUAAAUUACAGCAGCAGUAACUUAGCAAAAUCUUUAUCUCUUAUGCAUUUUAGAAUUUCUCAUGAAAGAGACACAACAUAUUUCACUUUUUUUCUUCUUGAUUUUACUGCAUUACACUAAAGUGUAGCACAUGAGCCACAUGCAUAUGAAAAUUUAGACUAGUUGGUGUAGGGCAUGUUGAGGAGUCAGAGCCUUUCCUUUCUGACACAAUGAUAACAUAGUAUAUCAGUGUGCAGUACAUAAGCACAUGCGCAUACAAACUUAGACUAGUGGUGCGAGGCUUGUUCGAGGAGCCUCUCUUUUUUUCUUUUUUUGACACAAAAUGAAAAAAAUUAUUAACCAUCAAAUUACAAUUUGAUAAGUCUGAUGAAAGAUUAAAAAAAAAAAAUAGAAAUACAUGUGUCUAACAAUGUACAUUUUAGUGUCUUUAUCAUCGCAAGUCUUGUAGGCAAGAACGACUCAACCAAUUUUAAAGUCCUAGGUGAAUUGUACUAAAAUUUUUAUUUAUUUAAGAUCAAUGUUUUCUAGCUUUCUGAAAUGUAAAAUUAUUAAUCAAAUUUUUAUGUUCUAAUUUCAUGAAUAUAUUUUUCUCAAUAAUCAAUAUAGCUAAUCCAUUUGUUCUCUCUUGCGAGAUUGUUAAUUCUAAAUAUGUUUUUAUAAAUUUUAAUUUUAAAAACUUCUUUCUACAGAAACAAUUGUUAGUAGUACUAUUAAUAAUAUUCUAUAUGCAAUCUAUGCAUUUGAGAAAGAAUCAAUUUGUUUUCAAAUAAUUAAUUAGUAUUUUUUCACCUUGAAAUACUUCAUUUAAAAUCUCAACUCUUAAAACAAAUAUUCACCAUCUAUAUCAGAAAGUGUAUCAUGUUUUAAAGUAUUUUCGAGAUUAACACAAUAAAUAUUUAAAAUGUAGUCAUUUAACAAUUGUAAUUUUUUGAAAUUAAACAAAAAUCCAACCAUAUUAUCAUAUAUUUGAAAUUAUUCACAUAUAGUCUUAUUGUAGAAAUAACUUGAUCUACUAUAUAUAUAUAUAAUAAUUAAUUCUAAAGGACUCUUCAACAGACAAAAUUUCCUCUUCACUAACAUUUUCAUUAAAUUUGUUUCUUUUUCUACAAAUUAUACUUUUUUCAUGAAAUUUAGGUUCUAUUUCCAUUUCACUUGCAAGUUCUCUUGCUGAAAUCAGAGCAGACAUGAAUCCAUCUUUUCUAUUUCUUUCAAAGAAAGAAAUAAGACCUUUAAGCUUAUCUAUGGCAAUAUCAGUAUGUACGUAUUCUUUUUGCAAGAUCAUACUUUGUAAUACCCCACCCCGCUGCUUUGACUAAUUUUGACUUGCUUUUUUAUUAUAUAAAAAUGUUGGGAAAAUAUGCUCUUUAAAAGCAUAUGUGUUUAUUUAAUUGUAAUAAACAAAUUUUCUGAUUAAUAAAAUAAAUGAGGUAUUUUAUUCAAAUAUCUUAAUUGCAUUAAUAUUUGUAUUAAAGUCCAUUUAAUCAUAUUAUAUGUAUUUAUGUGAUCACCAUGUGGAUUCACAGAAUGAAUUUAUUACAGUCUAUACCUAAAUAAAGUGCCCAACUUUAUUUAGUUCACAGAAGAUAUAAAUACAAGUUAUCUUAUGAUUAAAUAAAUUUAGUUCGCAGUUGAUAAAAUAAAGUUGGGCACUUUAUUUAGGUAUAGACUGUAAUAAAUUCAUUGAAUGAUUUGUCUUAAUCAUAUAUGAAUUUAUUACAGUCUAUACCUAAAUAAAGUUAUCUUAUGAUUAAAUAAAUUUAGUUCGCAGUUGAUAAAUAAAGUUUGGCACUUUAUUUAGGUAUAGACUGUAAUAAAUUCAUUGAAUGAUUUGUCUUAAUCAUAUAUGAAUUUAUUGAUGUAGUACGACUACAUUGAACAUCAUACUACAUUGAACAGGAUCACAUAUGAGAUUUAAUUAACUUUGUAAUAACUGUCAGACUUAUUAAAUCUCAUAGGUGUUGAUUUUACUGUAAUCUUAAUCUUGAGUUAAUUAUGAUUUCAUGAUUGUAAUUGUUAUUCCAUUUGAGUUACUAAUGGGCACGGCACAUCCUUGUGGUCAAGAUUACCCGGUAUUUUGGUGGGAGCAAUUAUGAGUAUUGGAGUUAUGGAUUAACAAUAUAGAAUUUGUACAACACAUCUCUUGAUGGGUUUUCGGCACUUGAUCAUAGAAUUCUCUGGCCAGAGUGUGUCAACAUAUUUAGUAUGUUGAAAAUGAUCAUUAGAGAAAACCAGUAAGAAUCAAGGAAUAAGAUAUUAUUAAAUUGAUUGAACAGUUGAGAUAUCAAUUUAAUUAACGAUGUGGUACAAAGGAUUGUGCAGUAAAGAAAUCAAUGUGGCUUGGACCGAAUUAUUAUUCGAGCAUACAAUUAUGGAAGUCAGUACCAAUCUUUUAGUGGAGUAGAUUUGGAAUUAAAUAAUUGGGCUAGUUUAAUUACAGGCUUAAUUAUUGUAGCCACUAUUGUAUGUUCCCAAAUGAUCCCCGGGUUAGUUCAUUUAAUUGAUUGCACCACUACUAGACUAAUAAGUAAGAUAACUAGCUAUUUGGGUCAAAAGUCUAAAUAUAUCAUUUAGUGGGAGGCUCUAUUCAAUUAGUUUUUGUGUAAGGGGCCUUAUGUUAUUUUACAAGGUGGGUCCCCUAUUAAAAAAGCAAAUAACGUGGGUUUUGUUUUUCGAUUAUUUGGAGCCUAAGGUUUUUACUAAAGGGAGAUAUAAAAGGCUUAUUUUUCUCUAAAGAAAAGGGUGAAGCUACUUUAUAUGGAUCAGAGAAAAUGAUUUUUCUCUCUAUUGUUGAGAGAAAAAUUUUCUCGUGCUAGUUGCUUUGGUAGUGAUAAAGGCGCCCACACGUCAAGUGCAGAUCGAACCUGAGUCAUAACCUGGAAGAUCAUUGGUGCCAGUUCGUGUUCUAACAAGCGUGGUGGUGACGGAUCGUGAUCUAACAGGAGUGGUGGUGACGGAUCGUGAUCUAACAGGAGUGGUGGUGACGGAUCGUGAUCUGGGAGCCUAAAUCAUUUCAGCAGAAAAAGCUAAAUCAGAUUUUCAAGGUACGAUUUCUAGAUUACAAAUUCUUAUAUAUUAUAUGAGAGCGAUCUUAAAAAGGUUUUAUAAAAAUUAAAAAACUUGAUUUUUCCCCAACAAAAAAAAGGAAGCUGGAAAUUGUUUAAAGAAGAGGAAGCAUAUUCACACGUGAGAAAGAGAGAAAGCUGCCAAAACCGACUCGGAAAACCUAACCCAUGAACCAACCUGGCCACCAUUUCUCGUUCCCGACCACCCCACCAGCAACGGGAGGUACCGAUUAGAAGCUUUAGAACCAAUGGUCACUUCCCCGCCAUUGUUACCGUUGAAUAACGACCAGAACGCCGUCAUUUGGGCUCGCAAAACUUGCAGUAUUUGCCACCUCCAUUCACCGUGAUUUCGCUGGUUUUGGGUGACGCCACCGACUGGGUUCGUUCCUCAGGUCACUACCUUCAUUUUUUGACCACCCACAUCACCAAAAAUAGUUGAUUUACUGCCAAUCGACCGCCAAAGUGUUCACGGCUUUGGGAGCUCAAUCCGGUGCCUCCGUCGCCACCGUUGGAUUCAACGCGACAUGAAGCUUCUAUCCCGACCUUUCCCAUCACCACCGUAUGAAUUUAGAUCACCGUUGGUCGAGGAGAGCAUUUUAGUAAUUUUUUAGAAUUAGAGGGUAAUUUCUUAAAUUUUUGAUUUCAUGAAUAUUUCAGUGAUUUCUGAUUUGAGAAUAAGAAUCUAAGGGUAGUUCGAUAAAUUAUGAUUUUGAGGAUAAUUUGGCAACUUGUGAUUCUGAGAUUUCAGGGGCAUUCUAGUAAUUUAAAUUUUGGUAUUUUUGUAAUUAAUUAUUCAAAUUGAGAUUAAUUGAGGUUAAGUUUAGAGGGUGUUAUAUUGAGGAAUUUGAGAACAAUAGAGUUUAUGAUUUCAUAUGAUUUUAUCUUAUAGGAGUAUUUUUUAUUGAUUUUAGGUCGGUGAUAUCGAUACAUAUUUGUUACUUGAGGAUGCUAGAAGGUAAGUAAACUAGAUUUCUAAAUGAGUCAUAAUAAAUAAUAUGUACAUGUUUGACAUGUUUGAAAAGCUUAUUUUGAUAUAUACGGAUAUGGAUUUAUAUGCUCUGCCCAUGUGUUUAUAUGAUGUGUUAAUAGGAUGUAUUGUUAUGUGUUAUGUGUGUUUAUGGACAUGGACAUAUGUCUGUGUGUAUGUUUCAAUGGCAUUAGCACAAAAAUGUAUUAUGUUUUUUGUGAAAUGAGAAAGCGGAUUUUAGCCAAACGGAAUUGAAAGAAAGAAAAUCUUACACUAUGUAGUAGCAAUCCUUAUGAAUUUCCUCGAGGUGAUGAAUGUUUUCGUUAUUCAAAGCUAGGCCAUACAUUAAACCAAUGUCCAGAACGAAGACAACAAAUAGUCAAUUUGGAAACUAAUGUAGAGGAAAAUGGAAAGCCUAAGGAUGAACUAUAUAAAGACAAUGACGACAUAGAAAAGGAGGAAGAGUGGACAUAUUGAGACAUAUGAGUAUCACUAGUAACACAACAUUCGUUAUACACACAAAAGAAAGACGAAGACACUCAGAGACAUAAUAUCUUCAAAACAAGGUGCACAAUCAAUGAGAGGGUAUGUGAUGAUUAUUGACAGUGAUAGUAGCAAGAAUAUAGUUUCGAAGAUUAUAAUUGACAAGUUACAGCUUAAAACUCACAAACAUCCUUCCCCUUAUUGCAUUAGAUGGAUAAAAGAUGUUGGAGAGAUCAAGGUUACUCAACAAUGUUGUAUUCAUUUUUUCCAUCAGAAGACAUAAAGAUGAAGUUACUUGCGAUCUUGUUGACAUAAAUGCUUGCCAUUUGCUUUUCAGGAGACCUUGGCAAUUUGAUCUUAAUAUGGUACAUUAUGGGAAAGAUAACACAUACAGGUUCUAUAAAGACAACCUAGAAGUUAUCCUUGCUCCGAUAAAGUCAAAUGUCAAGGGAACUUAUCUUUUACUACAAAAGAGAUAGCUGAAGAAGAAUCGAUGCCUGAAUAAGUCCAAUCGCUACUCUCAUAAUUUCAGGAUAUCGUGCCUAAAGAGCUUCUUAACAAGUUACCUCCUAUGAGGAUUACCUAUGACUCAAAUUAAAAGAGAACUUCUAAUGGUUUGCCCUUACAAGUCUACUAUUUUUAGAAGAACCAUACUAAAAAACAAGAAGAAAUUGAAGUUUUAGUACUUUUGAGUUUUAAGAAAAGUUGAUGCAAAGUGCUACACUUUUGCAGUGCAAGAUCAAUUACUCCUUCAUUAAAAGAUUUAUCCUCUAGAUUGUCCUUUAUUUUCAGCAAAACUUGAGGACGAGUUUUUUUUUUCGAAGAGGAGCAGACUGAUGUUGUAACACUCCACUAAAAUAUCUAUUUUAAAAAUGUUUAAAACAUAGUUAAAUAUGAUUUCUAAAAGCUUAACACAACAAACAAAAUUUUCUUCAUAAAGUAAAAGUCAUACAGAGAUUUAAUAGUUUAUUUCAAAACUUGAUUAUUACAUAAAGCUAAUAUGUUUAAUUUUUAUUUAAACAAAGCUGAGCCCAUCUUAAAAUCCCAAGGUCUGUUAUGCCCAUAUGCACUUCGUCUUGCUUAGGACUUGGCGCCAGCUUGCCUUACUCAUCAUUAUCUGCAAUGUAAGGACUUUAUGAGCUAAUGCCCAAUAAGAUAAUACUUUUAUGAAUGUAUAAAUUAUGAUGCAUAUGGAUGACCAUCUUAAGCUUUUAAAAUAAACUUAAAAAAUACAAAACAACUUCAUUAGGGCCCUAGGUAUGUUGCACUACAAGGUUGGCACUUUUACUCUUUUAAACAAUAUGCCUUUGGGCCUCAUUAGUUGAUCUUUUAGGCGUUAUGUAUCGCCGUCCCCAAAAGAUUUUUUAUUAGUUAGCUUUAAGGGCUUGCCCUCCUUAGAAACUUUGCCACCUGGUGGUACAACCACUUAUUUUUCAUAAAUUCAUUUUCUGAAACGCCUUCUUCAUAAUGUAAUCCAUGAUAUGCAUGCAUUCAAUGCAAAUUAUGUCAUAAUAUUUGAAGUUCCUAAAUGCAUAAAAGAAUCAAUACAGAACACUAUUUAAGAACAAGAUUCUUUAAUACAGGUGGCACAACCGACCAUAACAUAAAUAAUUAUAAGUAUCACAGAUUAGGCGACAGAGCCGACCAUAACAUAACUAAGCAUCGUAAAUAGGCGGCAGAGUCGACCAUAACAUAACUUAUCAUCGUAGAUUAGGUGGUAAAGCUGACCAUAACAUAACUAAGCAUCAUAGAUUAGGCGGCAUAGCUGUUGGUUAAUUUAACUCGAUUGUUAUUGAUGUUAAUGUGCAAGUGUACACAACAAUUGUCAAUUUAUACAAAGUUGCUUGUAUUAUUUCUAUCUGUAGGUUGGGUUAAAGUUGAUAUGGAUGGUGUACAAAAUGAUAAAUUUCACUAUUAUUCAUUCAUAAUAAAGUUGAUUGACUAAUAACAUUAACAACGCAAUAAAGUAACGGCAAUAAUAAAGUAAACUGAACAGCUUGCACAAAUAAAAUUCAAUAAGGAUAAAGUAGUUGAAUGAUCAAACUCUCUUCAUGGGCUGACUGUUUUGUUUAGACUAACACCAGUUGGUGCAACAACUCCUAUAGCACUGGGCAGACUUAUGCAACCUAACAAUGACCAGUCGUUAUAUUACGAACAUAUACUCUCUUUACCCUACAAAGUGAAUCAUUAUAUCUAUGUCAUCACAAAUCUUAAUUCAAGUGUGGCCCUCUUGAGACUCAAGUUAAACUCAAUCUAGAAAACUUAAAUUAAGAUCAAAUAUUACUCUAAUAAUUUCCAUUGAGACAGACCCUUUUGUGGCUCUCUCUUAACUUGAACCAUUAAAUGAGAGGUCAAUCGAAACAAUGAUUGUAAUACAAGCUAUUAAAGCAAAAUGCUACAGCAAUGUUGCAGCAACUCAUAAGAACAGUCAAGAACCCAUUUAGAUCGUUUGUCACUCAUAACUUGUAAAAGAAAAACAAACAGCAAAGUAUCAGCCAUGAAAUACAUCGUUUUAAUCAAGGAGUAAGUAAGGGGGCAGUAAAGAAUGAUGAAAAUUGAAUCCAAAUAGUUCUAUAGAUUUCUUCAAUGGUGCAGACUUGUCUCUCUUGAAUUCUGCUCUUUCCUUAUUUUCUCUUGAUUUCUUCGAUGUUAAUUCACCGCCCCCUUUCUAUAUGAUGCGUGCUCCUUUUAUAAUUGAAAAUUAGAGUAAACGGAAGCCUAGGGCACGCAUGAGUCAGAUUAGAAAACUGCAGAUCACGAUUCUCCAAGUAUCCUACGUGGAAUUUUCUCUAUCAUUGUUCCAAGAUUGCUACAGCAAUAGCUACUACAGCAACGGCUACAACAACUGCACUGUUCCAGAUUUGUUUCAAGUCUUUUGUGGCUAAGUUCUUUUCCAUCUUUUACAAGCCGAUUGCAUCAGCAUUCCUUCCUUAAAACUUGAGCUUCCGAACACCUACAAUUACGCACACAAUCUAGGCACAAAUUAUUUUAAAUCAAACAAAAUUUAUUACGACUAAACUAAAAUGAAUGUUUAUGCGAAAUAUAACAAAAAUGCAAUAGAACACAACAUUUACUCUCUAAAUAAUAUCGAUUUAAGUCUAAAAGUGCAUUGAUAACUCUCAUUUCCUAGAGUUAUCAAUAGCCGACCAUAUAAGAAUUUAGAUUAUAACUAAUAACAUCAUAAUAGCCAUCACAACAUAAGGAAAUCGUUAAAACUGAAGUUAAGUAUGAAAAGAAUUUUGUCCUUACAUUGCAGUUGAAGUGUUACUUACAUCUUGGCCUUGACUUCUCUAGACAUUUCUAAAUUAAGGAUUUCUAUACACUUGAUAUUAUGACUUAGAAUAGAAUUCAAUUUUGGCGGGAAAUUAUUUAUGAUAGAAUAUAUGAUGGCUUUUCCAUCAUAAAGUUUUGAUUUUUUUCUAAAAUUAUAUUAUAAUUUAUUAAUGAAUUCCUGUUUACAAAUUUAAUUAAUUAAUAAAACAAAUAUAAUAAAAAACUUAAUAUCAAUUAACAUUCAUUCAAUCCAAAAAUUAAUUUAAAAAGAAAUACAUCUAAUAUCUAAUGUGAUCUCCACCAAUACAUAAUAAAACAUCCCAAAUUGAAAAAGUCAUCCCAAAAUAUAAAAUUGCAGUCAAAUUCCAAUCAAACUCUAAGAAAAGCAAUAAGAAUUCCGGCCACCAAGCCAAGUUACCCAACAAAACUUCCAAAGAUUAAUGCAAGUACUCCAACAAUAAGAUUUCUAGCAAGACUUCCUGUAAAAAUUCCAGCAACAAUAUCAUCUUUCGACAGCACUCUAAACGAAAAUUGAAACUUACAAAGCGACCUACAAGCUUCCUGUGAACAAAAUUGAUUCAAACACCAAGCAGAAUAAGGAAAAUUAAGAGGCUGCAAUACAUGUGGGCAUCAAAUAUAGUAAUCCAUUUGAUUUAAACUGACUUAACUUUUAUGGAAUGAGCAAAAUGUACAUACUCAAUGGAUUAAAAUUACUUUUAGUGAAUGGGAAUUCAUCAAAAUCAGCAAGCUAGCUAAAAAUGCAAAGGAAGCCACAACAAUAGACCAGUGUAAGGAGACAAAAAUAAAUCAUAAAGUCAUAAAAAGCAAUGGCAUCCAGAUCCAGCUGAACUGAUCAACCAAUGAAAAGGAAACCAAACAACCAACUUUGACAAGCUUAUCUCAACCAACAGCACUAAUUCUAGGCCUGUAACUUGCCUACGUAUUUAAAAUAGCAAAUAGUCCAAGUUUAACAUCAAUUUUGACAAGAAACACAACAAACAGAAAAUGUAACAAAAACCAAAUCAGAGGCUAAGCAACAUACUGCAGCCAUUAUGCCACACAAGAACAUAAAUAUUGCAAUUUGUAGUAGCCCUCCAAGAACAGCGACAUGUCCCACUGCUUUUAACUGCAUUGAUGAUGAAUUAUGGAAUUGGAACAAAUUUUAUGAACAAAGAAGGAAAAUGUUGUCAAUAAUUAUCAUACACUUUCCAAGCACAGAAUGAUUUACCUUUUGUCAAAGAAAACUCUAGCCCCAAAGCAAAAAGAAGGAAGACAACACCAAAUUGUGCAAAAGUUUCAACCUGUGAUGAAUGAAACAAAAAGGAACUUGUUACCUAGAAUAAUGAUCGCAAAAUAAACAGAAGAACAAAUACACCACAAGAAUCUCUACCAGAUAAUAACUAAUAGUAGUUUACUGAAUAUCUACCAAUUCACUUAGGCUUAAUGAGCUAAAUGAAAAACUUUUCAUCAGAAAGUUAAUAUCAUAAUGAGGGAUUGAUAGUUAAAAAACUGGAAAAGUUAAAGAGGAACAUAUUGUUUUUUUAGGCCAGGUUUUCUUCAAAAUCUCUUGAUGUGAAAGUUCUCAGCUUUCACAACAAAAAACUAAAUUUUGCAGUGAAGUAUUGUUGGACCGAUUACCAUAGGUUUUAUCAAAUCAUAACUAAAGCAGUACCAUAACCAUUCUCGAAUUAAUUUACUCACUCAGCAUUAUAUCACCUUUAUGCAUCCUUUUAUAUUCAUCCAGUAUACUUCCAAGAAAAUCCUGUCAAAAUAGCGUAUGAACUAAGUGUCCCGAUACACAUUACCAACUAGCCAUUAUUUAUUUGUUUAUUUUCUUUAGCAGUAACUAGAAUAACUAUAGCUAGAAGAAGAAAUAAUCAGAGUGCCAAUGCAUAAACUACAGAAUAUACAUUCUACACCAAGAAAUUGAUUAACUGAACUAUUUACAAUCCUGAAAUAACCCAAGGUCAAGAAACGGCUAAAUAUGCUUCAAGACCUGAAUCUUACUAGCCCAUGUCCAUAAAUUGUAAGCGAAAAUCAUUAAUAUAUUUUUAAACAGUACUUGUAAAAUAAGUGUUCCAAUUGUAACUUGACCAUGAAGAGCAUUAUUGCUGUUCUGUUCUACCAAAAAUUUCACCACCUAGCACAGGUAACAGGAAAAGCAUGAACCAGAUAGAAAUUCACAAGUGGAAGCCAAGAUGAAAAGAGGAAUUCGAUUGUCAAAAAAAUGGUGUAGAAGAAUACCACUGCAGUUGAUGACAUAUAUUACUGGUUUUUUUUUUUUUUACAAAAAGGCUUUAUAAUAUAUAUAUAAAAAAUUGAAAUAAAAAAACUAGAAAAUAAAAAACAAAGCAAAAUAAAACAACCAAAAACCUAAAUCCCCAAAUAACCAAAUUGCCUCCCUCAGCCGCCCUCUCUCUCACGCGAAGCAACAGCCAAAAACCUAAAUCCCCAAAAUCACUCACCCUACCAUCCGUGAAGCAACAACAAACAACAGCCGACAGGCACACCUUCACUGCCUCACACACCUAAACAACAAUUACAGCCAUCACCCAUCAACAACCCAGCAGCACGCGAUGCAGUAGCGACCCAACAGAAUCAGCAGCGUGACGUAGCAGCAGCCACUCCCACGCGACAUAGAAGCAGCCACUCGAACCCCGCGCGACACAGCAGCAAUAAACCCAGCAUUUUAAUACUACUAGCAAAAUGGUGUCGACAGCAAUGGGCUACAAUUUUUAAACAACAUUGCCGGCAUAGUUACAAUAUAAUUGAAUGGCGGCGAAAGGAUGGUGUUUUGCUCGGUCGAUUGAGUGCAAGGUUGAUUUCUAGGGUUUGGCCAUGAGAGAGUGAUGAGUGUUUGGGUGUGAGUGUUAGUGAUUUUGGGGCUUGGUGGGUCAAGACAAUAGUGUUUUUCUUUUCUCUUUUUUUCAUUUUUGAAUUAUUAAAAUGCACCUUUUUUAAAAAAUAAAAUAAAAUAUUAAACUUUAGGUCAAACAUAGUCAAAGUAAAUUUUUUAUCAUAAUUUCUUGAUAGAGAAAAUUUUUAUCACGAUUCUAUCAUAAAUUUGUGAUAAACAAUAAUUAUAUCACAAAACCAUCAUAAAUUUGUGAUAGAAAAUAAUAUUGUCACAAAAUCAUCAUUAAUUUAUGAUAGAUUGAAAAUUCUAUCACGAGUCUGUCAUAUUAUUAUGAUAUAAGUUGAAUCUGUCAUAAACUGUCUGUCAUCUAUUAUAUGUUUUCUUGUAGUGAUUCUCUACCGCCAGAACCUCCUCUAAUUUCUGGCGACAUCCCCACUAAUCAGCAGCCCUCACAACAACUAUUAACACUUCAAACCAUAAACCUUAGACUGCAACAAACCUUUCAAAAUAUGCUCCACGCUUUCGCCACAUUGCCUGCCUCAAUUGGUGGCGAUUACUUGCUGACGGAACCACCAUUGAACCUUAUGUACUCUAAACAACUGUCAGCAGCCUCUCACCCUCCAGCUGCCACCAAACCCCUCAGGCACCAGUACACACGAGCACAACCAAAACUCAGGCACCACUUAUUGCCCACCAUCUGUGACUCCUUUUACCGAGACAAAUCCCCCUAGUUGCCAUAUAUCUCACCAACACCUCGCUAUCUCCCCAUUGAACUUUUCAAGAUCAAAUAUGGUGGUAGCCGUUGUAGAUCCAAGAUCAGCUAAAUACCUAUCUCUGAUACCAGUUUGUUAAGUUCUGAACAAAAGAAAGUCUUUCCAAGAUUGAAUCAAACCAAGAAAAUAGAAACUUAUAUAAACCAGAACAACGAGCAAACAAGAGAUUAAAAGAAAAGGAAAGAAAAAUAACAAGAUCAUAUAACGUGGUUCAGCAACAAGAUGCCUACAUCCACAGUUGAAAUCAGGUCUGCUUUGAAACUUUAUUAGAAAGAUAUGAGUUAUAGAAGAUUAUUGAGAUUACAGAGAUUAAAUCUUCUCUAUUGAGAUUUUUUCUCCCUCUCUCACAAAGACUAUCAUAUCAUCACUCUCUUGACCACAGUCUGCACGCUGCAAUUCCUCUUAUAUAUCUCUUAAAGAGUAAAAGCAUGAGUUGUCAUACAUAAUAACGACUUUAACAGCAGAUGGUCCCACUAAUGCCAGCUCAGCACGCCACCUUAUUCACUCUUAAAAUAAUAUAACUACGCCAGGCCUCACAGAUUUUUAAUUAAAAAAAGCAUAAAAAUGACAGUUGAAAAAUCGAUCUAAAAUGGUAAGACAUGGGAAGUUUUCCGGAUAUUAAAAUAUGAAGAAUUUUCUCAUGAAGGGCCUUGCACUUCGAUCUUUUGCUGCCUCUUAACAUGUUGUGAACAGAGAGUGCUUCUGAGUGUCGCUCCCAUUUUACCAAGAUGAAAAAUUAGGGAGGAGCAGAGUUCCCGCAAAACAGCAUAGCUGUGAUAAGUCUUUCGCGUUGCAAUCCCGUAGUAAAAGUUCAUUUGUCUAUGACCACUUUCAUACCUCCUCCGGCUGGUGGCCUUUACUCAGGGGUGGCUUUAGGUAUAGGCGAACAAAGCGGUCGCCUAAGGUCCCAUAUUUUGUGAAGGCCAUAUUUUUUAAAUUUUUUUGAUAAUUCUCAUUUUUUUAAGUUACGUAUUUUAGGAAAUCAAAAAGCUUAUUAAUAUCUCUCUAAUUAUUAAUUAUCCUACAGUUAAGAAUUAAUUUUUUAUGAAAAAUCUAUAUUUGAUAACAUUAAUGUUAAAUAGAUAUAACUAAUAAUAUUAUUUAAUCAUUAAUUCAUUCAUUAUUAGUCUUUCAAAAAUAAAUUAAUUAAUUAUCUUUUCAAUUUCCUCAAAAAAAUUAAUUAUUUAAUGUUAGAAUAUUUGACUUUUAGUAUUUCUUUUAAUUUCCAUUAAAAACUUUGUAAUCUCAAAAAUCAGUAAAUAAAAAUUUUUUUUCCUCACUUCUCUAAAAAGAAAAAUAUUAUAUUCAUUGGUUCAUUUAAAAAAAUCAAUUUAUAGAAAUACAAAGUCCAUUUCUAUUAUCUGAUCAUUAAUUUAUCAUCUCAACUUUUUAUAUUCUAUCAUUCUAAAUAUCCUAUUUGAAAAUAAUAUUAUUUGUAUUUAUUUGAUUGUUUAUUUUGUAAUAAUUUUAAUGGAAUAAAAAAUGUCUUCUUAACUUUUUUUUUAGGUUUUAUUUUUAAAAUUCAAGAAUUACAAAUGAAAUAAAUUUUGAGCUUUUUUUUUUAUUUCUUUGAGUAUUGAAAUUGCAAAACAAAUAGAGGCCUCAUAAAAAAAUUUCGCCUAAGGCCCCAAACACUCUAAAGCCGGCCCUGCCUUUACUAUGCAUGUCCAUCAUAGUCCGAUAAGCAAGCAUAUAAAAUUUUAAUCCGGACUAAUUCGUCCAAUUUCCUCAUAACAUGCAUUACGCUCUCCAUAGCACCUGCUCUGCAGUAGGCAUAAAGCAUGCAAUUUAAAUCACAUUUGUCAUGCUUGACUUCAAAAUACCCAGCCAAUUUGCCUCUUCAACAUCAACCGGACCACCACGUCCUAGUUCUUCCGGUUCCCUCAAUCAACAUCAACCGUUGAUUGUACGAUGCUUUAAAUCCUAUGGUUAUUAUUUUUUUCCAUAUUUUUAAUUUCAUGGGGUUUAUCAAUGGAACUGGUGCGUAGUAGUCGUAGCCUUAAUUAAUUUAGAAUACUUUUGAGUUGCGUUAACAGGCAGCAGUCACAAUCAACUUCAUCGCUUUGUAAAUUUCCAUUACCACAGAGUCAACAGUCAGGCUCAUGAAAAGAAAUUAUUUGUAUUUUUCUUAUUAGCAUAAAAUAAAUAAUGAAAUAAAAAUAAAGAUUUUAAUAUUUGAAUUUUGAUUUAAGUCCUAACUUAUGUGUAGCUAGAGGCGAAGUUUUGAGAGGACUAGAAAGAUUGAACCCAAGUCUCUACCCUCAUAUUUUAUAAACACAGACGACAUUGUUGGAUAUUUGUUUCUAGAAAUGAAUAUGAUAAUAGAAGAUAAUUAAAAUGGACUAAUCCAACAAUUAGGCGCUCCUUCUUUAAGCUAACCCAAUAAUUUGGAACUCAUUUUUUUGUUAUAUUUACUUUUUUAUCCUUGUAACUUUUUUCUUUAAAUGCCACAGCUCUAAUUUCUAUCCUCAUUUAAUUUAAAUGGGUACGAUUUGUCAAAUGCGAUUUAAAUGGGUGGUGCAUGUAUACUGAAAGUAGCCCUUGUGCUUAGCAUGCUAUGAACCAUGCUUGAAUAAUCGAGUAUAACUGCAUCCAUCCUCAUCUUGUAGGAAUUGGAAUGAUCCUGACUUAAGAAUAUGCAUAUACUGACGACUUUUAUUCUCAAUAAAAGCAACAUAUAUAAAUAUCAUUUUCUUUUCAUUUAUAGACCUCGAUGAAUGGGGGAGUUUAUUAUAUUAUAGAAAAGCGAUCCCCCAAUAGAAAGAAAAGUCUGGCCAACAUCAACUGAAACUGCACUCUGGGAAUUCAUCAGCCUUUGGUGCUGUGAAAGCCAUGUGUUUGUCCUCCAAGGGCAUGGGCUGAAAAAGCCAUGUAGAAGCUACAUCCAUAGUCUCUUGGUUUUGAGCACCGUGCCCAUCUCCGUGUAGAUACAUAAAAUGGGACAUUCUCACAAGAUUCAACAUGAAGUCAACUGUAUUUUGAGAUAAGGGAGAAUCUUUAUCAGCUCUGUAUGCAUUCACCUUCUUCCACAUCUGUCUCAUCAUAUCCUUGAUGUGUUCACGAGCAACUUCCUCCGAGGCACCAGUUUCAUGCAUGUAACACUGGAUUGAUUUCGGAACAUCCCCUCUCUGUAUCUCAUCCUGAUGAAUUAUUGGGGAAAACAAUUACACAAUCAAUUCGUGUAUAGAGGAUUAAUUCAAUUUCUAUCUUCUUAAGAAUCAAAAGAAAAUAAAAGAAAACAUACCGACGAAGUUCCCAAAUCAUCUUGAAGACGAAAAAUCUUGCAUGACCAGCGAACGAAAUCUGGAUUGCUUUCUAGAAAUUCUAGUUCCUUCUGAAUGAUUGGAUUUGUACCAGAAAGGUACGCACUCAUUGUUACUAUAGGGCCUGCUAUUGACACCAAUCCAUUUUCCAAGAAUUCUCCCAGUGUUGGUGUGUACUUACUAUGGUACCAUUUCGCCUCCACUAAGCCGGCUUGUAUUAAGCCAAGCCACUGAUGCACAUGAAAUAGAAAAUAAAGCUAGUUACAAUUUAUUAUUUUUGAGACAAAAACAUCGUAAUUUAAAAAGGAUAAAUCAAAGGAACGGAACGGCGGGAGAGGCAAAAUUAACAUUUUACAUACUGAAUUUUUAAUACUCCGAAGCAUAUCAAAAUCCUGUUGUUUGAGUACGUAAUAAGCAAAUUCAUUAACAAAGUUGUAAAGCGCAAAAAACCACAAUUUCAUGUAGUCCGGAAGGUGGUUCAAAGCAUAAUGGAUGUCCCACCUGUAGAAAAGAGAAAAAAAAUAUUAUAAAUGGUCUACUAAUUUGAGUCUUGAGAAGUAGCAGGCACCUAGCUUGCAAUUGAAUCAAUCGAUUAAAUAUAACAUUAGUUUGCCAACAAACCUCUCAACAGCAGCAGUGAAUAGCUCAAGUUCGUCCAAAGUUCCAUAAACAUCAUAAAUGUCAUCAAUCACUGUAAUUAGAGCUAUUGCAAUUGUGACUGUUUGGGAGAAAUACGUCGACGAGACCAGGCAUGGUGAGCAGAUAUCUGAUGGCAGAGUUCUGCGAACCGGUGUGUUCCGUAAAAGCCUGGUGCGCGGGGGAACAGGAGCAAAAAUAUCCUGCUCGUCCACGAGCACGUCAUCCGCGAGGCAAAUUUCCUGUAAGAGGCAUAAGGCCAUUCCGGCUAGAGGUCGAGAGGCGAGGAGACCCGGUCGACGGCAGUAGGCAAGGCAUGCUCUCCAGCCCGAGAAUCUAGGCACGACAGCCACGCUUUCCCCAGAACCGUGGCGUAACACGCAAGAUCCCACGUUUGCCCAUAACGCAGCAGUCGGAGUCCCAUACCGUCCCCCAAAAAAGCGGAAACAAGAUCUCACAAAACCACGACAGCCACGCUUUCCCCAGAACCGUGGCGUAACACGCAAGAUCCCACGUUUGCCCAUAACGCGGCAGUCAGAGUCCCGUACCGUCUCGAAGAAAGCAGAAAACUGGGAUUCAAAGGAAGCCUAUAAAAAGGUAGCCAACGAAGGUAAAUGGGUUAGCAUUUUUGAGAUUAGAAAAGAAAUUCUAAAAGAGAGAAAACAACCUAACAACCAUAAGAUUUGUGGCAAGUGUUCCCCGAACCUUCAUAUCUGACUUGAGCGUCGGAGGGUUUGCGCCGGGAAAACAACCGGCGUACUCUGACCUGUCUGUGUGCGCAGGAACCUCUGGAGAAGAAGCCUUGCGAGGAGACCCCCUGGUCGUGAUGAAGUUGAUCGAGCAGAGAUCCUGGUCGUAGAACGAGGAGAACCGGAAUCUCGCAUCAACAUUUUGGCGCCGUCUGUGGGGACCAGAGCAAAAAGCUUCUGUUGAUAGCAAGAAGAGGGGUGAAGCAAGUGAAAAGCAAUGGAGACAGGAGGAAGUAGUGCACAAGGGGGUGAUAGGAGGCUUAACGAUUCCGUGACGCUGAGGGAGAUAGUCAGUGAAGCACGGGGAAAAGUCAUGUUCGACCGGAUGGAACGGAUGGAAAAGCAAAUGGAGACCUUGACAACCAUCCUGCAUGAGCUGCGGAGCGAGCGAAGGGUAACCCAAGAGGGAAGGGUGAGAGGCGGUGGAGUGGCACCAGGUCCCGAUAGUGCGGGGAGAAGUCAAACCACUGGGAGAUUUGGUGGUGAGAGAGGUAACGUACCUCUGCGGGGACAAUUUCAUAGAGAAAGAGAGCAGUCCCCGGCAAGACAGACUGGUGACGAGGACGACGGGGUGGUGAAUGCAGAGGAAACAGAGUUGAGGCAACACUUGCAUGAUGUAGAGCAAGAGUGGGAUCAAGUUGCAGCACGUGACCCUGGUCGUGCAGUGCAGCUGGAGGAGGAAGUGCGCAGACUAGCGCAGAUAAUUGACGACAUGCAAGGAAGGAACAGAGCCCCUGGUUGGAGGAUAAUGCUGGACGGAGAAUCACCGCUCGCAGCAGAGAUCAUGAGGGCAGUUAUUCCGAGAGAUUUCCGCCUCCCAGACCUCAGAUACUCGGGAAGAACUGAUCCGCUGGUGCACAUAGAGCGCUUCAACGACAUAACUGGGGUACAAGGAUUAUCUCAAUCCCAAAGGUGCAGGGUGUUCCCACUAUCCCUUGAGGGACGUGCACGAGAAUGGUACAGGAAACUCCCUCGGGGCAGCAUUAAAACCUUCGAGCAGAUGUGCCAGGAGUUCGCGGAGCAGUUUAGUGGGGCAAUGGCACCGGAAGAUGACAUGAUGGAGCUGAAAAGCAUGAGACAGGGGGAGCAAGAAACCCUUCGGGAAUUCAUCGAGAGGUUUCAUCGGACUGUCCUCGACUUGGGAGCCUUCAACCACCCUCAGGCGUUAAGGGGAUUGAAAGAAGGGGUGAAGAUAGGAAGGCUGUGGUACAAUUUGAGAAGCCCAGCUAUUCAAACGUAUGCAGCCGCAUACGAACAGGCUAAGAGAGACAUCGAGAUUGAAGAGGAGAAGGCUGCACGGAUUAAGAUAGACCAGUUAGAAGGGUUGGGGAGGAAAGAGAAGAAAGCAUUACCGGGGAAUGGGCUGAUCAGGAGAAGGGACCACCAUGCCUCCGGUAGUGGAGCAGGAGGUCGGGUAACCGCUUACCAGCCUCAUCAGAGGCCACCACAGUAUCAGCGCAGCAGGGCGCAACCUCCUCGUUCCCCAGCUAGGGAGCCUUGGAGAAGGCAUGAGUCGGCAUCUGGUGGUCUUCAUCAACAUCCCCACGGUAGCAGAGCGAGCAGACCAGAAAUACUUCCACCGCCCCCAACUCAGAGCGGGGCAAACAGAGAAAGAGCAGUGCACCUGAUCGACCAGAACCCGGACUAUGGGCGGUACACUUCCUUGAAGAUGUCCCUGGAUGAGGUGUACGAGGCCAUAAAGGAUCGAGGGCUGCUGCACCUCCCUACACCAAUAACAAAGCUACCCAACAGGAGGGAUAGAGGACGUUAUUGUAAGUUCCAUGGCACCCAUGGCCAUACCACAGCAGAGUGUAGAGAUCUCAAGACCCAGGUCGAAGAUUUGGUGAGAAAUCGGUACCUGGACGAGUUUAUGGAUGGGACUUUCCCGAUGGUGGCCACAACAGGUGAAGGGGAGCAGAGUGGUAGAAACUUGAGGCGCGAGCAGCCCGCAGUGAGGGUGAUAGCUGGGGGCCCAACAUUGGCCGGAGAUUCCAACAGAUCGAGAAAAAAUUAUGCUAGGUACGCCAUGACCAGUAAGAGGUACUCUUCAACACCCCAGCAGCCAAACGAGCAAGGGUCAGGCAAGUGCCAAUCAUGUGGACGGAUGAGGAUGAGGAAGGGAUUCUAUACCCCCACGAGGAUGCUUUGGUCAUCAAGGCUAUUGUCGCUAGCAAGAAGUUUGACCGGAUACUGAUUGAUACAGGGAGCUCAAUUGAUGUGUUAUUUAAGUCAACCCUGGAAGAGAUGGGAAUAGCCGACCGGAAGUUGGAAUACACCAAUACCUCCUUGAAGGGGUUCGGAGGAGGGAAGCUGGUCCCUCUGGGCGUGGUCGAGCUGCCUAUCACAAUUGGGAGCUCCCCGACAGAAAGAACAAUGGUACUGGACUUUGUCGUAGUGGAUGAGGAAGGUCCUUACCAGAUGAUCCUAGGUCGGCCAUUUUUAAGGAUGAGCAAAGCGGUGUUGUCCAACCAUUAUCUAGCUCUGAAGUACCGGGUGAAUGGGGUAGUAGGAGUGGUACGAGGAGACCAGAGGAUCGCAAGAAGCUGCUACUCCUCGGCAGCAAGGGAAGCAAUGCAGAUAACAUCCCUCGAUACCCGAGUGGAAAACAAAAAGGGCAGACAAGAACCUGUAGAGGAUCUGGAAACGGUAAGCCUGGGACCAGAGAACCCGGGAAAGACGAUCAGAAUCGGGUCGAGACUUAAGGGAGAGCAAAAGCAGGAGUUGGUAAAAUGCUUAGAGGCUCAUGCUGAUGUGUUUGCUUGGACACAUGAAGACAUGCCAGGGAUUGACCCUGAGGUAGCAUGUCAUAAGCUGGCAAUAAAGAAAGGUGCUCGGGCAGUAAGGCAGAAGAGGAGGUGCUUCAAUCAGGAGAGGUAUGAGGCUAUAAAUGGCGAGGUGGAGAAGCUCUUGAGAGCAGGGUUCAUUCGGGAAGUCAGUUACCCUGAGUGGAUAUCGAAUGUGGUGUUGGUAAAGAAGGCAAACGGCAAGUGGAGGAUGUGUGUGGAUUUCACAGACCUCAAUAAGGCGUGCCCAAAAGACAGCUUCCCUUUACCAAAGAUCGAUCAGCUAGUAGAUUCAACGGCUGGACAUGGUCUGCUUAGCUUCAUGGACGCGUUCUCGAGAUACAACCAGAUCCCCAUGUACGAGCAGGAUGAGGAGAGCACGGCUUUCAUCACUAACCAAGGUCUGUUCUGUUACAGGGUUAUGCCAUUCGGUCUCAAAAAUGCUGGGGCCACCUAUCAAAGGCUGGUGAACAAAGUCUUUAAGCCAUUGAUUGGGAAAACCAUGGAGGUGUACGUGGAUGACAUGAUCACCAAGUCCAAAAUCCCAAAGGAACACGUCAGACACCUCGAGGAGACAUUCGAGCUUUUGAGGAAGUAUAAGAUGAAGCUCAACCCGGAGAAGUGUGCUUUUGGGGUGGAGUCAGGGAAAUUCCUUGGAUUCAUGGUGAGCCAUAGGGGGAUUGAAGCAAAUCCCGAGAAAAUCCAGGCGAUUGUGCAAAUGACGUCUCCUCGUAACCUGAAGGAGAUGCAGAGCCUCACGGGGAGGUUGGCGGCGUUGAGCAGAUUCGUAUCCAAGGCUACAGAUAAGUGUCAGCCAUUCUUUCAAGUGAUAAGGAGGGGAAAGAAAACGGAAUGGACCCCAGAAUGUGAGGAGGCCUUCCGGAACUUGAAGCGAUACUUGCAGCAAGCUCCGCUGCUGUCCACACCGAGGGAGGGGGACAAGUUAUAUCUGUAUUUGGCGAUAUCGGAUCGGGCCGCCAGUUCUGUUCUGGUGAGAGAGGAAGAAGGAGUUCAGUAUCCGAUAUACUACACCAGCAAGUCCCUGCUCGACGCUGAGACCAGAAUCCCAAUCCUCGAAGAAUCAAAGGCAUGCAAAGGCUCGACAAAGUCUCAAAGCCUGUCUUAUGGCGAGACAGAAGCCAAGCAUGCCAGGAUCUGCUCGACCACGAGAAGGCGAGCAGACUCCAAAGCAUUCGAAGAAAUUCCUGAGGCAUGCAAAGGCUCACCAAGUCUCAAAGCCUGUCUUAUGACGAGACAGAAGCCAAGCAUGCCAGGAUCUGCUCGACCACAAGAAGGCGAGCAGACUCCAAAGUAUUCGAAGAAAUUCCUGAGGCAUGCAAAGGCUCACCAAGUCUCACAGCCUGUUUUAUGGCGAGACAGAUGCCAAGCGUGCCAGGAUCUGCUCGACCGCGCGAAGGCGAGCCGAAUCCCAGGCAUUGAAGAAUCUUCAAAGGCGUGUGGCAAAACCAUGAGCAAAGUCGGAACCUGCUCGUCUAGACAAAGACAAGCAGAUUCUCAAACGAAAAUCAGCUCAUAAUUACAACACAAGAAACAUUUUACAGCGCCGAAUCCCGAGGGUCUCAUAACCGUCGGUUUGAAAUUCAAAUGGAGGGGGGGAUUUCUGCCACGUCACCUCGUCCGCAAUUAAAUGCGACGUGAUUCUUGGCAGCCUUUUCCAAUCCCACGCGAGCGAGUACUAACGAGUUUCUACUGCUGGUCCACUACAUUACCCAACACCAGAAACUGGGGGACCGGUGUUUGGGAGAAAUACGUCGACGAGACCAAGCAUGGUGAGUAGAUAUCUGAUGGCAGAGUUCUGCGAACCGGUGUGUUCCGUAAAAGCCUGGUGCGCGGGGGAACAGGAGCAGAAAUAUCCUGCUCGUCUAUGAGCACGUCAUCCGCGAGGCAAAUUUCCUGUAAGAGGCAUAAGGCCAUUCCGGCUAGAAGUCGAGAGGCGAGGAGACCCGGUCGACGGCAGUUGGCAAGGCAUGCUCUCCAGCCCGAGAAUCUAGGCACGACAGCCACGCUUUCCCCAGAACCGUGGCGUAACACGCAAGAUCCCACGUUUGCCCAUAAUUAUAACCAGAAGGUGAACAUACGGCAAUUCAGGGUCGGAGACUGGGUACUGAGAAGAGUGAAUCAGAGCACCAAAGAUUCGACUCAAGGAGUUCUGGGACCGAAUUGGGAAGGGCCAUAUAGAGUCAAGCAGAUAGCGGGACCCGGAGCUUACAAGCUGGUUCGCACGGACGGCCACGAGGUGAAACGCCCAUGGAACGCAUCACACCUCCGAAAAUACUUCCAGUAAGACUUGUUCACAUUUGAAAGCUAUUUUUGCUCAUGCUCAUUAUCGUUUAUCUUUCACGCUUUAUGUCCAAACAAUUUCAUGUAAGUCGAAUCCUGCCAUUAAUGGAACGUCGAGGAAUUUCUUUCGCUUGAAACCGAGAAAAUUCCCAAGGCAUGCAAAGGCUCAUCAAAGUCUCAAAGCCUGUCUUAUGGCGAGACAGAAGCCAAGCAUGCCGGGACCUGCUCGGCCACGAGAAGGCGAGCAGAAUCCCAAUCCUCGAAGAAUCAAAGGCAUGCAAAGGCUCGACAAAGUCUCAAAGCCUGUCUUAUGGCGAGACAGAAGCCAAGCAUGCCAGGAUCUGCUCGACCACGAGAAGGCGAGCAGACUCCAAAGCAUUCGAAGAAAUUCCUGAGGCAUGCAAAGGCUCACCAAGUCUCAAAGCCUGUCUUAUGGCGAGACAGAAGCCAAGCAUGCCGGGAUCUGCUCGGCCACGAGAAGGCGAGCAGAAUCCCAAUCCUUGAAGAAUCAAAGGCAUGCAAAGGCUCAUCAAAGUCUCAAAGCCUGUCUUAUGGCGAGACAGAAGCCAAGCAUGCCAGGAUCUGCUCGACCACGAGAAGGCAAGCAGACUCCAAAGCAUUCGAAGAAAUUCCCAAGGCAUGCAGAGGCUCAUCCAAGUCUCAAAGCCUGUCUUAUGGCGAGACAGAAGCCAAGCAUGCCAGGAUCUGCUCGGCCACGAGAAGGCGAGCAGCAUCCCAAUCCUUGAAGAAUCAAAGGCAUGCAAAGGCUCAUCAAAGUCUCAAAGCCUGUCUUAUGGCGAGACAGAAGCCAAGCAUGCCAGGAUCUGCUCGGCCACGAGAAGGCGAGCAGCAUCCCAAUCCUUGAAGAAUCAAAGGCAUGCAAAGGCUCAUCAAAGUCUCAAAGCCUGUCUUAUGGCGAGACAGAAGCCAAGCAUGCCAGGAUCUGCUCGGCCACAAGAAGGCGAGCAGCAUCCCAAUCCUUGAAGAAUCAAAGGCAUGCAAAGGCUCGACAAAGUCUCAAAGCCUGUCUUAUGGCGAGACAGAAGCCAAGCAUGCCAGGAUCUGCUCGACCACGAGAAGGCGAGCAGACUCCAAAGCAUUCGAAGAAAUUCCCAAGGCAUGCAAAGGCUCGACAAAGUCUCAAAGCCUGUCUUAUGGCGAGACAGAAGCCAAGCAUGCCGGGAUCUGCUCGGCCACGAGAAGGCGAGCAGAAUUCCAAUCCUCGAAGAAUCAAAGGCAUGCAAAGGCUCGACAAAGUCUCAAAGCCUGUCUUAUGGCGAGACAGAAGCCAAGCAUGCCAGGAUCUGCUCGACCACGAGAAGGCGAGCAGACUCCAAAGCAUUCGAAGAAAUUCCCAAGGCAUGCAAAGGCUCAUCCAAGUCUCAAAGCCUGUCUUAUGGCGAGACAGAAGCCAAGCAUGCCAGGAUCUGCUCGGCCACGAGAAGGCGAGCAGCAUCCCAAUCCUUGAAGAAUCAAAGGCAUGCAAAGGCUCAUCAAAGUCUCAAAGCCUGUCUUAUGGCGAGACAGAAGCCAAGCAUGCCAGGAUCUGCUCGGCCACGAGAAGGCGAGCAGCAUCCCAAUCCUUGAAGAAUCAAAGGCAUGCAAAGGUUCGACAAAGUCUCAAAGCCUGUCUUAUGGCGAGACAGAAGCCAAACAUGCCAGGAUCUGCUCGACCACGAGAAGGCGAGCAGACUCCAAAGCAUUCGAAGAAAUUCCCAAGGCAUGCAAAGGCUCGACAAAGUCUCAAAGCCUGUCUUAUGGCGAGACAGAAGCCAUGCAUGCCGGGAUCUGCUCGGCCACGAGAAGGUGAGCAGAAUCCCAUUCCUCGAAGAAUCAAAGGCAUGCAAAGGCUCGACAAAGUCUCGAAGCCUGUCUUAUGGCGAGACAGAAGCCAAGCAUGCCAGGAUCUGCUCGACCACGAGAAGGGGAGCAGACUCCAAAGCAUUCGAAGAAAUUCCUGAGGCAUGCAAAGGCUCACCAAGUCUCAAAGCCUGUCUUAUGACGAGACAGAAGCCAAGCAUGCCAGGAUCUGCUCGACCACGAGAAGGCGAGCAGACUCCAAAGCAUUCGAAGAAAUUCCUGAGGCAUGCAAAGGCUCACCAAGUCUCACAGCUUGUUUUAUGGCGAGACAGAUGCCAAGUGUGCCAGGAUCUGCUCGACCGCGCGAAGGCGAGCCGAAUCCCAGGCAUUGAAGAAUCUUCAAAGGCGUGUGGCAAAACCAUGAGCAAAGCCGGAACCUGCUCGUCUAGACAAAGACAAGCAGAUUCUCAAACGAAAAUCAGCUCAUAAUUACAACACAAGAAACAUUUUACAGCGCCGAAUCCCGAGGGUCUCAUAACCGUCGGUUUGAAAUUCAAAUGGAGGGGGGGAUUUCUGCCACGUCACCUCGUCCGCAAUUAAAUGCGACGUGAUUCUUGGCAGCCUUUUCCAAUCCCACGCGAGCGAGUACUAACGAGUUUCUACUGCUGGUCCACUACAUUACCCAACACCAGAAACUGGGGGACCGGUGUUUGGGAGAAAUACGUCGACGAGACCAGGCAUGGUGAGCAGAUAUCUGAUGGCAGAGUUCUGCGAACCGGUGUGUUCCGUAAAAGCCUGGUGCGAGGGGGAACAGGAGCAAAAAUAUCCUGCUCGUCCACGAGCACGUCAUCCGCGAGGCAAAUUUCCUGUAAGAGGCAUAAGGCCAUUCCGGCUAGAGGUCGAGAGGCGAGGAGACCCGGUCGACGGCAGUUGGCAAGGCAUGCUCUCCAGCCCGAGAAUCUAGGCACGACAGCCACGCUUUCCCCAGAACCGUGGCGUAACACGCAAGAUCCCACGUUUGCCCAUAACGCAGCAUAACGCAGCAGUCGGAGUCCCAUACCGUCCCCCAAAAAAGCGGAAACAAGAUCUCACAAAACCACGACAGCCACGCUUUCCCCAGAACCGUGGCGUAACACGCAAGAUCCCACGUUUGCCCAUAACGCGGCAGUCAGAGUCCCGUACCGUCUCGAAGAAAGCGGAAAACUGGGAUUCAAAGGAAGCCUAUAAAAAGGUAGCCAACGAAGGUAAAUGGGUUAGCAUUUUUGAGAUUAGAAAAGAAAUUCUAAAAGAGAGAAAACAACCUAACAUCCAUAAGAUUUGUGGCAAGUGUUCCCCGAACCUUCAUAUCUGACUUGAGCGUCGGAGGGUUUGCGCCGGGAAAACAACCGGCGUACUCUGACCUGUCUGUGUGCGCAGGAACCUCUGGAGAAGAAGCCUUGCGAGGAGACCCCCUGGUCGUGAUGAAGUUGAUCGAGCAGAGAUCCUGGUCGUAGAACGAGGAGAACCGGAAUCUCGCAUCAACACUUCUGUAAAAGGCGGAGUUUGCACCUAAGAAUAAUUUAAUAUACAUGUGAUUAAAUUGUACAAGUUAUGUAAAUUAUAAAAUCAAAUCUUUGAUGUGUGUGUGUGUGUGUGUGUCUGUCUAUAUAUAUAUGAGUUAUGCAAUCAAAUGGAUACCCUGAAAUGUCUUUAAGUUCUUCCUGGUAAAUUGCCUGCAAAGUGUUAAACUCCAACUUAGCGAGCUCAAGUAAAAGGUGGUUCUUGUCCUCUCUUUUCUCAUAAACGUGUAUGAACCACCUUGCCUCCAACAUUGGGACUUUCCAAUGCAGAGGGAGCUCCACUGCACGCUUCGCUUGUUCUGCGACAAAUACAUGCUCUUCCUGAUCAUCACGUCUUUAAGAUGUUUACUGGUAAAUUGCCAGGCCUCCUCCAUGAUGCUUUCUCCUUCUAAGCUGUAAUACGAGGCUUUGUGCAAGCUCAGUAUUCCCUUGAAAUCAUCACAAAUGAAGCCUCCCUGGUCGUCUUUUAAACCAUUGAAAACCUCUGCAGCACUCAACCAAGAAACGUUACAUUCGUCAAAAUUUUUGAUACAUCUAUUAAUUAGAGAGAUAGAGAAAAAAAACUGAUUUGGGUUUCGCCCAUUUCUUUACAUUUAAAAAAAAAAGAAAAAAAAACAGAGAGAUCGAUUCAAGUAUUCAGAUCAUGCAUGUGCAUGAUCUGAAGGAAGCGAAUUAAUGAAAUAUACCUUGAGAAACAGGAUAGCCAUGUUGUCUAAGUAGUCUGAAUUCAAGGGAGGUUACAUACAGAUUUUCUUUUCUCCAAUUAUAAUCUUUAUUAUUGUUGUAGAUAUUAUUCAAUAUGUUCCUAAUCUCAGUCUCAAAACGAUAAGCCAAUCCAAGUCUUUGCAAGUUAUCAAUCAGCUCCAACUGAUCCAGAGGCUCGAUUACAUCUUUAAUCGCUAUCUUCACUUUUCCCUUCAGCUCUUCUGCUCGUCUUUUGCAUGCUUCAUCCUGUACACGCACAGCAUUUAGUUUUUAGUUAUUCAUGGUCCCAAUUUGAAAUGAACAAAGGAAAUUAAUACGUAAUAGUAAUAAUCAAUACCGUAUACUUGCUAUUCAGCCACUGCAAAAAAUCAUGGUCCCAAAUUGAAGGUUGGUAGUUUGCUGAUCUCCUAUCAACUGUCAAAUUAUCAUAUUUGGCGCUGACAAGGCAUUGGACUGGCUUAUUUUUGGCCAUGAUUCUGAUGGCUGCUUUAUUUGUUGUAAGAGGAAGACAUUUGAAACCAUUUACAGAGGUAACCAAGGUUGAGGGAUUAAUGCAAGAAGACAUUGGAUAUACAGAUGUUGUGUAAGCUAGCUUACUGUCAAAUUAUAUAUAUAUAUAGGCAGAGGAGAAGUUCAAGUGAUUUAUUUUUCGUGCUCAUUUUUUCUGAGUUUUGAAAGCGUUUAAUUUUUAAGUCUUAAUAGUACAAAGGUAUUUUAUUCAUUUGGGGGAAAAAAAAAGGAGUACAUCAUACUGUGCGAACGAGGUCAUUAUUGUACCAGAAGACACAUACAUCAUCCAUAUAUUCGGAUGAAUGUUGUAUAAUCUUUAUUUAUUUAUCUUUUUUUUUUCCUGCAUACAAAUUUUUUAAAGAGUCUUUCAAUAAACUACACAAUAAAUGCACGCAGAAAUGACAAGAAAUUCAUAAAUUCAAUUCUACUAAUAAAAGUUCUAUUUAUUACAUUAAAAUCUUGUUUUAUGUAGAAAUAAGAAUAUACAAAGUAAAUUUAAGGGAAAAAAAAGGCAUACAAAGUUGCAAACAAUAUCUUAAUGUUGAGCACUAACAUCAAAAUUCUAUCUGUUACAGUUAUAAAGUACUUUUGCGGAAAACAAAUUAAUAAAUUUCAAAGUGAUUAUCAACAAAAAGUUGAUUGGAGAUAAUGGAUUUUAAUAUAUUGUAGAUUGUGAUCAUUUGUAAUAAUUUCAAAAAACUUCCAUUUAACAGCGGUUGGUGAAUGGGUGUUGUAAAAUAAUUUUAAUAUUUGACAACAAGCGAAAGAAUGUUGUUAAAAACUCUUCAAUAGAUGUUCAAUCUCACAACGUUCUACAAAAGCGCGUUGUGAAAAAAUUCUAAUAAUUGACAACUAGUGUAAAAUCGUUAUAAAUUUUUAAUCCCAUUCAAUCCAUGAAUUAGUAAAAUUAAUCUAAAUUCAAUUCAUAAUUCUGCAGAUUAGAAGUGGAUUUGAUACAAUCCAUAUUCAUUCCACUUUUGCGAAUUCGAUACGGAUUUAAAAAAAAAUUCUUUCUAUUCAAUUCAUAAAAUAAUUAAAUAAAAAUUUUAAUUAUAAAAAUAAUUUUACUGCAUGCCAAUCAAAUUCAAAUUUAAACAAGAUCUAAAUAAAUCAAUAGUUUAAAUACGGGUUUAGGAAUGCUAUGUUAAUAGGGUCUUUAUACCGCCACCCCAACAUCUAUUAAAUCAAUCAACAUACGUUUUGAAACAAAUAUAAUCCGGAAGCCAUAUACCAUUUCAGCUUUACUCCCUAUUCUCUCUUAAAUAAAACUAUGAAAACACUGGAGUAAUUGGUUUCAGCUUCGGUGUAGGAUAGGUUGGAGGUGAUGACACGCGACGACAGCUACUGAAAGACUAUUCGUUUUUUAAGAUGCCAUUCAAAGUUUCGAACUUUAGCACACCAAAAUAAAAAAUCCUGAUGUUUCUGGAUCAGUGGAUGAAAAUCAACUUAAGUUUUAGAAUUAAAUCAAUACAAAAGUUGAAAUUUGAAAGCUUAUAUAAUUAAUUGUUGUCAACGUCCACCCUAACUAGAUUUUAACCUAUUUACUAGUAGUAUAACAUUUUUAAAUUUUAAAUUCUUUAAAUUAUAUACACACACGGAUUUGCUGAUUUUCAGGGAUUUGGAGAAGCAAGUCCAUUUCAUCAAUUGUCGAUUUUAAAAUUUUUCAAUCCAUCUAAUCUGUCAAUUCAGCUCUUCUGCUCGUCUUUUGUAUGUUUCAUCCUGUACACGCACAGCAUUUUGUUUUUAGCUAUUCAUGGUGCCAAUUUGAAAUGAACAAAGGAAAUUAAUAUGUAAUAAUAAUAAUAUUGAAUACCGUAUAGUUGCUAUUCAAUGACUGCAAAAAAUCAUGGUCCCAAAUUGAAGGUUGGUAGUUUGCUGAUCUCCUAUCAACUGUCAAAUUAUCAUAUUUGGCGCUGACAAGGCAUUGGACCGGCUUAUUUUUUGCCAUGAUUCUGAUGGCUGCUUUAUUUGUUGCAAGAGGAAGACAUUUGAAACCAUUUACAGAGGUAACCAAGGUUAAGGGAUUAAUGGAAGAAGACAUUGGAUAUACAGAUGUAGUGUAAGCUAGCUUACAGUUAUACUUGGCAAAGAUUCUCAAAUUAUUCUAUGGUUUGUGGUGAUGUUCGAGGUUAUAUAUAGGCAGAGGAGAAGUUCAUGUGAUUUAUUUUUCUCACUCAUUUUUUCUGAGGUUUGAAAGCGUUUAAUUUUUAAGUUUAAUAGUACAAAGGUGUUUUAUUCAUUUGGGGGGACCCACAAAGGAGUACAUCAUACUGUGCGAACGAGGUCAGUAUUGUGCCAGAAGACACAUACAUCAUCCAUACAUUCGGAUGAAUGUUGUAUAAUCUUUAUUUAUUUAUCUUUUUUUUUCCUGCCUACAAAUUUUUUAAAGAGUCUUUCAAUAAACUACACAAUAAAUGCACGCAGAAAUGACAAGAAAUUCAUAAAUUCAAUUCUACUAAUAAAAAUUCUAUUUAUUACAUUAAAAUCUUAUUUUAUGUAGAAAUAAGAAUAUAAAAAGUAAAUUUAAGGAAAAAAAGGCGGAUUCACCGAAGUUGCAACAGUUGCAACGUACCAGGAUUUUUGUCUUUUUGUGACUUCAGCUCUUCACCGUCCGAUUUAAUGAAAAAGCAGCGUCUAUGGUAAGGAUGUGUCUGUUUGGUAAUUAACGUUACGGUCCCUAUUUUUUUGAAAAUUCAACAAAGUUAAAGAGUUACAGCUUUUAAUGCACAAGUCUGAAUUAUCUCAAAAUUGUAAAUAAUUAGACAAUUAAAAUUAGGAGAAAUUUCAUUAACAUUUUCAUUGUUAAAAAUAAAAAAUAAAUAAAUUUAAUUUGUGAAUAAAAUUAAAAUUUAAAAUAUUAAAAAUUAUUUCAAAAAUCAUUUCCAAUUUCUUCAUCUUAUCCAUCUCAUGUGCCAUGAAGUGGAACCGAAAGUAAUUACAACAAAUAAUCAUAGAAUGAAAUAAUAGAUAUCGUCAAUUUAAGUUAGUAAAGCAUUAACCAAUUACUCCUUUCGUUAGCCUAAACCAUUAAUUUGGUUUAGUACCUAGAGGCUGGAACUUCAACAUAAAAUAAUUAAAAAAAUGUAAUUCCAGAUUAUUAAUUUAAGUUUCAACCUAAAUUGUAGUGAAAUUUCCCAGUUAUUACUAUUUUUUAUGAUGUUAUAUUAGUAUGUCAAUAUUUAAUAUUCAAAAUAGUAAGAAUAUGUUUAACAUAUUAACAUUUACAAAAGAGUAGAAGAAUAAAAUUCAUAAUUAUGAUACUUCAAUUCUAAUCAAAUUAUAUUGAUAUGCAUUAAUUCAAUAAGCCUAUACACCUAAAUAAGCUAAAUACUAGGAGCUUUACUAUUCCUAAGUUAUACAUUGUAGAUUAUUAUAACAGUCAUAGAUUAUUAUAACUUUUUUAAUUAACAUAACAUUCUCAAACAGUUAAUUAAAACUCUUUUGCCAAUUAAAGUUGGUAGAAAAAAUCGAAUCCCAAAUCCCGUACCAAAUGGUACAUGAUACGGUAUAUGACUUAAAAAAUAUUUAAAAUAAAUAGAAAUUUGAGAUUAAAUUUAUUCUCAUUAAAACUCGGGACUAGUCAGGACUUCAAUUGGGAUCCCGAUGGAAUCCUAAUUAUACCAAAUUAUUUUAAUUUUCUAAUUUAAUUAAAAUGUUAAAAAAAUCAUGCACAGCUUUUAGCUUUUAGUUAUACACGAUUGCAGAGAAUUCAUGGUCCCAAUUUGAAAUGAACAAAUUAAAUUAAUGUGUAAUAAUAAUAAUGAAUACCGUAUAGUCGCUAUUCAAUGACUGCAAAAAAUAAUGGUCCCAAAUUGAAGAUUGGUAGUUUGCUAAUCUCCUGUCACCUGUUAAAUUAUAAUAUUUGGCGCUGACAAGGCAUGGGACUGGCUUAUUUUUGGCAAUGAUUCUGAUGGCUGCUUUAUUUGUUGCAAGAGGAAGACAUUUGAAACCAUUUACAGUGGUAAACAAGGUUGAGGGAUUAAUGCAAGAAGACAUUGGAUAUACAGAUGUAGAGUAAGCUAGCUUACAGUUAUACUUGGCAAAGAUAUUUUUCUCCAUUUCCUUUGAGAUCAAUUUCAAAACGAAAGAGUUCAGCAGCUUUGCACGAAAACUCUGGAACACUAGUGAUUAAGCACUUGCGAUUAAACAAUUGUUUGUUAAUGUUUACACAGUGCGACAGAGGAGCCUGCCACCUCACUACACGUUAGUGUAGCACAUGAGAAACCUCCGUUUGAAAAAUUAGACUAGUUGGUAGCGGCCGUGCCCGGGAAGCCUCUCUUCUUUGACACAAUAUGACACAAAUUAUUAACAAUCAAAUCACAAUUUUGAUAAGUUUCGUGAAAUAUAAAAAUAAUAGAAAUACAGAUGAUUAAAAAUUUGUUAAAG
rnacentral:lncRNA from 1 species